UACCCGCCCGCUGGUCAGCGGGGCGCCGACCCAUCCCCCCUUCUGUUGGCAUGGUCGGCUGACGUUUCUUCCAUACAAAUUAGCAGCAGGAAGAGUUCACACAGUGUCGCAUUGACCACUAUCAGACGCCGACCGAAGUCCACGCCUCUGUCUUCGCCAAGAAGGCCGACCCGAACACGAGCGUUGUUAAAAUAGAGGAGACCGAGGUGUGCCCUGCCCUGUCCAUGUGAUGGCGCGUUCUAAAGCGAAAUACCUUGCGCCCCACAGGUCUUCAUCGACCUCUACCUCCCAGACUCGAAGCGCUUCCGCAAGACUCUCCAACUUUGGGGUCCCGUCAAUGCGGACGAAUCGUCAUUCAAAUUUUACGGCACUAAAGUACGUGAUUGGACGCUGCAGCGGGCACCCGCUGUCAUGCUUAAACGACGUUUACGUCUGGAUGCUGACACUGGUACCCUAGUUGGAACUGAAGCUCAGGAAGAAAGAUAACCGCAGCUGGACGCUCCUCGAGAAGACAGACCGCGACCUUGGUAAUAUUAACUUUACCUUCGGAGUCGGCGGCAGGACGGGCACGAUUGGUGCGAAGGAACUUGUCUUGGAUGAUGCUAACAAGGCGCGCACAUGAGCCCGAUCCAAGCAUGUAAAGUCCACUUAACCAUGUACGUCGGCCCGUGCACGGUUCUCGGACCAUUCUUGUAGAGCGUAGAGGAGCAGUGUGUAUAUAAUGCAUGUAAAUGACACAGUGAUUUCUAUGGAUCUACGCAUCGACGAUCUAGGGCUGCGACUAGCACUAGCGAAUUAGGGUGGCUGGACGGUAAGACUAUAAUGAACGUAUCAUAAUUUACCGGGUAAGGAGACCUCCUCGUACAUCUCUAUGAUGUCCCCGACGCGAAGGUCAUUGAAACCCGCAAGGUUCAUACCGCAUUCUGUGCCUCUGGCAACUUCCAACAUGUCCUUCUUGUGUUGUUUCAAGGUAUCUAGACGACCUGUAACCAUACUCUCAGCUCAAAUAACGAACAUCCAUAGAUCUCAAGCAGGCGAUCACUACUACACCGUUCGGUUUGGCUGCAAUCCGCCCAACCAGGAACAAGAAGACCGGGAAAAAAGAGAAACCGGCUGCUCACCCUCAAAAACGGACUUGCCGUCGCGCAUAACGCGGGCAAGCUUGCUCUUUUCGACAACGCCGUUGGAAACCCUGCAGCCGCCGACCUGCGUCGUCUUCUUUCCCUUAAGGCCGAUCUCGAACAGCUGGAGCACCGUCGCCUCACCGGUGACGCGCUUCUCUAUGAUCGGCGGGAGGAGCUCGACAACCUUCUGGGUGACCGUGUCCAUGAGCUUGUAGAUGACGGACGACGACAGAAUGGGGACGUGCUGCGACGCCGCUUCGUUCUCGACAACUCGCGAGACUUUGACCGAGAAAGCUACGACCACACCUGUAGGUAAAAGGCGACCGAGCGACGGGUUCGUGUGGAAGUGGCCGAUGUCACCAUGGCGCGCAGGAACAGGAUACUAGUGGUUACGUACCUUCAACAGCUUUUGCGCGCAUGACGUCCGACUCAUUCACGUCACCCACGCCGGUGGCAACGAUCUUUGUGCGCGCAACAUCGUUCCCGAUGACUUCCAGUGCGUUCACGACGGCCUCCACACUCCCGCUGACAUCUCCCUUGAUGACUAGGCGCAGCUCCUUCGGGCCCUCAGGUUGUACAGGCGCAGGGGUCUUGGUGUCGGCGCCUUCCUCUUCCGCCUCGCGCUUCUCACGCUCAGUGCGACGCUGCUCGUUGAUCGCUUCGAGAUCGACCAAGGUGGACUCCAUUUCAGCCUUGCGGACGCGAUUCGCCAACGCCUUCUUAAUGUCCGACUCUGACCCUGUGAGGACCUCGUCACCGGCAUUUGGGAGCUCCUUCCAUCCGGAUACAGUCACGGCCAUUCCCGGAUACGCCGCCUUGACGGUCUUGCCGUUGGAAUCGGUGAGCAGGCGAAUCUUCGCGGAGGUUGCACCGCAGAUCAGGUGCUGGCCAGGCUUGAGGUUCCCUCGCAGGACGAGAACGGUGCCAGUCGGUCUAAGGGCACAUUUAGCGGGAUACAUGCAUAUAGCAAACUGACACUCACCCCAGCCCCUUUGUGACUUUGGACUCAAGGACGUAGCCUUGAACCAUCCCUUCGCGCUCAGCGCGCAGGUCCUGCAUCUCUGCUAGAACGGAGAUAGUUUCGACUAGAUGAUCAAGACCCUGGCCGGUAAGUCCCGAAACAGGAACAGAAGGUAUGUCGCCGCCGAAGGUCUCGAGCUGCACGCCUUCAGCGAGUAAGGCGUGCUCAACCUUCGUCUGAAGAGAAUGGCACUCAAACUUUAGAUUUGCACCCGACAGCGGCAGACACGGAAACAACUCACGAUGUCAACGCCAGGCUUGUCAACCUUGUUAAUCGCCACGACGAGACCGACCUUAGAGUUCUUCACGAGGUCGAGCACUUCGCGGGUCUGUGGCAUGAUGCCAUCGUCUGCCGCGACGACGAGCACUACGACAUCCGUCACGCUCGCUCCUCGGGCACGCAUUGCGGAAAACGCAGCGUGGCCAGGAGUGUCUAAGAACGUAAUGGUCCUCGUUGGCUCCGAGCUAUUACUGCUAGCCGGUACAGGGACGGAGAAAGCACCGAUAUGUUGCGUGAUCCCUCCUGCUUCGCCCUUUGCUACUGAAGUGGACCGCAAAGUGUCCAGUAGGGUGGUCUUGCCAUGAUCGACGUGCCCCAUGAUAGUGACGACGGGCGGACGUUCGGGUAAUGUGUCCGGUUGUAGAUGGGAAGGCCUGGUAAACAUCCUUAUGAGGUUCUUGGGAAGAAAGAUUCAAACUAGCAACUUACGGCGUGUAAAUAUCGAAUGCAGCCUCGUCGUUUAUGACUGGAUUUCGGUUAAACUCCAACACCAACAAUGACGCAUAAUCCGACGUAAGCACUAUCGGAUGGAUUAAGACACGUUGAAACCACAGAGUCAAAUGCACGCACUAUGAUCAUGGGAGGCCUCAGAUUCCAUUCCGACACGAAUCAUCCUGCGGCGCAGGGUAUCUUCCAAAAUGACUAAGUCGACAAGGAAUUGCAUGCGUAUGAGAGGGCAUACCAAGGCUGAUAUUGAGCAAUCUCGCCAAGUUGCCCACAGUGACGACGCUUGGAAUGAAAACAUCCACGUUCACCUGUUUGACCGUUUUGAGACCCUUUGGAGCCUUCGCCUUCUCCUUCAUAGCCACCUGACCGGCCGACGUGCGAGACUUUUUCGAAUUGCUCGGGAUUUCGGCAUCUUGGCCCAGGCGGGACAUGAGCGAGCCCCUCUCCUUGAACUGAACGCGUUUGUGCCGGGUUCGAGAGGCUUCUUGACUUUCGUUUAUGUCCAGUCCAGCAGUCCAUGUCUGUUGCACCUUGUCACCCUGUCCGUCAGAUGUCUCAAUCCGAGCCUCACCCUCCACCUUGCUGGUGCGUACGGGAUCCGCAUCUCGUUCGCGAGCUGCCGAUGCCUUCUCUAUACGGUCUGAACGAAGAAUGUUACCAAGGCCAGACAGACUUGAAGACUCUCCUCUAGAUUUCCUUGUAGAGGGGUCUCUCUGAGACCAGGACCGUCCGUCUCGUUGCCCAUCUCGAGGGGUGCGAGCACGGAGAGUUUCAGGCAAGUCCUUCGUCCUCGGCCUUCCAGCUUGAUGAGGACGUAGAUCCUUCAUAUUCGACGCUCCAGCCACUUUCGGGCUUUGUGGUCGUUCCCAGGAACGUCUUUGAGGGAGAGCAAGGGAGGGCUGCUCAACGGAGGGACCACUCUCCGCCGGGCGAGCGAGUUCGGGAGGCCUCCCCCAGCUUCUGCUCCGAGGAACUCCGGGAGACGGGUUUGUUUGCACGUCAUAUUGCCAUUUGGGCUGCCCACAGUCUGGAAUCAAUUGUGAAGGCGGGAUUUACGUGCAGACAUACCUUCGUCUGCGUCGCAGUGGAAGUAGACGACGAGCGAAUACCUAAGCGUGCAAUCCGGAGACAACGGCGCAUGGCUGGGGGAAACUUGAACAAGGGGGCGGAAUGGGGAUUUUUUGGCGAGCCUCAGUGUUGCAUUGAAGCAGCCCAGAGAGAGUAGCCGAGACGGAAUACGGGUGGCCGGGGGAGAGGUUUAAUGGUCGAGGACGAGAACCAGGCCUGACGACUCGGGGUGCAAGUCCGUCACUGGCGCUCGUCUCAAAUGUCGAACCACGUGACUGGCACAACAUACUUGUGUCGGGAUUAGCCGAAAGGGAUUUAUUAUUGAACUUGUACUUGUAGAUCAGCCUCUCCAUACUUCCUUAGUACUACGACUAGGCCGCAACUAGGCCUCGCCCGCCCUUCGGUCUAUUUACCUUUCUAACCUCACCACACCCAGGUUGCGUCUCUAGCUCAUGAAUGCAACGCACCACGCCUUUGCAGAAACAUCCCGAGUUUUCGAUCAUCCAAGGGCAAACAUGGCGGGAAUACAGGGUAGAGGCGCCCAGUCCACGUAGACGUAUCGCCAGCAGGAUCCCUGCUUUCGGCCCACUAUGGAUGGAGACAUGUCUAAUCUGUGGUAUAGUGUACUACUGGAGGAUAGUAUGUAAAUGUUGCAUGGCACAACUAGGGCGAUGCUAAUUUAUGAUUAGGUUACUUCGACUGCACCUAGCAUCGUGGCCCUGGUCGUCGUGUUGCUUUUAUAUGUGUACACACGCUCCACUCAGAUCCAAUGGGGCAAGUGCAUAAACCUUCACCACUAGAGCACACCGGACGCUAAAUUUUCCAUAUGUAGAAUCCGUGGUUAUACUUCCCUCGUUAGGGGUGCAGUUCGAGACGCACAAGGGCUUCGCAGGGAUUUCCCUCAUGGCUGGUCGCAAGUUUAUUCCCUGGGCUACUUUGGAAGACUUCCUCAUGAACGAGGGAUUAUAUGGCUGGGAUAUUCGAUACUAUUGCGUUGUCAUGAAUCGCACGCCACAGGGUUCACUUCAAUUGGAAGUUGCAUUUGAGGUCGGUGUACUUUCCGCAACAAUUCAGUCGGGAAGCUUGCCGACCACAUAUUCAGAACUUGCUCCCACGAUUCCCCAUCCUCCUCGAGGUAUACCACGGAGUACAAGAGGCGCUUCAAGCUGAGAACGAGCGACGGGCGGAAAGAUAGGCAUUAAGUUCAGUGGACAAAGCGGCAGCAUACUAUUACUAGGACGGACAUGGGACACUGCACACAAAAUAGAUAUAGUACCUCGGCGACGAUACUAGUGACGAUGUAGACGUGAUUCAUAUGACAGACAUAUUCGGACGUAUAUCAUCCUCCACUCCCAAACUCGAAUCAUGAAAUAUCCUCGCUCUCGUAUGCGCUCAGCAAAUCGUUGUAGCCCUCGUCAUCCCCCUCCACAGCGGCGCUCUCGCGCUUAUGCUUCGUCUCGCGCUCAGCUGAGGCCUUGCGCCUCCCCUCAGAGGAGAUCUUGCGAGUGCGGCUCUCCGUCGAGAUUUUGCGCGUCCGGGUGGGUGCCUCGCCCUCGCCGCCCGAAACCUUGCGUACGCGACGGGAUCGAGGAGACGGCGGUAUGAUCAUCUCCUCGUCGAACGUGUUCGCCCGUGGGGUUGUCGAGUUCUCAUGGUCGUGGUCGUCAAUAGGCACGUCCAGUGUCUGCGAGUGCGAUGGUAGCGGGUGGGAUGGGGACGGCUCCGUGGGACUGCGCGAGUUUCGAAGCGUCUGCAGGCGCGGUGGGAAGCGUUUUCUGCGGAGGUUCGAAUUCUUCGCGGCGGGCUCCGUGGCGGAGGAAUCGGACGCCUCCAUAUCCCGAGACAUCCGUGAGACGGUCGCUUGCCGGCGAGCAAGCUUGUACUCGGGCACUGGGCUUGUUAGGGGAAUGUCGUUGGCCUCGGGGAGUACGACAGACCCACGUUGCCGCUGCGAUUCUGGCUGCUUCACCUGAACGUCGGUAGUGGUCAUGGUCUCCGCAUCAGGAGUACCGGGGGGCGGCGGGGAUCCGAUAGUGGUGGGAGAGUCUGGGGCUUCUGCCCGAGACCAACCGCCUGGAGCGUUGUCCUCGGGAGCCGAACCGUUGGUAGGGAGGCGACGGUGAGUCUUCGGUGGCGUUGGGGGAUUGAUCGAGGUCUUUGACGCUGUUCGCCUCGAUGCACGUGCCAUCGGCGAAGGUGACUUGUUACGGUUGAUCGGCACGAUCCUGCUGGUGCUCCCGCUGUCGGAGUCCAUGUCUGAUUGCGUGCCCAUCCUCUUCGGACGGUAUGGCUCCGAUGGGGAAAGAGAGGAGACGGACGAUUGAGAAGCGCGGUGAUCGACACUGGAACGUUUCGCGCGCACUGCAUCCACCCAUUUCGCUUCUACAGAAGGUGAAAGGGGAGAGCGUGCAGGGCUUUCAGGUCUAGACCCGGUAAGAAGAGAGGACGAGUUUAGCAGUAAGGGGCGGGGCCCAGUGCUGCUGCGAGUUGGUGUCUUAUCUGAUGGAGGUUUGAACGAGGACGACAGUAAGCUGGGCAUACCCAAAGAACCCGACUCUGAUACAGGCGACGCAUCACCGCUCUGGCUAAUUGGUGAAGCAACGAAUACGCUGUCUCGGACUGGCCGGAAGAACGCGGGUCUAGGGGGAGGCGAAUAAUUGUCCGAUCGGUCGAUGAUAGGCAUGGAUCCCCUCUUGUCUUCUGGAGGCUUUGGUGACGAGCGAGUCAACGCCGUAAGGGAGAUACUCCGGGCAUGAUCCACAAUUGAGGUAACGGUAGGUGCAGGGGAGGAUAUCGGAGGUGGCGCCAGCAUGUUUGAAGGGGUAGCUUCGGCUCGAGGCUUUGACCAAACAUCCAGAGCUUUGACUCUCCAGUUCGUACUCACUUUGGCGAAAGUCGCAGCAGCAUCAGAAUCCUUCAGCUUCUCAGCGUAGCCCCAGAUCAUGUUCUUCCCGCGGGUAGCGGCAUCAGCAACGGUCGGCCUUGUCGGCGCAGAAGGCGGCGAUUGAGGGGACGUGAGACCAGGUGAAGGCAAAGGCGAGCCGGGAGGAGGGGAGGGGACAUCCAUUGCGCUCUGGUUGGUGAUCCCUCUCCACACAGUGUUGGCCAGACGUGCGGAGAAAGUAUUCUGCUGAGACUGCUGUGGGGGCUUCUCCUCGUAUUCUUCAUCCGUCUCCUCAUCUGUCUCGUCUUCAUCGUCAUGAUUAGAUUCCAUACUUGACGAAAUACCCUUCCAAACUGUGUCCCGAAGACGCGCUCCAAGCCCAACGACGCCAUUCGACUGUGGGCUGACCGCAGCCUCGCGUUGUGAAGCUAGGUCACAAGCUGUCUGCAACACUUUCUCGAUACCGCCAACAGCAUCCAACGGAUACUUCUGGAGGAAGGCCAUGCCCUCGAUGAAGGCUUCUUCUAGCUCCCGCUCACCGAUGGCCGUAGAUGGAAUAGCAGCGACUUCGUCCCCCCAGAGGUUCUGUUGCUUGCGAUGCGACCUCCCUAGUCUGCAACGCAGAGCAUUAGACAAGGCCGUGUCUGCAAGCAGUCAGUGGGACUUACUGAAGCAAGAUAGCCCGGGCGGAAAGUAACAUGCUAGUGCAGACGUCGAUAAGGUAAUCUAACUUUGGAUUCUCGUCUCGUUCCCGCAUCGGACGGGAGAAAAGAGCAUCCCAGACCAUGAGAACAGCAGGUAAGGGGAGUGUGUGCGUGAGCAGCGGAAUGAGCCAGCGGCUGUAGCAGGACCAAGGUGAACUCAGGUUCAGAUCACUAAACAGCAGCGAAAACGUACAAGGAGUAAUGUGGGAGACCUGGAUCUAGCCCCUUGGUUGCCUAGAUGCAACAAAUACUGAGACACCAAUAUUCAACGAGUUGCAUUGUCACGUACCAAGUCAUCCGCGAGCUCCGUAUCAGCCCACCGCAGACGGUCGCUCAGCUUCUGGACCCAAACAGUCCCGUUCUGCUCAUCCUGCAAGGCAGCAAACUCUCCGACCAUGGACUCGAACACCCAAAAAGCGUCUGCCUCGACAUGGGGAACGUCUUCUGGGUCCACCUCCUCCACGAGUGCUGCAUAGAUGGGCACUAGCAACGAACCGAUCUGGGGCGAUCGGUUUGCUGGAUUUAGACAUGAAUGGAUGUACAGCAACCUCAGGAGCGCCGAUGAAUGCUUGUUGUGGGCCGUGAAAGAGGUGUAAUGUCGUGACGGAAGGAGGGUCGUCGAGAUACCAGAAUGCUCGGACGCCGGAGAAUCGGGUACAGAUAGCGCAUCUUCGGGUGUGCCUUCGCGUGCCCUAGUCUUGGUUGGGGACGGCUCUUCCAGACGAACCUCUGGGGUCUCGUCGAGCCGGAUUUCGGGAGUAGUGUCAAGACGGAUUUCGGGAGUGGUGUCAAGACGGAUCUCGGGGGUAUUGUUCGCGGAUGGUCGGCCGGAUUCCCCGGCCUCUUUCGCGCGGAUGACGCGGAGUCGGGCAUUGAGGUUACCUGCGCUGGCGAUCUUGACGUCUUCUGGUGCGUCAUCAUCCAACGGGCACUGCGCGCACGGUUCCGGCUCCUCUUCCAGACUAGACAGAAGGUUGGGCGGAACCAUAGAGAGUUCGUUGUAGACAUCCAAAAUAGAUUGAUCGGUCGAUGAAAGUGGCGCCGUUGGCUCUGGUAGGGAUGGAAGCGGUUCGAGCAAUCGUCGUACAAGAUCCUGUCUCCAGAGUUUAGCAGAUUGGGUAGGGCAAUAUCAUGCUAGAACUUACAUAGUAAUUGUCUCUCUGGGUGUUGGAUUCUUUACGCCAAGCCGUUUUAUCGGAAGGUAACGUACCAAGUAGCAAUCUGCCUCCUGUUCAACACUGCCGGAAUUUACCCAACUGUGACGAUGCUCACCGCCAAACCCGUGGACGCAACCAAGGUGGAUGUGACGGGAGACCUAGAAUCGCCUUAAUAACGCCGAUUUUAGAGAUACGCCACCCACGCUUGGCACAUACCAUGAGAGCAUAAGUGACGGAGGUGCGCCAGGUCAAUCACGUUAACAAUUUCAGGGUCCACGAUGGGAGACAAAGCAUUGACUCUGUGUGACUGAGCUUCAACACCUUUCUACUCCCACAUCUACGAUGACACACGCACUUCUGUUGUGGGGACAAGUCGGGGAGCCAUUGAACAUUGUAGCUACGCGCGAUGCCAUACAGAUAUUGAUCCAGCCUCGCGGCUGUCGGUGGAGGAGCAGCGAUGGCGCGAAGCACCUGCAUUUCGUCAGGCAUGCACAGAGAAAUACAACACAACGUACACCUUACCCUGGUUGACACAUAGUUAUCUUGGUUGGUAAGUGCAGAACGCGUAAAAUCGAGUCCAAGCGCCUGCAUGAUGAAUUCCCGAACAUUGUGGAGGUCUACCAACGCCCGUUUAAAACAAGCUCGGUUAUUGCAUCGGAGGACGGGGAGGCGGAACGGAAAGCCAAGCUUACGCACCUUUCGAUUCAACUUGUAGGCCAGCGUAUAUGAUGCUUGAGGCAGCUUCUGCUACGAUGGGACUUGGCGCGUCACUAAAGGCGGGUAGCGGUGUCAAAUGGUAGGGCAGGGAAGGCGCGUCCGCACGGACUCAGUAUAAUACAAUGCGCACCUGCGUUCGAGCUCAUUCAGAUGGCCCAGUAUGACACCGAUGUGCAUCUCCAAGGUCUGCAUGAGAUCGCUCUUGACGUCGUCCCUCAUCAGCUUCUGCGCCUUCGCUCGCGCCAGCGCGACGUUGCCUUGCUGCAGGAGGGUCGCAAUGUCUCGCUGUGUGAUCUGCGCCUGGGAGUCCAUUCGGUCUUGCAGCUGGCCCAAUCGCUGGGCAGUAAGCCGCAUCUGGCCCUGAUCCACCAUGUUCCCUGAAUAUGGUGCAUCGUGCAGCGUUGGCGAAAGCGACAAACCUUCACCCGCCCGGUGUCCCAUUGAGCAGCCAUAACCUGAGGUAUGUGUCACGGUCCGUCGUGAAUUCGUGUAGUGGUAGCGUCGGAAGAGGUCAAGGUCACGAGAAUAGGCGUGUGCACGUCGUCGCAGAGCAGAGCAGUUGUGUCAAAGCAUGAGGCGUCCCUCUCAAGGGUCCGGACGAGGCCAAAGCCGAAAUUGGGGAUUGAGAGCGUUUAGCGAAGGAAAUGCCCGCACGUGGCCGAACGACUUGAUGGACGCCAAGAACUGUAAGCGGUCGAGGACGCUCUCACCAGUGGCGUUCUAUCCCCGCCGCUGAAACAGUUGUGAUCCCAACUGCGCGUUCGGCGCGUUGAUAGACAUACUGAUCAAUCUAAAUUAUAUGCGUACUGGGGGUCGUGAUGCAAUAGUAGGACAUUUGUAUCGAUACAGAUGAGCGGAACCAGUUGUCCGUGGUAAACUACAUAAUCAGUACGCCCACUGAAGCGGGGUAGGUUUAGAAAGUCUUCCUGAAGACCUCGGAGAGUAUCUGUCGCCGGUUUCAUCAACAGGCAUUGAGGGUUGCAUAGCCAACGCAAAUAAGCGAGCUUGUGACGAUGAUCGUGAGUGAUUCUGGGGAAUGGCUGCGGAGGGAGAAGGCAGAUGAGACGGUGGACGGGGAGAUGGCAGAUGAGAUGGUGGACGUGCAAAUGGCGGCUGCGCUGGUGGGCGACCAGACAUCUGCAACGCCAAUGACGGGCGUGCACUAUAGGAACUGCGGGACGAUUGAGAUACGGAGUAAACAGAGCCGACGGACGGUGGCUGCGACCAACGCGUCGAUGUGCCUCGAGUUUUGGGCGGAAUAUAUGAGGUAUGAGGAUUCGACAAGUGGGAUGGGAGAGUGAUAGGGUCCAUUUGUGAUUGAAGAGGCUGAGAAACGGGUUGGUUUGGUUGAGACAAGGCUUGAGGUUGAGGCGGGACCGGAAGUGGUCGCGGAGGCAACUGUAAUGGUGGUGGUAGCGAUCCCCGCAUAACCGGCGGUAUAUUGCUGACAUUCGAAGGGAGCUUGUUGUCUUGACCUUGUGCAAGAUGUCGGGUGGUUGGAAGCAUCAUCGGCAGCUCUGACAAGCGCUUCUCAGAUUCUUCCUCAAGCAUUUGUUUCUGGUCUUCAUGCCACAGUCGCCAGGACACAGCCAAGAACGCGGCGUACCAAACAACUACGAUAACAGCGAUUGUGAGAUAGGCUUGGACUUAAAAAUUGUGGCAACGCACGGAAUGUUGGUACCACCCAAGCGCACACCACAAUUGCUAUGUUGACUCGAUGACAGACUUUGAAUUGCGAAGCUGUGAAGAAUACAUGUCAGCAUUGACAGAUGAUUUCAUGACCUAGAUGCGUACGUUCACUAGGGCAGCUGAAUGUGGGGUCCCAUAUUGUGAAGAGUAGAGCAGUCCCUACUAGAAGUUAAUAUAGGGAUCCGUCGAGCGCUCAUGAGGAACGUACCAAUAUGAACUAAUAGCAAGAAGAGAAGUCUUGCUGCAUCGAGCCACGGGCGAAAUGGAAGGAUAGCCCUGCGCAAGUGUAAGCGACGGGUCGUGCGACAAUACACAGAUUAUUCACAAGAUUGGGAGCAUAACGGCCGUGACGGCGUUUAUGAAGAUGAGGACACCCACGAGGUUCCCUGGCAUUGCAGGGGUGCGUACGUUUGUCAGUUCUUAUACAUAUACAGUGCACGAACGAGGGCACUCACUCUGUGCAGGGUCCGACUGAUCGUAGAGCACAAAUACCUCCACACACAAGAAAAUCACCCAUAGCAAACUGACGAAUGUCGUAACCGCUACAGCCACUGUGUCAAUCCACGCGUCGACCAGCGCGCGACAAGAUCCAAAACUCACCGAAUACCCCUGCCCUGACUAGGCGAAACCCUGGAAAGAGCGCCAUGCGUCAUAAAAUAGCGUGUAAGGGCCCUAAGAGUCGUGAAGGUCUUAAAGAGAGCGUGGCGAGCGAACAACGGUGAUUAGUGGUAGGCCAGAGGAAUAUAACGCUGCCAGCAGGAGAGGGUAGAACGCAGAAACGCGAGGCGGCCACGGACCAGCCUCAGCAGAUGAUCGGACAGGAGCUCUCAGAGCCAGGCGGGGGGGGGGCGGAAGGGAGGACCGCAGUGGAGACACCGGGCAGGAGGAGGUCUCGAAGGGAGAUCGGAGAACGCGCCGCGGUGGGGCACCCCUAUUAUCUUCCGCGUUUUCCACGGCGACGGCGGGUGUCGCAAACACACCCGGGCAUUCUGCUUAUUCUUCCGUCCAUAAAGCCCUAAGCGCGCUUGAUCGGGGGUCCUUUGUGUGAGGAACAAAGCGUGGCAGCGACCGUGAGUCCGUGGCCGUCCCUUCAUUCAACCUCCCGGCGUCUGCCCAACCCUUUUGUUCUCACGUGCCUCGACCCGUCCAGACCUCGCCCUAACCUCGUUACACCGUCACGCUGUGACAUCUCGUACCCAUGCCUCUCAAAGUUUGCAGGAAAGAAUGGCCACGACGCGAGAUGGGGUUAAGUGAGGCAUGUGCUGCGCAAUAGUCUCCAUGCCCUUCCAUCCUGAUGUUGUACAGUUGGCCACUGUCCAACAUACAAUGAGGGCAGAAUGGACUGGACACUGGGGCUGGACUGAACGGGCGACCGUGACGGGAUGCUCGCAAGCUGUCAUUGACCGCACUUCGAGCCCGCAUCUGAAUAGAUUUGAAUGGUAAGCCCGAGAUCGUCUGCACUCCACGCGGGCAAAAUGAAGAACAGUGGGGUAUCAACAGCGUGGCGGGACAACUCGAACGGAACGAUCACCGAUUAUUUUCAAUAAGAAGUAUCUAUCAUAUGCUAUGGUAAAUCGAUAUCGGGUCUGUAUGGCCGGGAUGUAUGUAUUUAUUUAAUGAUACAGUAUGGAAUGGUGGAGUGUGAAUAUGAAUGUAACAGACGUCAUUGCAUGACAAGGCUUAGCGUAGCGGGGCUCGAACGGAAGGUUGGAAGGAGAAGGAAUACCACGGCGAUGGUGCUGCAGCAGUAUAUAAGAUGAGCGGUCGUACAUCAUAAGUUAGCUAUAUAAGGGGGCUCUGGUCGGCUGACCAGAGGGCCGCAGGGGCAUGAGGCUUGCGGGACCAUAAAAUUUCGCACCGCGACGCGCAAAUGCCGCUUCUAAGACACGAUGACGUCGAAGGAAGGUCUACUUAAUGUUGUCACCGCACGCUUCGAGCUGCACGGAACCUGAGCUCCGGUCCAACCGCUGCUUCGAGCCAUCCAUGCCUUGGCAUGAAUCCACAUGCCUCAUCGGAUGCGUAACAGCGACCGGCCGCAUGGCAUGGAAGGGUGCCCAAGAUCGAGAUGUGAGUUCAUCCCGCGGCUGAGCCAGGAAAAAUCGGUGCCAGAAACUCCGUGCACUUUAGCUCGGAAUGGGCGGCGGGCGGGAGAAUGUAGUCGCACUCUUUCCAAUAAGAGGGUACAAGGGCGCCACGGGGAGUCGACUAGGCUCUAACCCAAGCAUGGAAGCGCUGGCAAGAACAGCAGCAGCAAAGGCCUGCACCUCGUGAGAGCUAUCCGUGACAAGUUCUCGCGCAAAAGCGAGAGUCCUGACAGCGACAUUGGUGUCCGUGUGACCGAACUUAUCUAUAAGGGGAACCACCAGCGUCAGCAAAUGCGAACGGUGACCGACCGCAAAGGAUGAGGCCCGGGUGGGGCUGAUAGGACACUGACCGGAAAUCAUAGCCAGCAGCCGCGCGAUACGAAUGCGCACGUCCACGAUCGGGUCCCGGACAAGUCCUGGUAGCGUGUCCCAAAACGUUUCCCUCCCGACGACGGUCCGCCCUUGGUCGGACAUCAGCAUCUCCUGGAUGCACAUCACAUACGUCGUGCGCCGGCGGAACGAGGCGGAGCCGGCGAACGCUCUGAUAUCGACGCCCAGCGCUUCUAGGAGGGUCGGACAAUCCUUCCACGCCCUCAAGAACGCAGGCAGCUGCAGAAAAAUUUCACGUCAGACGCAAGACCUGGCAGUUGUACAACGGAACCCAAGGCACUCACCACAAAUAUAGCGGCCUCCCUGACAGCCGCCACGGGGUCCCCCAGCGCCUUGACGAGCAUGGUCUGCAGCACCUCACUGCUGACGCCUUCUAGCUCCACCAAACCGCCCAACGCUUUCACCGCGCACUCGCGCUCCCGCCAUGAGGAUAAUUUUCCAGAAUCGAACGCUUCCGCGAGGCCAUUAGCCGCCGCGAUACGCUCGGGGAACGCUACCGCGCGUGCAAACGUCUGCAGGGCUUCGAUGACCUUCAUCCGCACCUCACCCUCCUCUGCAUGCAGGCUUGACCAGAAAACUGUCAUGAGGUCAGCCGCGGCGUGCUCCUCACCCACGAUUUUCGCGAUCUCUCCGAGCGAGGCGGCGAGCGUCCGGCGGACUUUGAACAUGGGCUCCUGAGCGAGCGACAGAUACAGGGCACGAAGCUCCGGCCAGCGCUGCCUGCCAAGCGUAAGGGCAACAGCGGGGUAGUUGAACGCACAGAUGAGGGGCCGCUGAGGGUCUUCGUAGAUAUCAGGGCCGCCGCCCGCGUCGGUACCGUAGUCACUCCAGGCGGAGCUCGUCGCAGAGACCGAGGUGGCCGAGCGAGGUGGUGCCGACUGGAUAUCCUGUGCCACGGGUAGCAUUUCACGCUCAAAUGGAGGCUCGCCUCCGCCGGGGUCCUCCGUUUCUCGGAUACCGAGGAAAAGCUUGAGCAGCGGUUCAGGUGGGCCGUCCUCAUCGUCGGCAAACGUGUGCAUGACCUCGCCGAGAGCUUCGAGGACGGCAGAUCGGACAGUCGACUCUUCGUCCUGAGAGAGCGGGAGGAUGACGUCGAGCGCGAGUUUGCGGCGGUGCUCCGGAGUUAGCCGCGAGAGUAUCGCAGGCAGCGCGAAGAGAACAGAGUGGCGAACGUGCCACGUCGGGUCCUGGCACAGAGACUCGAAUAAUGGAAGCUACAAUUGGCCGACAGCGUCAGUCCCGUUCCCAUCUCUGGCAGUAGGAGGGCUGAACGUGCAAAAUUGACUCACCAGCGACGACGUCACCACUUCCACUGGGACGACUUUGGCAAGCGCACCGACCGCAAAACUCGCCUCCCGUCUAACCCAGUACACUGGAUCUCGUCCGACCCGUUCCACCUCGGUCACGAACGCCCUCUUCGUGUCAUCGCCGAUCGAACCUGGAAGGAAGUUGGCGUUCAGCCACACUGGCAAGAACGACCCACAGGCAGUUGCUUACCGCUCGCUGUGACAGCGGCCAUGAGGCUCAUGCUCGAGAGUCGCCCGACCGAUGCUUCCUCAUUAAGAUCAGCUGAGUCAUCCGUCUGCUCCUGGGGCUCGUCCAUCGCAGCCAGUUCCCUCGCGACAGCUUUGGGACUGAUCCAUCCAGGACCUGAUGAUGCCUGCGGCCGAGUGGGCGAUUCGCUCGCUCCGGGUGCCCGCGCGAACAGGGACGGCAGACUGGAGAUCGGUAAAGUCGCCUCCGCAGCGACGGGCACAGGCGCGGCGACCGGUGGCGGAAGCACCUCGAAUGGGGGAGUGGUCGGGAGCGCACUAGACCGGUUCAAUGAGCUCGGUUCUGCCCAGCCCUGAUUCUGCGUCAUCGGGAGCGACGGUUUCAAGUCCGAAGGGUUAGCGAGAACUUCGUCCAAGAGCAUCGGUACCUGGCUCUCAUCUGCUGCGAGAACCGUGCCAGUCAAUCCGAGACUGAAGCGAUCCGAUCCGUUUAGCUCAACGUUGUCGGAAUACUCGCCGGACGACGACGAUGUCGAUGACGUCAGUGACGGCGUGGAAGCAGAUGAAUGAUUAGGCGAUCCUUCCACCGGAGAAGUCGAUGACACGGGCGGGGAUGGCGAAGCUGCUGGGGAGAUCGUACUGAUACCAACUGCGGCCACUUCGGCUAAGGGUGUAGGAGGUGAAACGACUGAGACUGUUAGCGGCGCAGCACUAGUGGUCCCAAAGCGCGGAACAGCUGGAAAGUACGAGUCAGGUUCAGGGACAGACUCAGCGGCUUGAGGGGUUGGGACUGCUGUCGACGCCUCUGAGAUGGACGCAACAUCCAUGAAGUCAUCGGCCUGGUGUUCACCUCGAUUGUCGUCGAGGUCCAGGCGUCCCAUACCAAUGACGACCUGGUAGACAAGCUCCCUCUCGAAAAGUCGUCGCUCGUUCCACUGAAACAAUCCCACCUCGGCGGCGGGCCCUGCUGUAUCUGGAUAGGAAGCCUCGGCAGUUGAAAGGCCAGCAGGACGGGACGGCGCCUGAAGCUGAGUGGCCUGGGCAUUCUCGCCUGCAGUAUCAACCGACUUGCCUUCGCGGUCAUCGGCACGCCGCAACCUCCGGAGGAGUUCAACGACUGCGUAUCGAGCAGAUCCGCCUACCAAGCCAUUAGGGCUUAAUAGCAGAGUCCCCAAGAUAGGUGUGAAAGCCUGCACAGAGACUACCGUCACACCACUGCCCUCAUGGUCCACGUAGAUGGGAACACUGCCGUCGCCCGAAAUUGCGGCACCAUCGUGGUCACUAGAAGCCUGGUCAGGCCGUGGGCUUGCAGGACACUGAAGAAUGAGGUCGUUCUCGAAUUCAGAAACAGGCGAAGAGACCGGCUGAAGGGCCGACGGCGAAGAUAGAACCUGUGUAUCGUCAUCCACCAAUCUGCAAUGAGUGAUGAACCACCAGAUGAUGGGGACAAGUUCGGCCGCAAGCGCCUCUUUCACGGCUUCGUCUAGGUUAUUGAUACCGAACCCAAUGGCCGCGGGAGAAAAAAGUUCCGCCGACCACGAUGAGUGGUGACGGUACAGUGACGUGAUUGGUCGGUGAGAAAAUCCAGGUCGCCAGCAGACCACAAUCCGGCGCCAACGCGGCAUCGGGGGGAGCAGAGGGAAGCGCAUGUCAGCGUUGUGUAAAAUAAUGGAGCGGCGAGUAUCUAAUACGUACCUUCGUCCAUCGCGAGGCUGUUGAGCAGUGGGAAUACAUACUCGACCGCUUCAGCUGGUGUGAUCUGCUCAAUGAUUUCUCGACUUGGAAGUUCUGAGGUGGGAGUCUCAGCGCCUUGCAGGUAUUGAGGGAGUGCAUGAGCGAUGAACACCCUAUGAAAGCUGGCUCUACUGCGCGAGAACAGGUAGAUCUUUUCUAGCGCACUGCAGCCCUCGGUAUCAAACUCUGUGAAAUCGAGGUUGAGCUCCGAGGAGUGCCCGAGCAAGUCUACCACGGGGGGAGGAGCGGCAAUUUCAAGGAUGGCUGCUGAAGGCCCUGGGUCGAGGGCAGACGCCAGGGAUACGGCUACAGGAUCCUGGGCAGGUUGCAAAAGGAGCGGAGGCGAAGGAGUUGAAAUCGAGGCUGCGAGAUUCGGGGGCGGGAUGGAAAUGCGAAGUCCACUUUGACCAUUGAUCCCAGCGCUAGAAAGUCCGGCGGGUUGGGGGUGCUCACCAACAUGCCCGUCCCUCUUCGCGACCUCUUCUACGUACCGCAGGGAGUGCGGGAGCGGCGGAGACGGCUGCGAGAAUUCGGGUGAUCGGGAACCGCUAGCGCGCGAGGGAUAUGGUGGUUCAAGCGGGCCGGGUGGGACAGACUCUAGAGGGUUUGAUCUCUGCUCUGCUGGGGAAGAUCUGACUUGCAGAGGGGAGAAACUUGCACGGCAGAUGGGCGCGAAUGGACCUAGGACUGGUUGAGGGGAAAGUAUGCCUAUGCCGACGCCAUGGGGUGAAUAUGGGCGGAUGUCAAGGGGUGGAGAGGCGAUGAGUGAAGACUUGGGACUUGUCGGGGGUGAAGGGUCUGCAAUGUCCUCUUCGUGAGUGAAUAACGGGAUGGAUGGCGAAAUGUCGGAGAUGGGAGAGGAGGAGCGGGAGUCGUCGGUGGUUGAGGAGGAUGGGUCGAAUUGGGAUGACAUGAACAGGGGAGGAAAUAAUAUAGAAAGCAGGAUUCCCAUGAAAAUCACUGGCUGAUGAGUCAAAGAGAGAGGGUGAGAGGGGGUGCUGGACUAAGCGAAGAUGAGGCUACGCACGACAAAGGUAGAGGAACGGGGGAAAGAAGAGAGUACGGAUGCCUGGGAAGUGCCGAGCCCGGGGGAGAAAAGUCAGGGUCGAGCACGAGGAAACGGGCGGCAGCGGGGCGAGGGAGAAAGGGCAGAUAUGACGCAAGAAGACUGGGGAAAGAAGCAGGGCAAGGAAGGAGCAGCAGGGAGGUGAGCGGGAGGGUGUGGAUGAAGCAUUCAGAGGAGCAGGGGUGGCGGGUCAGAGGGAGGAGUAUGCGGGGAUGGGAGGAGGGGAAGGCGAGUGGGGGCCAAGGGAGAUGGGCGGGCGUGGGGGAUCGUGGCCGGAAAGGGUGUGCAGGCGCAUGCGCCUCGGAGGGAGAGAUGCGGAGGGCUGGCGGGGACGGGAGUGUGACUGUGUUGCCGGGACGGGGCUGGGUGGUCGCGAGGCAGGGUCGGGGGGGCCAGGAAUAGGAGAGGAAGAGGAAGCAGGAGGGACAGACGACGGAAGGGCGUGACAGGAAAGGGAAAAAGAGAGGAGAGGAGGUGAGGUGAGCGACUGGCGAGGCAGCGGACUUGUGGGGACGACUAUGAAAAUGAUGCGGAACGGUUCGAGUUCUCAACAUCCUCCCACUCGUCUUCCCUAUGGUGUCCAUGAUGUCAUCCCUUCCUUUUCCGGCCCUUUUGGUCUCGACUCUCUCUCAGGAACAUUACGUCAUUUCACACGCUCCUUCUAUACUACAAAUCCGUCUGUUCCGACUGCCAAUCCGAUUCGCCUCCGCCCCGCCUUCGUUCCUAUGCCAUUACUUAAUAUUGCCACCCGCACAACUUGCAGUCUCCCCUCCCUCAGAUCUCAGAGCUCGCCCCGCACCGCCUUGUCCAGCGACUCCGCAAAGUACCGGAUGUUGUGACUGUUCAGCCCCGCCAUCGAGAUACGCCCGUUGCCCGUCAGAUAGAUGUGCGCCUUCUCCACCAGCGCCUGGCUCUGCGAAGGGUUGAUGCCUGUGAAGCUGUUCGAACAAACAAAGCCCGUGUCAGCGGCCGUUCUCGGCACCCCCAACCCCGAUAUCCUGCCGGCCGCCUGUUCAAAUCAAGCACCGACGUCUGCUGCACUUGUGCCUUUGUCCGAAACUCUUGAUGCUCCAAAUCCAACACCACCCGGCGAGAACCAGUCCGGCCGUUUCCAGCGUGCACCUCGAUCGCGGCACUUGGCCAUGGGCGUCAGCCACAGUCUCCCACGUGAGCAUCCUGGUCGCCCGCCGCGGGACGAACCACCACGGUGCCACCAAGCACAACCAUCGUCGUCAAUAAAUGGUCCGCAUUCGGCCACAUUUGCGUCUACGACGACUCCACAUCAGGCACACCCACCGUCUAUCUCAUAUCAAUAGGCACGCCAUCCCCAUCUGAGCCUAACACCGAGUCCGAGUCCGAGUCCGAGUCCGAGUUGAGACGGUCACAAGAAUCAACCACAACAUACCUGAACAUCCCAAUCUGGUUCAAAAUGUGAUCCCAAUUCCCAGGCGUCUUGAGCUCCUCCGUCAGCAGGCGGUGCAGCUCCUUGCGCAUGUCGAUGAUACGCCCAGCCAUCGUCCUGAUAUCACGCUUCCACUCCUCAAACAGUUCGUCGUUGUUGAGGAUGAGCGAAACCUACAGAGCAGUCCAUCUAUCAGCGAAACACUUUGGCGUCGGAGACGGAGAAAGGGUGGGCGGGAGAUCGCAGCCGGAGCGAAGGCGAAGGCUCACCAGGCGUGCCCCGUGGGCAGGCGGGUUACUGAUUUCCGACCGGGCUAGCACCGACAAUUGACUCUUGAUCCGGGCGGCGCCCUCCUUCGAGGGCGACACAACGUGCAGCGCUCCGACACGCUCGCCAUACAGCCCGGCGUUCUUCGCGAAGCUCUGUGGCAGGUGCCCGGGGGACAAUGUCAGAUUUGGGGGAUAGAGUGGCCAGUAGCCACUUUAAGGUUUUUACGACGACCGAUGACGCACCUGGCAGACCAGCAGCGGCACGUUCCUCCGUACAAACUCCCGCACCGCCCAGGCGUCGUUGUCGAGGUCGCCACUCGCGAAGCCCUGGUACGCGCAGUCGAAGAACGCGAAGUGGCCCUUCUCAAGCAUCACGUCCGCGAUCUGCCCCCAUUGCUCACGGGUCGGGUCCACCCCUGUUGGGUUGUGCGCGCAGGCGUGGAUGAGGAAGAUGGAACGAGGUGCUGCGUCCUUCAAUGUCUCGAUAAAAGGGUUGAAGGCAAGACCGAUGGUCUGCGGGUCGUAAUAAGGGUACGUGGAGACCGGGAUGCCGACCAGGGGGAAGAUCUGGUGGUGGUUCACUGUGGACAACUGGCAUGUCAGCCGACUCUGCAGCAACCAAACCACGCCUCCCUCCAGGGCGGCAGGCACAGCGUGGAGGUCUCAGUGGGGAAGGGAAUGCAGGGGCGUGAUUCAAGCGAUGACUUACCCCAGGUGGGAUCGCUCACGUAGACGCGCUUCUCGUUCCAGCCGUAGAAUCUGCUCAGGAAGAGCGCCCCCAGGUGGUUCGCGCCAGUCCCAGAGAUGGUCUGGACACUCGUCACACGUUCCUCGGUGAUGACAGGCGAGUCGCUGCCAAAGAUGAGACGCGCGGCGGCCGAGGUGAAGUCGGGCAGACCAGUGAUGGGAAGAUAUUCGUGAUCCACUGCGGGGUCGUUGACGAGGAUCUCAGUCGCCUGGAAAUUCGCGGGACGCGCAGGGUGGGUCAAUUUGUAGUCAACGGCAUAGCACCGGGACACACCUUCUUGACGACGGGCAGCACCCACGGCUUGCUGUUGUCGUCACGGUAGGCACCGACUCCAAGGUUCACCUUGCUGGGGUAGGAGUCGGCCUUGUACGCCGCAGUCAACUUGAAGAUCCUGCGCAAAUCGCCUCAGCAUGGCUCCCUCUCCAGGGAAAGCGCGCGAGACGCGUACGCAUCAGGAGGCGCGAGGGGAACCUCGGACCAUCGCUCUGCAAAGGCGAUAAGAGCGCGAACAUGGAGCCCCAACCCUGAUUGGUGGGCAGUGGAAAAGAAAGGACACGCACCAGCAGCAACGGAUUCAGACAUCUUCGAAGACUGGAGGUGGUUCACGACUUGUCGUAGUCUGGUCGCCAUCGCGCGCGUACAAAGGUAGUGGUGAACAGGGAUACUUGGGAUGUGGCCCCUCCAUGUCGGCGAGCCUAAAAACCGAGUCGGCUCACCUGUGCUUUCAGACGUGGGGGGAGCGGCAGGAGCGAUGCGGGGUAGAUGCCGGACGCACGUGAAAUCUUCCCAACCGAACAGCGCGUUGUGUGUCAGCCACUGCGCGCAAUGCGGUCGCAGAACCACUGACCAGUCUAGAUACGCAAGGGUCGUCCUGGACGCUGCUAGGACGGGGAGCAAGUGUUUAGAGGGAAUCGGAUGAAGCAGAUCAAGCUCUUAUACCCGCGUGAUCAUUAUGUGUAUCGCCUUCCUUCUUUGGCUGCAGCUCCCCCGGCUCGCCGCAAUUCCCGCUCAAAGUCCGGUGAGCAAUAUUGGUGGCGGAGGCGUUACGGCCCAUUACGAACUGAGACCCCAUGAUUGACGUUACCGCGCGACAUGGACCAAUCUGGACGGGCGGAGACAGCACUGUACACAAGUAACACAUUGCCAGUUGACACUGCGCUGAUACCACGAAUGAACUCGUCGUCCAUUGGCUGGGUACACACGCACAACCCACCUGGUGCGAGUCACGAUGAGUUCACAUUCGCUCACGAUGCCGUCAUGAGUGCAAAGUCGUACAUUUAUAUAAAGGCCCGAGAAUAUAUGAAAACACAGAUAGACACCGAUGUGGCAAACAUUAUGCACUAGAUAAAGGAGCCAGAGGAGGGAGCAACAUCGGGAGUUAUGGGAAAGAGACGAUACGUGGUAUAGCAAAGUCCGUGUGUCAUGAUAGCGACGAGGUGCCGAGUCGUGAACGUAAGAUGACAUGGCGAGAUGAUGUGGGGGCCAGGGCGGCGAUGAUGACCUGCACACCCCCCGUACCCUGAGGUGUGGCGAUGGCGGUAAGGAGGAGGUGGAAAGGAGGAGGGGAUAUUAAGCUGUGGCCAUCUUAGGUGCAACAGUCCGUUCACUCUCCAGCUUGGCUUUGUUCUUCUCGAACGCCUGUUGCCGGCAACUUUCCAGGUUCUGGCACUCGUGGUGCUCGGGCAUACGAUGCUGAUCAUGGAGGGGGAACAGAGAUGCCUUACGUCAGCUCGAAAGGCAAGGAAAGAAAGCGGGGACUACGCACUGUGCCACAGAACUCCAGACGGCAGUGGGGGCACUGACCAACAAUACGCAAGACGGCUUGGUUGCAACGGGGCUCGGACUGGAGCUGGCAACGCUUCUUGGCAGGCAUGAUGAAAGUCGCGUGAGACUGGGGAGGGGGUGCGAUAAGCCUGGGAGACAGCAACGGUCAGCUGGAGAUGUCUAAGCCAGGAUAGGUCAAGGACGAGGCUCACGGGACGGGAGUGGAUGAAAUAUAGGUGAGGGGCGGUUGGGAGGGGCCAAGGACGAAAGGGAGAGGACUUAUAUAUACGGGGAGGACGGGGACGCGUCAGCUCGAGAUACGAAUCUGAGAUCUCGCGUGGCGGCGUUGUGCGCGGUUACUAAGAUCGCGCCUGCCCGAUUGCCUGUAUCGAGACAGCCCCCUCGCUCGGCUCUCCUCUUCCGCUCUCUUCCUCAACCCCCCGGAGCUCCAAUCCACCCUCUUUUCUCUGCUCUCCCGACGGCCCAUCCUUUAAGCACCUCGCAGCGGGGAAUCGAAAUCGGAUAUGCCUCCCCCGCUCCGCGCCUGUCAUUAGUGAAGCAUGAUAAGAAGGCCCGGAAGCGGUGCGUGCCAAUGCGUGCAGACGCACCUCCGCCACAGUGCCAGUGCCACGCCCCUUCCAUCCCAGACAAGAUGCGAGGCUCCCGCCAGGUAACCGUGCGCAUCUCCUCUCAGUCACCUUCCGCCGUUAUGCCGCCGCUUCGGUGCCCGCAUCCGUUCCCGGAACCAGUCUGUGUGACCUAGGCCUCAAACCCGGUCAAACUUCAAAUCCUCCCCGGCCUAGAACAACGCCCGUUGGAGCACGAAGAUUUCCCCGAGGGAACCCAUAUGUGGUGGAAGUUAGGUACGUCGUCCGCCUGACACUUGACAGUCCACUUGCCCCUGCCACACGGCGACCGCACAGUCGCCCACAUUUCCCCUUGUCUCUUGCAUGCGUUCCUCACCCUCGUGCUUAGUACACUUCUGUUUGUUCCGACAACUGCGUCCGAUCGUUGCUUCGCUUCGCUUGGAUAGAAGACUGGGAGGGGAUUCAGAAUGAGAUAGGAGCAUCACUCGUCCGGGUGAGAAAAAAGCGACUGCGAUGGAUAAACGGCACUGUACAAUCUGACCACAUAGGUAUAGUCCAUUACGACGAGCAGAAGAAAGAGUGGUAUAGAUAGAUAUGACCUGUACGCUGGCGAGAGGGGACCGCAACCUACACUGAUGCGCGAAAGAUAAAGCCCAUACGCAAGCGUGCCUCUCCGGUAUCAUAAGUCCCAAGGUCCGCUCGAUGUGGCACUAGCGUUUCCAGGGAUGCCAAGCGACGAUGGCGAUGGCGAUGAUGAUGAGGAUGACAAUGAAGAUACCAAAGCAGAUCCAACGCAUUUUGCGUGCUGACCGUGCCGAAUUGACGGCCUUCGUGGUGUAAUUGAGACUGCGAAACCGUUAGUCCAACAUCAAGUCCCCAUAAUCCCAGUGACUGACCCAGUUUCAACAUCCUUCUCGACGUCCGUGACGGUAGCAUUGAUGACAGUGAUCUGCUCAUCCUGCUGUUCCACCAAGAUGCUCAUCUAUAAAAAACACGAGUCAAUGGCUGAUCAAGCCAUGGAACACGGAGAAAAAGCCUCACAUCAUUGAACAGUUGGGCAAGCUCCGUUAGUGUCCUCUCAAUUUUCUUGAUGUCCGCGUGACGUUCCUGCACUUCACGGUAUGCGGAUCGGGCUUCGCCGUAACGGUUCGAGUUCAUCAACGCCUGGCUGAAGAUCUGACCGCCCUGGUCAUCAUCGACGACAGCCUUUACUUCCUCUGGAGACGCGUCGGGCUUGACUACAUUCAAACAUGAGCUAAGCUAUUUAGAAAAAAAAAUCAAAAGAGGCACAGCAACACACCGAUCUUAUACUGGCGCUCCAAGCGCUGCUUGUACUUUUGCCGGUACUGCUGCUCGACAGUCUGGUAGUUCUGGAUGGCCUCCAUAAACUUUUGCUUCACCAAGCCGGUCUGCAGCACCACAUCAUCCUUCAGCACGGGGGUCCCAGAGGAAGUCGUCUUGCCACUGACCUGCUGCUUCCGGAUUUCACCGUCCCGCCCAGCACCGCCCUGCUUCUGCAGGGCCUUGACCCGUCUACGGAGGACAUCGCUCAAAGCGCUGGUGUCUGCAACUAGGUCCUCAAGCUGCUGGUUGACACGCUGGGUCGUGGCGUCGUCCGUCGUGUUCAGGGAGCGCGAGUGCAAGUCGGAAAUGCGGUUGACGUUGUCGUUGUACGUCCGAAUGUCGUCUUGGAUAGAAGAGAUCUGCGACCGCGGGCUGGCAUGAGCAUGGCGGCCUUCGUGCGCGUUCCUGAGAAGCCUCGCGCGUAGUUGCGCUGCCACGAGGCCUACGGGAAAGGAGGAUGAACGAGGCACACACCUCACUAUAGAACGCGGCCAUGCCAUCUGACCCGCCGGUGAGGUUCGUUGUGCUGGGUGCCGCUGCAGUCUGAUACGAAGGGGCGUCGUCUUGCUGGGCGUACGGGUUCGCGCGCGAACGAUAGUCGUUGGUGCUCUGCAUCGGGUACGAGUCGCUGGAUUCGUAGCGCAACGAAUGUCGCCAAGUCAGUGUCUGCUACCUGGGGCACAUGAGAAACGCUAAAGACAGGGGACUCACGAGUUGGUGUACCCGCCUGCACCACCCUGUUGCUGCGCCUGGUUGCCGUAGUAUUAGCACCGUGACGACAAGACAUACAGAGGGCGUGUGUCGCGCAUGUGCGCCACCACGAAGUGAUGAACGGUAUAUGGGCCAACAGGGGCUUACCCUCAGAGCUGCAAGUCUGUCCCUAGCCAUGACAAUGUAGAGUGUGAGUUCGGAGGAGCCUAGAUGCGGGAGUGUAGAUCGGCGUUUAGGUGUGAGGGGAAAUGAGAGCAACAGUCAAUGUUGCGUCCACUGGAGGUCGAUGGGAGAAAGCAAGGAUGAAGAAGACACGAAGAUGAGGGGCGGGGGUAAAGACUGGCGGGUAAAAGGCAGUUGAUAGAGGGGACAGUGGAGGGCGGCAAGAGGGGCGGUGUUGAGUUGGCGGUGUACAACCCCCUCAAUUCGAAUACAGUCCGGCUGAUAGGCGCUAGCGCCUGUGCCCAUGAACGGCGCAGCCCACUCUCAGACACCGCCGCCCUGACGCUCCCGUCUCAUCCAGUCCACCAUCGGGCCGACGCCUUCUUCUUGACCUAACUUUACCUUACGCAUUUGCUACGGCGGAUCAAGGCGGCGAUACUCAACACUCGAGACAGCUCACGACGCAGCAGUCCGCCUCGGAAUUGAUGAGAUUAUAGUCACUGCUUCGGCUACUCCGGGUACUAUACAUUCGCCAUGGUGCGUUUCAGUUCACGACUUCAGUUUGCAAGCGCGCUGCGGAGCACGGAGAUCUGCCUUUCCACCAUUUUGCGGCUCGGUCCACCAAUCGACUGCCGCCGUUCGACACUCGCCUCAAAGUCGAACACCGCCAGGACGUCUUCGUCGAACUUGGCAUGUAAGCUGCGGAAGUCUUCCAGGGUGAGCUCAUUGAGCUGGCAUUUCCGCGCCUCUGCUAGCGCCACUGCCCGUCCGGAAACGUGGUGGGUCUCGCGGAACGGAAUCUGUAACGGGAAUACAUCCGACGACGGUUCAAAGCAGUGUAGGUCAGUACGCGUCAGAGGGACACCCGAACCAGAGUAGGCACUGACCCCUUUCCGGACCAGAUAGUCUGCGAGGUCAGUUGCCAAGACGUCCAUUGUCAAUGCUUGAAGCAUCCUGUCACCGUGCACCUAACAAGCGACCUGGUCAGCCACAUUUGGGCUGAUAAACGCAAUUGGCGGCAUACCUCCAUCGUGGCAAUAACACCCUCUGCAAUCCGGAAUGACGCGGAGAUGGUGUCAACAACGUCAAAGAGCGGUUCCUUGUCCUCCUGCAAAUCUUUGUUGUAUGUAGAUGGCAGGCCCUUGUACGUCAUCAAGAAACCGGACAUCUGUAGGAGGCAAAGUCAAUGCUAAAGCCGUACAAUGAAGAGACCGGUAACAUACGUUUCCGAACACACGACCCGACUUCCCUCGGAGAAGUUCAAGGGAGUCAGGGUUCUUCUUUUGUGGCAUCAUACUCGAUCCGGUGCUAUAGUGCAUGCAUGUCAAUGUCAAGGAGAUACCUUGCAUGAUUGGGAAAUCCAAUAUACCUAUACGCAUCGCUCAGAGUAAUGAACCCGAACUCUGCGGUCGAGUAGAUGAUGAGGUCCUCAGCCAUUCGGCUGACAUGGGUCAUAGCCAAACUCGCCCACAUCAUGAAUUCGGCGAUGAAGUCGCGAUCGCUCACGCCAUACAUGCUGUUCUCAGCGACGGUUUUGAAGCCAAGCUCCUGAGCGAGAAAUUCGCGGUCGACCGCAAAGGGGUUACCCGCAAGUGCACCAGAGCCGAGAGGCAAUACGGAUAUCCGAGGGAUGAGCUGCUGGAGACGCUCAAGGUCUGCACGGAAAGAAAACGCGUGCGACAGCAGGAGGUGGGACCAGCGGAUAGGUUGGCCGCGCUUCAGGUGGUUUGUUAACGUUAGUCCCCUUGGAGUAUGUGCGAACGACAGUACGGCAUACCUGCAAAUGUGUAUACCCCGGCAUGAGGAUAUCUUUCUCUUUGUCUGCACGCUCCACCAUCACACGGAGGAGGUCCUUGAGACCAUUCUCGACAGCACGAACUUCUCCGAGAAGCCACAGACGCAUAUCGGUGGCUACCUGGUCAUUCCGCGAGCGUCCAGUGUGUAGCUUUCCGCCAAGUGGGCCAAUGAGCUCGGUUAAUCGACGCUCGUUCGCGGUAUGGAUGUCUUCGUCGUCUGGCUGGACUACAAACUGAUGGCAGACUCAACAACGGAGACCGCAGUGCAAGCACCAUUCAUGGAACAUACAGUGCCCUGCUCCCACUCCUUCCCCACCGCUUUCAGGCCAUCUACGAUCUUUUGUUCCUCGUUUGGGGUCAAGAUGCCGACACGGGCAAGUCCUUUGGCGUAUGCGAUUGAGCCCGCUAUAUCUGCAGCGUGCAUACGCUGGUCAUAUCGUAAUGACUGGUUGAAUUCAUGCAUUCUGAUUUAACUGCUAUCACUCGGCCGCCAAUCCUCUCCAAUUGGGUAACUACUCACAGUGGGUCAGUUUUGCCAGUGAAUCGACCACCCCAUAGCUUUUGCUUCGUCGGCAAGUCGGACAUAAUUGUUUCCUUGACGGCGUAGGGAGGGUGGAGGAGGAUGGAGAAAGUAAGGCGUCGAGAGCGCGCGUGAGAUCUUGAUCAAUUUGGCUACAAUCUGGACUGAACAUGACUCGCCCUCAGCCACGCGCGCGUUGCGUCGUAAGCGCUUCUUUCUGCGGAAACGUCCGUCCUGUGUCUUAACUAACAGUGGGGCUGCAAAUGCCGGCAGCACGCUAUUUAAGAAAGUUUGACUUCGGUCUCAUUACACGUGUGUCUAGUAGAAGAUGGGAAUAUUACUCCAGAAGCAAGAUACAACAUUUUCACCGAUGCAGAGCAUUCAUCACCAUGAAAGCAAAUGCGGCAAAAAGGGAUGCUCCAACGUAAAUGGCGAUACGAACAUCAAAAGGAUUGUAGGUGAGGAAAGGGUAUGGGACUGGUGGUGCCUUAACGUCAGUGUGCUGUUUAUUCCCAUCCAAACGAAAAGGCACGUACACAUGCCGUUGUAGCUUGCACAGUAUUCCACCCAGGAGGCAUACCAGGUACCCAAAACAGCAGCAACCACGAACGAGCCAUACCGACUAGCGAGCUUGGGGUAUUUGGGCUCUAAGGUAUAGAAGUCAAUGAUCAGAGAAAUUGCAGGGGCGGCGUGGAGCGCGAGGUCGGUGAGCAAGGGCAAACGCUCGGGUUCGGGGACUGUAUACGAUGACAUAGGAACCCUUUCGCUGACGGGUCCCAUGAGAAUCAUGUGUGGCAUAGUCAGCAAUAGCGUCCAAUAAAUUACAGAGAUGACGAUGGAAAGCUGCAACAAAACCGUAUCAGCUAUGUUCGUAAUGAGGCAGACUCGAGGCCUACAGGGAGGGCGCUCAUGAGGACCGCACGUUUGGCUGUCCUAAGUAUCUCUGUGAACGCACGUUCGUCAAUAGAUACAUCCCGACGGAGAUAGGUGUCUACUUACUGACAGAGGGCACCAGGUCGCAACCGACGCUGAGCACCAUUGCGAUGCAGGCGACACCAAGCCUAUGAGCUUGACUUCAGUGACCUUGGUCGAGGAUUGGACGAAAAAUGAUUGAUUACCCUUGAAUGGUGAGGAAUUGGAAGUGCCCUCCCUUCAUUUUAUUCAUCUGCAUAGCACCUACGAUGUCCGGGAGAUGGAGGUACCCGUACGUCAUGACGGCAACAGCGGUCGUAUGCAAGAGAAACGGGAAAACCCGCGGGCUUGAGGACAUGGCUUGACUGGUGUCGGCCGUGAUAAAUGUGGGGGAAGGAGCGGGGUGACACGCUGGGGGAAACAGAGCGGUAGAAUAUUGGUAGUUGGGACGGGUGCAAGCCCUUAUAAAGUCACAGUCCGAGACACGGACAUGGCCGGAUGUACCAACGGAGACGAUGCCGAUACCCCGGACCAGCCAUGGUAUCACACGAGAUGUUUUCGCAGGCGCAUCCCGUGCUAGUCUCCGUACUUAACUGUGAUCUCCGGCGUGCAAAUGAGGAAUGGGUGCAAAGUUGGGUGCAAAGCUGAGCAAGCGCUGAGUUUUGGUGGGCGCAGCACCGCUGUACGGAGACACAGAUGACGUCGGCCAUUUAUCAAAAAAGAUCGGCUGUCAUAUUUAUCAAUACAGUACUUGGUCGUACGAAAGCAUCAAUAUUACAUAAUGUUUCCGGCUUAUGUUCCAAACAAGCGCCCAGCGAUGCGGACGCUGCAUGAGCGCUAGUUCUGGCCAAGCCGUGCCGUACACCUUUAUGCUUUUCGCCUGUGCCCCCGUCUGUUAGUUCAAGCCUCUCAGCUCCCUGUCCUCCUUUGGUUUACCAUAUAACCACAACGUCUACUUCAUUGAAUCUGGGACAUUAUCAACCGGUCUGUACCGCUGCGAACAUAACGGGAACAAACGUAUGAGAGGUGUCAUAUAGGAAUUCCACGGUGAAAACGGCAUCGGAACGCUCGGUGCAGGUCAUACUCUUUACAACUCCACAUACUACGGUCACACCGACUCGGACCAUCCUUUCCCCGAUUUCCGCAGCCAUGGCCGCUCAACGGGUUACAGUCACCUACUCCGGACCCAUUGUCUUCCUCUCCACAGACCACUGGAAGCAAAUUCAGAGCUCCUUGGCCUCCCAAUUUCCUCUCCGAAAUUUACAUUGGAAGUCAACGUCAAGGAAUGCAGUGCGGUCAAUCCAGGAGUUGGAUGUGAAGCUGGUGGCGUUUGAGGCUUUGAAGGAAGACCAGGCUGCGUCGCAGGUACCUCAAACCGUGUUAGAGAAACCAUUGCUCCACCUGUACAUCUUCACUUGUGAGGUGAAUUCGUAGCCCAUUCCCUCUUCCUCGCCCGUACUCAGCCACUUGAAGGACAGCGAAGUGUAUCGGAGUACCGUCCGUAAGCAACUCAAGGAGUGGCAUGGGUCCGUGAGCACACGGAAAAACCAAGAAUGGCUCAUCGUGCAUGUCAUGCGUCCGGACCAGAGCGUCGGUCAAGGGAGACUAUUUCAGAUGAAGACCUCCGUACUCGACAAGGUAAAGGCCGAUUUCAAUUUGGAUAAGAAAGAUAGGUAUGUCCAAUCCUUGACAUGCACGUGAGAUCUAUCUUCAACGGCGUUCAAGAUGCAUUCAGCUUGUAUGGUCGGCGGGGAAAGACAAUCCGACGGUGUGGGCAGACUUCGUCUCUAAAGUCAAAGAAGGGAUACUGUCUUCCUUUGACGCUGCCUUGGCGCAGCGCGAGGAGGAAAUGAAGCGGUCAGAGGGGCAAAGAACAAUGCCGGGUUGGAACUUCUGCACAUUCUUCAUCCUCAAGGCGAGUGGUGGAAAGCACCCUCUCUGUUUGGCGACCUUAACUGAUUAUAUACUUGCAGGAGAGCUUGGCUAGUUCCUUCGAAGGCAUGAACCUAUAUGAGGAUGCGCUGCAGCAAUACUACGAACUAGAAUCUCUCUUCUUCCAAGUCCUACAAGAAAAGAAUCUGUCCUGGUUUGGCGCCUUGAUCACACCCAUGCCCACAGACGAUUCCGUUCCCCUUUUGUCAAUCACGAAGAAACCAUAUCGUGAUCUCAUUCUUGCCAACACCAUCUCCGUCUUCGACUUCCGCGUCUAUCUCCUCGCCAGACAAUGUCUACUGCUGAGCAAGAUAGGCGGCAUGGAAGAAUUGUGUCGGAAGGCCGCGUCGUUUCUCAGCAUAUUUUCAAGAACAUUGCGCGAUGUAGAGGUAAGUGUUUCGUGCUACUCCAUCUGGAAGGCGUCUCGGAACGGUCGAUCCAGAACACGUUACCUCCCUUCUUCAUCGAAUCCUGGAUAUACUCGUCAGCUCUCAGCGUCGUGGACCAAGCCGACGAAUGGACCAAGAUACUCACACUAGAGAAGGUUACGCUAUCAUCUUUCAAUGCCGCGAAGGCGGAGUUGCUGGAGCUUGCACGACAUCAAGUAUGUACCUAUCUUUGCCUUGAACUGCAAAGACCGUCACUUAUGUGUGGCAAGCUUGACAUCCUUGGCAUCGCAACAGGCUUCCUCCCGAAUAAACCCCCUUUCUCUCUUACACUACCCUCCUCAUUCGAUCCCCUUGCCAAGGAUCCCAAGGCGAAGCGUGGCUCCAUGACCAUCACGAAGACAGAGUUGCUUUCCUCCAUGGAGCAACAAGACACACUUUACGACCUUUAUGUCAACGUCACGAACCGCGCCAUCGAGCUUUAUGCGAAUUCGGGUCGUCGCAAGUUCGCGCUCAAGCUCCACGGGUCCCUCGCAGCACUUGACAUGUACGUUGUCGCCUUUUUCGCCCACAUGCACCGUCGGUUACUGACGUGCGGCAUACAGUCAUCGCGGUCGCCUAGCGAACGCACUUCAGACAUACACCUCUCUUCCCGCACAUUACUCCCCACACGGCUGGACGUCGAUGGAGGCCUACAUGCUCAAUCGUGCGCUCGAUAUCCACGAGGCUGCGGAGAAACCGAAGGAUAGGGAAUGGGUCCAUAUCCUCUUGCACUUUCUUAGGACUUACGUCGAAGACGGCGGCAGAGAUCUGUUACCUAGUGGGGAGGACAACAAGGCUUAUGUUGAGGGUCUCAUCACAGCGUUGAAGGAGGCCACCCAGAACCUUGAUAGCGGUGAGCGAUACAAAACUCUGUACUCGUAGGCACAGGAUAGCUCAAGGUCUACUUAUGGCAGAUGUACCGUUCCCCGAUCACGCGGCACUAUCAGUGUCGCUCGUCGGACCUCACGCCAAGUUGGCCGAGAGUCGUGAUGGUUCGUUGCUCCAGGUCGAGGUGCACAACAAGCUGCCAUGCGUGAAUAACUUCACCCUGUAGCACCGUACGUAUGCUGAUGCAGGUUCCAGGAUGUUCCCGCUGAAGAAGUCCGGCUGCAACUGAACGGGCGGGACGGCAGCCAGCUCACUUUCACCACCAAAGUGUCAGGCAUAGUGCCUGGGUGUACCGAACUUAUGCUCUUCUGUCCGGUAGGUUGUUUUAACACCUAGAAUGCUCGCCGAUGUUUGAUGAAGUCGCCUUUUACACAGUCUCCCGCUAUGGGAACCUUCACUUUGGCUAGCACUCAGAUAUCCGUUUCUCGUCUGCUGUUCCAGUGGAAACACUCCAAGACGCCAAAGCAGAUCAAGGCUGGUAACACGCCCAAGCUUGUGUAUAUUCCCAAAGAUGCCACAGCGCUCGACGUCAAGCUCAAGCAGCCGCCUCUUAGUACGUUGAGCGGUGGCUAUAUCCGCGUUGAAAGUGGCUAAGGUUUCAAUUUAGUUGAGCUUGGCACCACGUCAAGGAUCAGGGUCUUGCUGUCCACUGGUCGCAAUGAGAUCGCCACGGCUGUGGUGAAGCUAGGAGCACCUUCUGGAGUCACCUUCCGGUACGAAGAGACGGACUUGUUGGGAGAUGGCACGUGAGCGUUGCGGUGUGGAUAGGACUGGUGGACUAAUCCUUGUUCAGAUCCCCCUGCCAUUCGCACCGACCAGGAUUCUUUGACAUUUUUGGACUUGAAAGCCGGACAGACGGUCGUUGCAGCAGUACCCCAUUCGGACGCAUCUGCGUAUGCAUAUAUGGUGAGGAAAGCCCCCUUUAACUAUCACGACGAGGAGAUAAUUUGUUUGUGCUGCUAGAGGGUGAACAUCACUGUCGACUACGCGACCAUUGCUGAGCCCGACAUCACAAGGACGCUACGUCAGAGCCGAGUCGUGGCUACAGGAUUGCCUGUAGAGAUCAACGUCCAGGACUUCUUCCGUGGGACAAGGUCCGUUUUCCUCUCGUUUGCGCGGAGUCGUGCUUAGCUCAUUCUGUAGGCUUUUCACCGCAUUCACCUUGUCGACCAAGACACACCAACAUGUUCGGGUGCGCUCCGCACAGCUGUUGUCGCAGGCCCAGACGACAGGUGUGACGGUAACAAGCUGUGUCGGACAGAAGCCCAGCAUUGUUGUACGUGAACAUGAACGAACGCAUCGUGUACUAUCGCUCAUCCUGCACGAACGACAGACUCUUACUCCUGCUCAGCCAGGGAGAUUCCUAUUCCAGAUGGAUUCCGAGAAGGGCACAGGUGUGAUCGAUUAAGUAUGUUGGGAGCGAUGUCCAGCGCUGAUGGCCUCUACAGUACGCGAUGGCUUGAAGCUGCAGAUCACCUACCGCAUGCUCCGCGAGGGUAAGGUCCCUCAUCAAGAUACCGCAAACAUGAUACUGACCGCCCUUCGCGCAGAGGUCGAAGCAUUGAUUGAAAUCGCUGUUUCAGAAGUUUCAUCGAGCACACCUUCAUUAUAUUCCCUCCGGCAAGGCAUGAUUGACAAACUCGUGCAGGCGCUUGAGGCAGAGGCAAGUUGGGUCGAGCUUUAUGGAGUCACUGGGGAGCUUGUCGUUCCCGGGAUCACUCCGACGGACGAUGACAUUGGUUCAGGACUCCGUCAAGUCAUGGAGGUUGGUGGUUUUCGUUUUCAUGUGUACGCCCAGAGAGCAGAACAUUACCUGACAUCUCGCACAGAAACUGAACCAGAAGAGGUCUCCGACGUCGUUUGGGGAGUGGAGGGACAUCGUGAUUCCUGUGGAUGUCCCUCAGAUACACGUGCGUUGCGUUUCUAGGUAGCAUUGUUGGCGUGUGUUUGAAGCUAAUAGGUUUACUAGAUCCUCGCUUCCGCUCGGUUGCAGAUUUUGGAGAACCCCUUCUCAUCUGAGUUAGGGAAGGCGGAGAAACGUUCGCGGCCGCUCUACGCCGGCCAGCCGAUCUCGGCACUGCUCACAGUCAAUACGUCCUUCCACUGGGCGCCGCCUGAGGACACGAAGGUCCAAAUUUAUAACAUGCGAUACGACAUUGAGGAUCUGACGCAAGACUGGUUGGUGAGUGGGCGUAAGAGAGGCGACUUCGUGGCUAAGGUGUGUUUUCCACCACCCCUGUCGUCCCAUGCUGACAUGUUGGUCUAGGACGGGGAGACGUUCACAACCCCGGUCACUCUCAUUGCACUGCACCAUGGAGAGCUUGCGCUACCUAAGAUCGGCGUCACAGCGCUACCGCUCCCGGGCGAGCAUAGGAUGCGAUCGAGUGUUAUCCCGAGUUGCGAGACGUACGAAGUGCAUGGUGCGGAGAAGGUACUCGUUCUGCCUCGGGGAGGCCGGUCAACGUUUGUGGUCAACAUGGGUACGAAUACCAGUAUGUAGCUAUAUUUUAGACAGAUGUCCCUUGAAUUCGUUGGGAUGUACCUUGCUGUUUUUCUUCUUUUGAAUGUAUAUGGCUUUUCAACCGCUUUCGUCGAGUGUAGUUCGCGGCAAGAGAUCUCGUGUGACCCUGACGUGACAGGGACAUCGCCAACCGUAACACGUGACAGGUAUGUGUGACAUGACGCGCUCCGAUCGUGAGAUGCGUCACGCGGCGCUGAAGCAGGUCGCGAUCCCACCUGCCUGCCUGAGACCAGUUCCGAGUCUUGUCCACCACCAUUCCUGCUCCCCAAACGCCCUAUUUGACUGCCAUCCUACUCACACACCAUCCAGCUUGCAGAAUUUAGAAUGUCAGACUCAGACGAUUAGUGAGUACCGUACCUUCUGGUGGUUGGCAAGCUACGGAAACUGACUACAACCCGACAGCGAGCGGGAGCGUCAAGCGACCAUUGCCAGGAACCGCGAGCUCCUGAUACAGCUCGGCCUCGCAGAUGCGGCGUCGGUGAUCAAGUCGACCAAGCAGGCGAACAAGGCUGCGAAGCCUGUACAACCACGCGUCAAGAAGCCCAAGGAACCCGCUAUGCCCACACGACAAUCGACGAGGUUGAAGAGAGCAGCCGCAAUAGACCCGGACGAAACCCCGCAGCAGAAACGGAAACGCGAGGUAUGUCACUAUCUCGAUUCAGAAGGAGGGGUAUGCACAGAGCAGCCAUUUUAGCGUGAGGAGGAGGACAGACGACGGAAGGAAGAGGAAGAGCGUCUUGAAGCUGCCGAACGCGAACGAGAAGCGAAGCGACCUCGGCAUAACGAUCUCGACCUGAAUACACUCCUCGAUGACAACUCCCCAGAGGAACUUGCCGCCCUUCGAGCCACCUUCCAGGUUGUGUUGAAGACUCCACAACCCAAGGGCAGGAGUGGAGACGAUGCCUAUGUCUUCGACGAUCACAAGAAGGAACAGGCCGAAGUCACCGAGUUGAAGCAGAGGUUUAAGAAGCUGAAGGUUGUGGCGCGAGCGAAGGUCACCCAGGAUAGGGUGUAUAGUGCUGCCUACCACCCAGAACCGACGAAGGACCUAAUAGUUUUUGGAGGUACGGACAGCACAACUCUCCCUGAACCAUACCGUUUCUCAUGAAACACAGACAAGCAUGGGCAGCUGGGCAUCUGGGAUGCCCGUGCACCAAUCGAUGUGCCUGACGAUGACGAGGACUCCACACCGCCUGAAGACCAGGAAGGCGGCAAGUAUUACCGUCUACAGAUGCAUUGGCCAGCUACUUCCAAAUCGUCCAUAUCGUGUGUCAAGUUUGACCCUAUUGACUCGUUUAGUGUAAGUGUUUAGCUUGUUGAUUCUGCUCCCUGUCUCUGAUCCCUCCUGCAGUUGUAUACCGCCGCGUACGAUUGCACGAUUCGCUCGCUGUCGUUGGCUUCUGGCAUUGCCUCGGAGAUAUACGCAAUGGAGGAUACCUUGAUAACCUCCCUUGACCUCCCGCCCCACGGACAUGAGAUGUGGAUCUCGGAUGCGGAGGGAGGGUUAACACACAUGGAUCUCCGAGCAGGUCGCUCUCACGCGAAACGGUACUUGCUAUCGGAGCAGAAGAUUGGGAGCGUCAGCGUCAACCCCGUCCGGCCAUCCUUCUUGGUUACUGCCUCUAACACUCGAGAUCUGAAGUGCGUUUCCCCUAAUUAUUUCUGCAAACUCUAUCUCAAGGUUGUUGGCUGUCAGAGUAUGGGAUACGCGGAUGUUAGAGACACUGAGUGGCAGGUCUCGCCGGUCCGUCCCUGAUUCCCCUGGCCCGUCGACCCCGCGGACCCCUUCCAAGCGGCAAGCUCGGAGUACAGCCGUCUUUUCGCAACCGACCGAAGUCGACUAUGGAGCGAUUGAGAAGCUCGUCGCCACGAAGAGAGGAGAGUCAACUGUCCGUGCGCGUUGGGCACACGGCAAGUCCGUCAGCUCAGCUUACUGGGACCCGCGGGGACGCUCGAUCGUUAGCACCAGCUACGAUGACACCAUCAGACGUGAGCAUCCUCCCCUUUGGGCUCUGUAGCAGCUCGUGCUGACUCUUGCAAGUAUGGGAUAUCAAGCCUUCGUUGUUUGACAAGGAUGAACCAUUCCCUUCAUCACGACCAUUCAGUCAGAUCAAGCACAAUUGCCAAACCGUCAGUCGGCAAGAUGAUUUUGCUUCUUGCGCCUUCGUACUAAAUAUAAUGGGGUCCCGCUUGAUAGGGCAAAUGGCUCACCAUCCUCAAAGCGCAGUGGACACCGAACCCCGACAUUUAUCCUCACUUCACGGUAUGACUUCACCCUGUCGUGACCCCAGCAUACUCUUACACUUGCGUAUGCUUCGUGCAGAUUGGAAACAUGGACCAUUCCCUCGACGUCUAUUCCUGCAAGGGUGACCAUAUCGCGAAGCUCGCUGACCGUUCAAAGUACGUGCCGUCUUCUUUGCGUACUUUACCUAUCUCUCUUGACGUUUGUUGUAGGAUCACUGCCGUACAAGCAGUCACUUGUUCACACCCUAACAUCGUAGAACGGGUGGCCUCGGGCAACGCUAGUGGACGUUGUGUCUUGUGGGCCCUUACGGACGAUUAACAUCCCUUACGAUGUCUUAAUGUUCUUGUUCUUACUACGCGAUCGACUAUUAUGUUGUAAUACCGGAGACCUCUUUGUCUGUAGGAACGCAGCCACUGGAAGUGAACUGGAUGCCCUUAGUGCUGUUCGAAUAGGCAAAAAGCGUCACCUGAGCGAUUCGAACACUCGCGGGCAAAGCCCAACCGCUAGCAGCUAUAGAUAGCAGGCGAUCCCGUUAACCACUCCGGCAAAGUGACAUAGACAACUUCCUAAUGCACUAUAGUACAAACUUGUUGAGAGAAUAGGAUAGUCUCGGUUUGCACCUCUCCUGUUGCAACUUACAGAAUCACCGAUGGUUCAGUGUCCACCAUGGCCAAGAAAGCUCGCGCACCCCCUUCUACCACGCCUGUACCUAGCAAAGAGUCCCAAGUUAUCUUCCCGCCAUUGGCAUCCAAAGAGGAUCUAGAAUGUCGUGCUCUGCUGGAGGACCAGAUCCUGUUAAUCGAUGUUCGUCCUCGUUGGAUCAUAUAGUGCAUGUUUAAAUGCUCUUGUACACCUCCUACUGAACCUAGGCUAGGAUUUCUUCUCUCCGGAGGAAUGCAAGGCAUAUGUCAAGUUCAUCGAUAGUCUUCCCUUGGAACUCACGCCCCCGAAGAAGAGGGGAGAAGCUGACCGGGUGAACCGUACGUCCACACGCCAUAUCCUUGUCGCCCGAGACCUUAGCAGUUGUUGUGUAGAACGCAUCUCUAUACCAUCUGUCGACUUCGCGCAGAAGUUGCAUGCUGUCCUCGCACCACAUCUGCCUGAAUUCCCGUACCCCAUCUCGGUCAAGAAGCCCGCCGGUGCGGCUGCCCGUGCCGUACACUCCUGCAACUCGAACAUACGUCUUUACAAGUACGCAACGGGGCAGUACUUCGGACCACACUACGAUGACUCUGUUCGCGACGCAGAAACAGGAGCAAAAUCGGAGUGGACGGUACUCAUCUACCUGACCGGAGCGCAGGAUGGGGUAGAAGGGGGGGAGGUGCGUGUUCAAAUAUUGAUGUCCUACUCUGCGCUGCACGGCUCUGCAGACCAUCUUCUAUCGAGACCAACGAGGAAAGCCACGGGAAACAAUUGUGCCUCCCUUGACUCGUGGACAGGUGCUGCUGCAUCGGUGGGUAGCCUCCUGUUCGAAGGAAAAAGUAUUCGUACUCGUCUGACGUAUUCCUCUAGUCACGGACAAGAUUGCCUGCUUCAUGAGGGCUCGCCGGUGACGAAGGGGAACAAGUACGUCUUGCGCUCGGACCUGAUGUUCAUGAAGUAGCAAUGGAAUAUCCCCGUCGACGAUACACACCAAUAUCGCGCAUACCACCACCAGAUCAUCACCUCCUCGCCUUCGACUUCUUUUUCAUCUUCGGCAUCCCCGCCUCCACUACAUCGUCGUCCCGGUCCAUAUCAUCCUUCCCGCCGCCCUCCUCCCCACCCCGCUUCCGCUUCUUCCCAUGACCGCCCUUGAUCCCCUGGUCCUUGAUCUCCGUGGCCGCGAGCCGCCCAGCCUCGUCCACGCGCUCGCGGAGGAGCGCGACUUCCUCCUUGUCGACCGCCCACAGAUCCAUCUUCUUUCCGAUGACCUGCUCGAUGCGCAACACGAGCUCGACGUCGUACUGGGUAACGAGUGUGAUAGAUUUGCCGGAGCGGCCCGCGCGCGCUGUCCGGCCGACGCGGUGGAUGUAGUCUUUGGAAUGCGUAGGGAUGUCGUAGUUGAUGACGACGUCGACGGAGGGUAUAUCGAGACCUCUAAAAUACGAGGUGAUAAUGUCAGCAUGAAGGCAUGCCAAUCGAGAAUGUCACGACGUACCGACUGGCGACGUCGGUCGCGACGAGGAUACUUCGACCACCAGCCUUAAACUUGCCAAGUGCACCAAGUCGCGCACUCUGACUGAGCUGUCCGUGAAGCGGGAUGGCGGGGAACCCCAAGGAACGUAGCAUUAUAGAUAGUCUGUGCCCGUAUGAGCUACGAAAUAUGAGAGCGAAGAAGUAGAGUGCUCACCGUUGUGCAUCAUGAACUGUGCGGGUAAAGAUGAUCAUGGAGUUUUGGGCCAGCGUGUUGGCGAGAUAAAUGAGAUGGACGUCCUUCUGAGGUAGGGGCAUAAGGAGGUAGUAUUGCAAUAGUGUUGAUACAGUCGAAUAUCUGAGUGUGCGGUAAUCACUUAGCAUAUGCUUAACAAGCGAGGACAGGGAAGGACAGGACACGCACUUCGAAUUUACUUCUACACGCACAGGGUUGGACAAGCUCGCGCGUUGAAGCUUAGCAACCUUUGUUGUCAUCGUUGCAGAGAAUAGGUAUGUUGUCCGCUCCUUAGGGAUGAGCUUCAGAAUCUUGUCGAGUUUGGGACCGAAGUCCAUGUCGAGCAGCCUGUCGGCUUCGUCGAGGACCUGCUCGCCAUCCUAUGAGACUUUCCCUGGCAGUUGCGGGUCAAGGGAACGCACCAGGAACUUCAAAUUUCUCAAACUAAACCCUUUCGUCUCCUCCAGAUGCUCCAACAACCUCCCGGGCGUCGCAACGACGACAUGCGGCUUCUUCGCGAGCGCGAUCUUCUGCGGCUGUAUGUCCACCCCGCCAAUGAUCGUCACGCACCGCACGCCCAUCGUGCUCCCAAUGCUCUCAAACUGCUGCGUGAUCUGGAACGCGAGCUCGCGCGUCGGCGCAAUCACGCACGCGAAGAGGCCCUUCGGGUCAUCCCACAGCUUCUGCAGGAUCGGUAGCGCAAACGCGGCGGUCUUGCCGGACCCAGUGGAGGCGACGCCGAUGAUGUCGCGCCCCUGGAGCGCGUGCGGGAGCACCUCGGUUUGGAUGUCUGUUGGGGCUUUGAACUUCAUUUGCUCGAGGGCCUCGAGGAGGGGGUCGAUGAGGCCAAGCGAUUUGAAGGUCGCGGGGGUCGUGGCCGCCUGCUCUGGCCGUUCCGGAGACGGGUUGGAGGUGGAUGCUUCCUCUGGGGAUGGCAUUUUUGAAAGUGAUAGGAGGCAAGAGUGGACAGAGGAGAAAGGAGAAGGCAAGGAAGGUAGGGAGAAAACGGGGCCAGUAGGGACGCUCAGAGUUGGCGGAUUUUCGAGGCGGAUUUUCGAGGCGCCCGGAUUUUGGAGAUCGGCCUGUCGUCACUGUCGUCACGGUCUAGUCACGGACGUCUACACGGGCGCCUCCGAACAUUUGCGAAGCGUGGGCGUCUCCUGCUCGAUCACACGGUCGGCGGACAGGAAUAGGUACUUCGGACGCUUGUAAUGCAACCUGACGAUCAUAGUAGCUGCAUAGAUAGCUAUAAUACAUAUAAUGAUACAUGGAAGUAUCAGGGGCUCCAAGGACCAGAGGCGGGCCCACCCACCCCAGCGGUGAGGUACUUGGCGCUGCCAUCCUCAUCAAUGUAAAAGCAAUCUUCCAGACGAACACCGACCUUGUCCAGACGAUGAUAUUAAUAUGAGACUGGGUAGGGGUUAGUGCUGUUGUGGCUUACCUUUCCCUCAAUAUAUAUUCCAGGUUCAUCCGAAAAAGUAUGCCCGACGAGGAUGAUGUCGUCGGAACCUCCACGCAGAUAAGGUGACUCGUGUGUUUCCAGCCCGAUACCUGGACAACUCUCUCAAGCCAUAAACACAUAGAUACGUAACAGAGCGCGUACCAUGACCCAGCCGGUGAGUAAAGAAUUCUCCGUAACCUGCGUUCUUGAUGAGCUUCCGAGCAGCACGAUCGACCAUAGCAGUCACAGUGCCGUUCGUCGCUGUCACAAUCGCAGCGUCCUGUGCAGCGUGGACGGUGUACCAUAAAGCCUGAUACCGCAAGGGUAUCUCAGAUCCUGGCAGUGCGAAAGUCUAUCAUGGGUCACCACAUCAGUGGGCAUAGUUUGUAAUAUCUUUGAAUGCGCACCCUUGUCACAUCACUGCGAUAUCCAUGGAGGCUUCCUCCAGUGUCGAUGAGGAUGAACUCGUGCUUGCUAAGUGUGGCAUCAGUUCCCGAUCCAUGAGGAAGAGCAGCAUUCUCUGUAAAAUAUAUUACGACUAGGUUCAUUCGAGGCAGAGGCCCGGGGAACCUACCUCCAAAGAGGGUAAGAGCAAAGGCGUCCUUCAACCCAGCCGCGGUAAGGGCGUGGACAACUAGCUGCCUAGCCUCAGACUCCUUGAUACCGAUCUCCAUGUGCUUCCGUGCGGCUCGGAUCGCGAGGACGGUAACCUGUUGUCAUUUGGUGAGUCUUCUAAACCACUCGACAGGACUUAAACUGACCUCGUUGACGCACUUCAUGAUGUUGAGCUCCUCGGAGCUCUUCCGCUCACGAAGCCGUCUGACCUCAACCGGAGCAUUGAAAACUCGCGCGUUUGGUGCCGCCCUCUGGAGGCCGUCCGUAAUAAAGGUGCGGACGUUGCCGUCCACGUAAAUGGAGGUGUCGUUGAGGUUAGGCAAUAGAUCGAGUGCCGUCUUGAAAGGGUCUGUGUCUUCGGGCCAGGAGGUAUACGUGACUCCGGACCUGCUCGGGAUGGGCAGUAGCUUCGCCCUGGUUUUCUCGAAGGCCGGAGUAAGGAUGGAAAUGUUGGCAUGGAUCGAUCCAUUUUCAGCUUCCUGGGGUUGGAUAAUCAGGAGCAGGGGGCGUUCGGAGAGUCCCCAAUGGGACCCAGUGAGGUUGGCAUAGUAUCCGGCGCUCGCACCGGGUUCUGCGACAUAGGCCGAUGCAUCUAGAGCAUGAAGUGUCCGUGCAAGGGCAUUCUGCCUAGAUAUGAACGAGUCCGGAGAUAUGGGCGGUAUAUGGGCACAGUGGCCCUCGAGAUGCGAGAAACCGGGAAGCGUCGAGGUGCUCUUGUUGUCAGACCAUAAGCCGUGAAGAAGAUACUUGUGGCAGAGUCCCGUAAAGUCGAAAAUGAACGCGAAAACUAGGAAUGGUGUCUAUCAUGCCUCUUAUCAGCUUGCGGCGUUGGACACGAACUUGCGAUUUCAAUGAGCACCCACCCAUAUACAUAAAUAGCGGCGCAGCGGGGUCUUCUUUGUGAAACUCUCUUGGGAGAGUAAUGAGGCGGUGUUCGCGGUGAGGAACUCGAUGUCCUUCCCCUGCUUUGGCAUGGCGGUUGUGUUCAAGGACGUCGACCAUCCGCAGAGGAGCUCAUCCCACGGCCAAGGCGGGUCUCCCGGCCGGCACACGCGGGCCGCCCCCGAAGACAGAGCGCGUGCAUCACGUGUGCGUGUCUAUAGUGCGUACUCUUGACUCGGACUUGGGAGUGCUGAGUCGGGACCGAGGCGCGACACGCGACCUGCCCAGCAACGGCCACCAUCUCUGUCCUGUCCAUCAACACUUGCAAAGCAAUGGACGGCGCGGAUAUGGACACAGAAACCCUGCUAGCCAUCCUUUCCAGCCUUCUUUACCCCUCCGAGUUCGAACAUGCAGUCCUCCUGGAUGCCCUCGCCAAGUCCCAGGGGGAUGUCGACGCUGCUGCUCGAUCAUUACGCUCCAAGCCACCACGCAAGAAGCGCAAAAUUUCGCAGAAUGCAGGACUUCAAGGUUGGCUCAAGAGUCGUGACAAGAGUACCCCCUCCGCCAUUCAAGAUAAAUCGCUCUCUUCUACGUCCGUUGCCCGUGCAGAUAGGUCUACUCUCAAACGAGCCUCCAGUCCUAUUACUUCAGGUACGAACGCGUCGCGAAGUAGUGGGAGUUCUUCCUUGUCUCCCCAGAAGCCCUCCUCCAAGACGAAGGCUGUCACCAAUACCGAAUUUAUGGCCCUCUUUCGUCCCCCUACCUCCUCCGAGAGCCCAUCUGAACCCCGGAUAAGGCAACCUCCUCCGCUCACCCUCGUCUCUCCCGAACACGUUGCUCAAUAUGCGCCAUGUACAUUACAUAACUCUAUACUGUCCCAAGAGCUCGCUUGCCGGUAUGUAUUAACCAUUGAUCGGCGUUGUCCUUGCACGGAUUGAUCACCCACUCCCAGACUGUUCUACACCAUGCUCCAUGCUAGUCGUGACUGGAAAAGGAACAAGUGGUGGCUUUUUGACCGCGUUGUGGAAAGUCCGCACAGGACAUCCUUCUUUGUGAGGCGUGACAUCAGCAAAACCAAAGAGGGUAGCGACUUGAAGGAGGAGGCGAAAUAUUGGUACGCCCCAUCCUUCAACGAAUGCGUCUUUGUCCGCAAUAGUGAUGGCGCGAAUCCAUCACCACAGGUACAACGGACGUCCGACAGAUCCCCCUCUGACGUUUCCCGCGCCAAUGGAGGAAGCAUGCGAUAUUAUCGAACGCGUCGUUAACGAGGAGAUGCGCAAGCGCAGACGAUAUCCACUCGAGUGGGCGGGAUACCCUGUUCAAGACGGAGAGGAGCCAGUCCUUUGGCGCGCCAACGUCGCAGCGUCGAACUGUUACGAAGGCGCGAAGGAGAGUGUCGGCUUUCACUCCGACCAGUUAACGUACCUCGGCCCUUAUCCCACCAUUGCUAGUCUCAGCUUGGGUAAAUCGAAUGUUGCACGACAUGUUCGAAUCCCGUGCUGACAUGAGAUGUACAGGGGUGAGCCGUAUCUUCCGACUUCGAGAGGUGAUCCCGACAGACGAGAGAGACAGGCGAAGUGCCCGCACAUUCAACAUCCCGCUUCGUCACAAUUCCGUGGGCCUGCUAUGUAUAUGUACCCCAGCAUUAGUCUGACCACUGCCAAUGCCACAGCUCAUCAUCAUGCACGCGUCCACCCAAGAAGUCUUCAAGCAUUGCGUCCCGGCACAGAACACGAUCGACAUGUUCCGGCCACCCUUACCACCUCCAGCUGGUCUCGCCAACAAGGAAGAACUCGCAAAGCUGUCCGAAGGAUCCAAUGCGCGAAUCAACAUCACGUUCCGUUUCUAUCGACCAGACUUCCGUUCGCAGCUAACACCACACUGCAAGUGCGGUGUCCCUUGCAUUCUGCGUCCAGACAUGAAAAAUCGCUACGAGGCCUCGCUCGACGAUGAUUCUAAUACCCAAUCGGAGCCACGCGCGGGUACGAGUUGUGAGGGCGAGGGCUCCUGCAAAAAAAGCUUGGCAUCGAAAUACUGGUGGACGUGCUACGCUGGAGCCCAAAACGACGGUCACGGGUGUGGGUUUUGGAAGAUCAUGGACGUUAAGGCUGAGGGAAGAGGUCCAUUUGUAGAGGACAUGAACACUACGCCGAGCUCCAGCAAAUAGAUAUUUUAUUUCAUGUUUGUAAUCCGCACGCCCUUAUUUGCUGAAUACAUUUAGCAUGCAUGUACUUAGAGUUUUGGAGGAGGCGCUCUAACCCCGCCUUCCCGAAAAGGUAUCUCACGUUGGGCAAAUGAUCAGAGAACGUUACAUAGAGGAGUCUGACUCACACCGCCCGUCUCUUCCCUUGUGCUACAUCCGCCGCAAGCUGCCAAUACCCGGUACCUCUGCGAGUCGAAACUAUUAGAAAUGGCAGCAAGGACGGCGGCGAUUGAGCGCAAGACGAACGAGACCGAGAUCAAGGUUGCCAUAAACCUGGACUGCCAGGCGGGCACCGGGAACAAACAGGAGAUCUCCAUCGCCACUGGCAUUGGAUUUCUCGAUCACGUAGGUUAUGGCACACCACCGUUACCGCGUGUACUCAUUCGUUUGGUGACGGCGGGCCGUAGAUGCUCCAUGCGCUCGCGAAGCACUCGGGCAUGUCUCUGCAACUGAGCUGCAAGGGCGAUCUGCACAUCGACGACCACCACUCUGCAGAUGAGUUUAUUCUCCGCAUAAUCUCACUCAUCUCGGUCGUGCUUACCUCGCAUUCGGACUGCACAGGACAGCGCGAUCGCGCUCGGCACCGCGUUCAAGCAGGCCCUGGGUGAGGUGCGCGGCAUUCGCCGCUACGGCACCGGGUUUGCGCCCUUGGACGAGGUACCGUAAUCUCUUCAUCCUGAGAGCUGGGAAAAUGUUGAUCCCAUCCCCCAUGUGCAUCUUCCAGGCUUUGUCGAGGGCGGUUAUUGACAUCUGCUCUCGUCCGUACUGUGUGACGGACCUCAAGCUGCAGCGCGAAAAAAUCGGUGACCUCUCGACGGAGAUGAUUCCGCACAUUUUCUACUCAUUCGCCAUCGCGGCCGGCGUGACACUCCACGUCGAUGUGCUGAGGGGCGAAAACGACCACCACAGGUACGAUCAAGUCUUUACUGAAUUUUGGAGAGGGACUGAUGCCGGCAUUUUUUAACAGGGCCGAGUCGGCGUUCAAGGCGCUUGCUCUGGCAAUUCGGGAGGCGAUUCAGAGGACAGGCGGGGACGAUGUGCCCAGUACGAAGGGCGUGCUCUAGUUGAGCGGAUAUAUGGGGUUGAUCAAGAUUGAAUGUCUUCAUAUGGGGGAGUGUAUAGUAGCACGGUCCUAAACAAUGCAAAUAGGCCGCCAUCCAGUGCGUGAGAUACAUUACCUACUGAUACAUAUACUGUUGACAGAGCAAGUGCACGAUAUCACCGAGAGGACUAGGGUAUUGGUACGAAGCGAAAUGGGGGUACAGAGAGGGAAAGGAGGUGCUUAGUACCGCUCUCCACCCUCACAGAGGGUCUCGAGGAAGACUUUGAGAUCGUCCUUGUUGAUUUCAAGAACGCUCGUGUCGAAGGUGCCGUGCCUGGUACGUGCGUUGCACCGCUCCUUCGCGUCGAGGAAAGCAAGGCCGAACUCACUGCAAGGCUCGUUGGACACUGAAUGUGGGGGAGAGGGGGAUGAAGACUCACUUCUUCCGAAUCUCGUCGAAGUCAGCCGCACCCGUGACACCGACGACGAUGUACGUCCCUGCCUUCUCGUCGAGACAUGCGAGGACGAAAGGGAGACUCUUUCGCUUGCUUCGCGAAUAUGCGGCUGUCGUGGCUUCUACACGGUCGCGGAGCGCGUCGACCAGCCACAGUGCUAGGCGGCCUAGUACGCCUGGGUGGAUGAAGAGCGGAAGGUCUGGGCCUUGAGUAAGGAUGACGACGCGGUGCCCGCGCAAGGUCUUGAUAUCCUGCUUGUCAAUUAUUGACGAGCCCUGGCGGAUAAUAGCUCGAUGAAGGGCCAUUGAAAGCGCGAUUGCUUCUCGCAGUCGCUCGAUGCUGCACGAGUCGUGCAUGAGGAUCAGAGAUAGCGAAGACGACGAGAAGGCGGACGUACUCGCUUAACGCGUCGAACGCGGCCCAAAAGUUCUUCACCCACCAAUCCACAUCCUCACCCUCUCCACCUUCUUUCCCGUCCGCACCAGCCUGAGCCCUCACUUGUGCCUUCAUGACGUUGGCAAGUACUCCAGGUGGAAUAUUCUCUCGAUCCUCGUUGUGAUACCUGCCCUCUUUACCACCAUCCCACAACUUGCCCCCACCGAACCACUCUCCUCCAUUGCGUGCGCCUUCGACCUCGACCUCUAUGCGCGUCCCGCCUGCGAUGUCUAAGAGCGCAGACAGCGCUUCAACGGCAUCCCCAGCUGAAAGGGGCUGUGAGCGAUAACCAAAACAUCGCAUGAAAGACGGGUACGAGAGCUCGACCAGUCCGUACUCAGGGGCGAGCUGAUCCAAUUUCUCCCUUAGGUUCUCCUUCAGAUCCUUCGCCAUGUGUGGGAAUGGCUGCUGCGUCUCCAGGAUCGAGAACCCCAUCUUCGCGAGCAGCCCCGUGAGCCGCUUGCGCCCGCGCUCCUUCCAGAUCCCGAGCUUGCUCGCGACGUAGCUCGAGUGGUACAUCGCGUCGUAGAGGUUCCAGUGCCGGAACAUCAUGAACCGGAACUCGUCCGACGCAUACACAGAAUGGUCGUCCGGGCCCGCCGCCUUGAGGUCGUCCCCGAGGGCGGAGGGGGGCGCCGGGUUGAGCCGUGCGACCUCGUCGUAGUAAACGGACUGGAACUUGUCGUAGUCGUCCCGGGAGAUGCGUGAUGUGAUGUAUUGGUGGGUGAGGCCGAGGAUCGCGAACCAUAGGAGGUCGCUGUCGACGCGCUCGAGGACGGUUGCGAGGAUGUAUAUUGUUCCUGACGCGCUUUGCCCGUGCCAGGUGCCGGAACGGUAGUACUUGAUGAGGCGGUUUUCGUGCUGGGAGCGAUCUUCUCGUGACAGGCGAUUUGGGACCUGUAUGCGCAUGGGGUAAGGAGGGGUUAGUGUUGUAGAGGGAAGAAACUCACAUCGACUCUUCGCCGCUUGCCGCGUUUUCGGUCACCAUCAUCUAACGACUUGCGUUUCCUCGACGGAGACGCGGAACUUUCGCCGUCUUCAUAGUCCUCCUCCUCUUCAUCUUCUUCCGCUUCUUCGUCCGAGUCAAAAUCUGAGUCUUCAUCCGAGUCCUCCUCAGGGGCAUACUACAACAGAACAUGAGUGUUAUUCUCCCCUCUAGACGCUAUGGAAAUAGUUACUCACUGUCAAGGUCUCCCAAGCUUUGCGCUCCUCUUCUAAAUGCUCCACACCACCAUCGUCCCAAAUUACUAUUCGGUCACCAUUCUCUCCACCACCAAAGACACUUGAUAAAUUCUGUGGUCUCGAAGAAUCGAUGACAUGCACGGUCAGGGUUGUCGGGAAAUCACCAAACCACUCGGGUGACGGGAGGUCGAGGAUAGCACCCAUGUUGAACAUGAUCAGCGUGUGUAACUGCACACCACAUCAGGCAUAAUCCCAAAGCGCGGACGAGCGAUAACGUACAUCAGCGUAUGUUGUCAGCUCGCCUCGUAUUCUCUCGAGCUCGGCGUGGCCCGAGACGGGGAUGAUUCUGUGCAUGACGUCGUCCUGCUUGAAGAGAUCGGCGAGCAUCUUGGACGCGCAUAACGCGUCGACGUCCGGCGCGACGAGAAUAAUAACGGAUGACGCCGCUGUCUUGGGUGAACGUCGGUGUGACGCGAGUAUCUUGGAGUAGGCUUCCGCAUAUGAUGGUCGGGACCCGGGGGCGAGAUGGGGUGGCGGUAGGUACACCAUAAAGCGUCGGGAAUGCCGUCAGAGCGAGCAAUGGCAGCGACGCGUAAAGAAGAGCCGGCGUCGAGGGGAAUGUGUAUGGAGGAAGCGUUGAGGACGCGAGAAAGAGGUGGAAGGGAUGACGGUCAGAGCGCGUCACGCUCAACAACGCGUCCUUGCAGGGGCACGCGCUAGCACGUGACACGCGUCUUCCGCGUCUAUGGCUGGUGCAAGCGCCGCUCAGACCGGACUCGGCGCAGGACACGCAUAAAAACGUCAAGGAGAGGUGAUACUUCGUCUAGAUGUGUGUGUGUGUAUUACGUAUUACUAUGUUCAUAUGUUUAAACCAAGGAAGCUCGACCGCUCCCGCACCUCCCUCCUCUUCCCGCGGAUACCCCAGAGGCCCCAGUUCGUCUUCACCAUCACCCGCGGGUCGAAGUCCGCCACCUCCCACUUCUCACUCAGGAACGCGUUCGGCCCCGGAGUGAUCACCCAAUCGAACUCCCCAGCGACCUCUGGCGCCGUCGAGAGCGACUUCACAUCGCGCUCCACGUCUGCGGGUGAGAACCCGGUCACAAAGAUCGGGCACUUCGUCGCCAAUAGCUGGGGUAGGACAGGGCCCCACUCCGUUGGAGACGCGACCUGGAGAAGCGGCUCCCCAGUGACCUCGUUCACUGAGUUCGGCGAAGGGAAUCCGAGGCCAGGCGAGAACAGGAAGAAGCAGUCCGUGUAGGGAUCGAACGUCUCCUGGAAUUGCCCAUGCACCUCGUUGUAGUUCGCCUGCAUGCCGGUGAUCGUGAGCUGGGCCGUGUACGGGACCGUGUACGAGGGUACACCGUAUUGUUCGAUAGAUGAUCGUGUCCGCUUGAGUCGUGCAAUGGGUGCGGGGGUCGGAGGCUCGUACACAUUCGGCAAGUAAACGGGUUUCUCCUCGGUAGGCUCCGCUGGUGGCUGCUGCUCCGUCGACGCGGGAGCCUGCGCAGAAGCAGAUGAUGGUGGGGCCUCCGGAGUGGGUGCCGAUGUCGAAGUGGAUGUUUCGCUGCCCUUCGGCAUCUUGUUCACCUCGCUCACGGGCUUCGGUAGUGAUACUUGAGGCCCAAUGAAGAAGAGAUGGAAAAGCGCGGAGGGGAAAAGCAAGCAAAGCUGUUCCCAAACGUGUGGUGGCAGUGACGACUCCGCGCGAGCACCAAGGAUGAAUAUCCGCAUCUGUGGCUUCGUUAUAGCAGCCUCAGGAGUCUCUGGCGCGCCUGGUGGAACGUGCAGGUUCGUCCGCAGUGCUAGGUUGCGGCGUAUAAGUAGAAGAGCAAACUAACUACUUGAAUGGGCGUACCAGCAAGAGAGCGGCUACCCUCAGGAGUCAACCGCUGGUUGCUCAGCGUAAGAUUGCUGAACUGAUGCAGCACCGAGCCAAUAGUGAUCGGGUAGGUGAGGAUCUUGCUCGCAUGCCUCCGUGAACGCUCCGAGUCCAUGGACGGGAACUCUCGUGUGUACCAGAACACGUCCCAGUUCGAAAAGGAGAUGGCUGCUUCAGAAUCCUGUGGACCUGCAUGAUGAAGGUAUUCUCCAUCACGACCUACGUCUUGGGUGAGAACGAUGGUCAGCGCACCUGGCAGCUCGAAUUCCUUCAUCCUCCUUCCGCUCCGUAAAUCGUGCUCGUCUUCGUUCACUUCCCGCAGUCGCCCGCAAUACUUCUGAUGCUCCGGGUCCUCCGACCAAUGUUUUUCCGAACAGUGUGUCGGCCACCCACAGUCUGGACACUCGAACAAAACUGACUCUGGCUCGUGUGCGUGGUGCGAGUGCACCCCGUGACUGAGCUCGUCUACGCACAUCGGACACGGCGCAAGCUGUUGGAUCGCCUCCCCGCGUGCGCGGAUGGCCGGAAAAGGCGACUUGGAGAACGGAUGGAAGAGGUCAUCCUGUGAGAGGACGGGAGUCUUCUUUUCUGCGCCCUUCGAGGGCGAGCCGAAUGAUGAAUCCUUGGGUUUACUUCUGAACCAGCUAAGGAACGUUCGAGUGCUGGUAUACGAAACGCCAGAGAGCGAAGGAGAGAGCAAGGGGGAGGGAGCGAGGCUACGGGUGAGGCAUGCUGACGGCCGGCCGCUGUGAGUGAGGAUGAGACGAGUUGCUCUCCGCGGCGCCUGAGAGAGCAUGGGUGAUGAGGACCACAAUACUCUGCAGCAGGUCUGUGAUGCUGGAAGAGACCGCAGAAAACGCGCGUGGACGACCGACACUGAGUCUAACACCGGUCGGAUGUGCAGAAGUCGACUCGAGCGGGGCGCGCCGAUUCGCCGCGUUGACCCCUCCUGCGCGCCUCUGGACUCACUGUUGCCUCGAUCACCUCCCGCUUACCCGUCCUCCUUGCUCACAACCGUUCUCCGGGUAUGACCUUGUAAUCCCUAGAAUAUGCUCUCUUUGAGGACAACGCCACGUUAUCUCUCGCUUGCCGCCCAAUCUUCCCGAACUUCGUGCCUUCCACGCAUCCCCGGCCUAUGUGGUGUUUUCCUUGCCCGGACUUAUGCACAUUCGCGGUUUGAGAAACCACGACCAGGGGUAGGACGCGAACGUCCGAAGCUUUACCCUAGGCAGACCCGGCCGGAGCGUGACUCUCGCCCUGAGGAACAGGGCCAGUCUUGGGCUUGGAACACCUCAUAUGAGUCGCAGCCCUCUGCGGAACAAUCGCCACUUUGGGAACAGAGUGUGCGCACCCCUUCGCGUAACCCGGAAGAAGGACUACGUAGAGUGUUACAGAAUGACAGGCUUGUCAUUACACGGUGCGUUCAACUUGAUUUGCCAGAAGGGAGAAAACAGACGAACGCACGGCAGGCAGCUCGAAAUGUUGAACAUCUUCGUCGGGUUUGAACAGACCAACCGCUAUGUGAUAAGUGCGUCCAUUUACUCCGCCUAUUCUUAGAUGAAAUGGUGACAUAUAGUCCUGGUAGCGAACGAACUUGGGGACACACUUGGAUACAUCGCCGAAGAGCCGCGCGGGUUCCUGGCUACAUUGUCGCGGCAGGUCUUCCGCACACAUCGACCGUUCCGUGCUAUCGUUAUGGAUGCGGAAGGGUCGCCUAUUCUCUGGGUGUGCCUGACUUUUUGGCUUAGCUUGAAGCAACACUUGCUUAUCUCCCCACGGUAGAUUCGUCGACCCUUCGCAUUCAUCAACUCCCGGAUGUAUGUGCAACGUUUGAACAACGCCGCAAACAUCCAAGAGGGAGAGCUCGUCAUGGAUACGUUCGCCGAAGUGCAACAGCGGUGGCACCUUUGGAGAAGGCGAUACGACUUGUUCCUCCGCCAAACUCCCCAUCGAAUAUUGUCCAAGGUGGACGAGCCGCAGCCUGAACCUGAGCCCGAGUUGUUUCAUCAAUUUGCAGAGAUCGACGGGGGCUUCUUUGCAUGGCACUUCACCCUCAGAGAUAGCCAAGGCAUAUCCAUCGCCAGCGUUAAUCGUACUUUCCGUGGGUUUGGUCGUGAAGUAAGCAUUUGUUUUCUUCGAUUGUGCCAGAAUCUAAAUGGUACCAUAGAUCUUCACAGACACAGGUAUGUUAUCUAAUAGCGCGCCUUUGCAUUCUACUGAGCCCCUUCCUCCUCAAUAGGGCAGUACUUCGUCAACUUUAAUGGUAGCGAGCCCAAUGAGGGAGAUGAGGUCGCCGCCCAGAAGCCUUAUCUCAUCCGCAACCUGAGCAUAGAAGAGCGUGCAGUACGUAUCCUGUGUUUGAAAAACCGGAUGCGGUCCUGACUUCACUGCUUUGAAUAGCUCAUCCUAGCCACUGCCGGUACGUCGUCUUGUAUGUCGAAUUGGCCAACGCUGACGGCAGACCCAGUGAACAUCGACUUUGACUACUUCUCCAGGCACUCCGGGCCGGGGGGGUGAGAGUGUGUGUUCAUUGGUACUCAUAUUGAUACUGACAUAGUACGCUUUUUAGCGGUCUCUUUGUCCUUGGAUCUAUGGAGUGAACAAGGACAGUGGGGAACAUACCAUUACUCUGGAGUCUGUGAAACGUCUAUUCAUGUCACGUUAUUAUUCAUCUUGAUCUCAAUUUUCACGCUGUAUAACUCGCGUGUCGCGGUUGGUCUGGACUUGGGAAUUCGGACAAGCCAGCGCGUAUGGAGUGUGGGUUGAUGUCGAUGUCUUGCAAUGUCAAUGUCGAUCUCGUACACAGCCACACGGCUGGGCGGACCGAGCCGAUGAGCGCGAGCACGUGAGAUGAGGAGUAUGGGCGUCUGUAAGGUGUUGCUCGCGGCGAAGUGCUCGGACCUCGGACUCGGAGCCGUUCUCUUCCUCUCCGUCGCUGGCCACACGCGUCCUUGACCUCCACGACCACACCCCGCCAGCAUGGCGGACACGCGAGCACCAAGGCCGUCUACGGACGAGGGUACGCAUAUUCAUCCCCCUCUCUGCCCUUCCUCGUCAUGUCAUCUCAUGUCCAACCACCGCUAUCUCCAUUAGAGACAGCCCCGCUCCUUCAGAACGUUUCGCACCCGGACGGCGCCCCUGUGGACCAAGAUGAAGAACCUUCCUUCAUUGAUCGCCUCGCCUCUAUUGUACAAGAGCCUCUGUCACCAUUGACCAAAGUCCUGCUGGUUGCGACUCUCGUCUUCCUGCUCUUGAGCUCCGUCUUCAUUGGUCUCUUCGCCGGUGCGCAACACAAGCUUAACCACGGUGAAGGGCAGGGUAAGGCAACCGUGACUGUCACCGCUACGGUCACUACCACCUCGCAAGCUACCACGACCGCGGCCUCUACUACCACUGUUUCUCUCCCUGCCCCUCCUGAGCCAACGAGACCCCCUCAGGACGUACGUUCCCACACACAUACUCCUCGGCCCACUGACGCAUACAACGCAUAUGUCUUCCUAUAGUCUGUUUGCCUUUCGGCCUCGUGCAUUAGCCUCGCUUCUUCCGUACUUUCGGCCCUGGAUGAAUCCGAGGACCCAUGCGAGAACUUCUAUGACUUCGCCAGUAAGUGUUCACUGUUACUUUCUGUGUUAUCUGGUUCCUUACAAAUCUCCAGAUGGUGGUUGGCUCAAGUCUAACCCCAUUCCCUCCGACAAGGGCAAGUUCGGCCACUUCGAGGAGAUUGCCCUCCAGAACAAGCGUCUGCUGCAGCAGAUCCUUUCCGAGGACUCGUCUUCCCACUUCUCCGACGCAUCGUCCCUCAUGGUAUCUGACCCAUACGAUGAACAAUUGCUCAAGAAGCUGCGCGGCCUUUACCAAUCGUGCUUGGACGAGGACUACCUGAAUGAGAUUGGGGAAGCCCCUCUCAAGGAGUUGACCCAGAAGAUUCGAGAGGUGUUCCGCGGCAAGACGACCGUCGUAGACAGCCUUCGGUCGAAAUCAGAUCAAGAUAGAGAUAGGUUGACGGCUGCUGUUGCUUUCCUCCAUUCGAGAGGUGAGUGGACGUCUUUCCAUUCUGGUAUGCGAGGGCACCGGCAUGGGUCUAAUGGUAUGAAAGGCAUUGGUGGCUUGUUCUCUUACCAAAUCGACGGGGAUGUUGGAAAUGACCCCAAUUUGAUGACUCUCUGGAUCAGCCAACCUGAAUUGGGACUCCCCUCUAAGGUACAGACGUCGCAUCUUCACUUUGCUUCGCUGAGCUAACCGCCCGUAGGAAUAUUACGAGGAAGAAUCGAUUGUUGACCUUUAUGGGAACACUUUGACGCGUCUCCUCGCGACGCUCGACAACGAAGAGGAUACCAUCCUAGCGGAACAAACUUCUGACGAGGAGNNNNNNNNNNNNNNNNNNNNNNNNNNNNNNNNNNNNNNNNNNNNNNNNNNNNNNNNNNNNNNNNNNNNNNNNNNNNNNNNNNNNNNNNNNNNNNNNNNNNNNNNNNNNNNNNNNNNNNNNNNNNNNNNNNNNNNNNNNNNNNNNNNNNNNNNNNNNNNNNNNNNNNNNNNNNNNNNNNNNNNNNNNNNNNNNNNNNNNNNNNNNNNNNNNNNNNNNNNNNNNNNNNNNNNNNNNNNNNNNNNNNNNNNNNNNNNNNNNNNNNNNNNNNNNNNNNNNNNNNNNNNNNNNNNNNNNNNNNNNNNNNNNNNNNNNNNNNNNNNNNNNNNNNNNNNNNNNNNNNNNNNNNNNNNNNNNNNNNNNNNNNNNNNNNNNNNNNNNNNNNNNNNNNNNNNNNNNNNNNNNNNNNNNNNNNNNNNNNNNNNNNNNNNNNNNNNNNNNNNNNNNNNNNNNNNNNNNNNNNNNNNNNNNNNNNNNNNNNNNNNNNNNNNNNNNNNNNNNNNNNNNNNNNNNNNNNNNNNNNNNNNNNNNNNNNNNNNNNNNNNNNNNNNNNNNGGAUGAAUCCGAGGACCCAUGCGAGAACUUCUAUGACUUCGCCAGUAAGUGUUCACUGUUACUUUCUGUGUUAUCUGGUUCCUUACAAAUCUCCAGAUGGUGGUUGGCUCAAGUCUAACCCCAUUCCCUCCGACAAGGGCAAGUUCGGCCACUUCGAGGAGAUUGCCCUCCAGAACAAGCGUCUGCUGCAGCAGAUCCUUUCCGAGGACUCGUCUUCCCACUUCUCCGACGCAUCGUCCCUCAUGGUAUCUGACCCAUACGAUGAACAAUUGCUCAAGAAGCUGCGCGGCCUUUACCAAUCGUGCUUGGACGAGGACUACCUGAAUGAGAUUGGGGAAGCCCCUCUCAAGGAGUUGACCCAGAAGAUUCGAGAGGUGUUCCGCGGCAAGACGACCGUCGUAGACAGCCUUCGGUCGAAAUCAGAUCAAGAUAGAGAUAGGUUGACGGCUGCUGUUGCUUUCCUCCAUUCGAGAGGUGAGUGGACGUCUUUCCAUUCUGGUAUGCGAGGGCACCGGCAUGGGUCUAAUGGUAUGAAAGGCAUUGGUGGCUUGUUCUCUUACCAAAUCGACGGGGAUGUUGGAAAUGACCCCAAUUUGAUGACUCUCUGGAUCAGCCAACCUGAAUUGGGACUCCCCUCUAAGGUACAGACGUCGCAUCUUCACUUUGCUUCGCUGAGCUAACCGCCCGUAGGAAUAUUACGAGGAAGAAUCGAUUGUUGACCUUUAUGGGAACACUUUGACGCGUCUCCUCGCGACGCUCGACAACGAAGAGGAUACCAUCCUAGCGGAACAAACUUCUGACGAGGAGACGUCUAAGUUGGUUGUCCACGAAGAGCGCCUCAAGGUUUGGCCUCCCUGGCCGUGGCCGCCUUGGGGUGAUGACGACGAUGGCAGCAGCUCUCCCGAGAACCGUACCGAGCGUGCUCAGAGGUUGGCAAAGAGCAUCAUCAAGUUUGAAAAGCGCAUCGCCAACGCGAGUCUUGAUCUGUAAGUCUCAUGGUUCCGGUGGCCUCUCGGACCAUCCUGACACGUAGUCUUCAGUGAUGUCUUGUACCAGGACCCAAUUGCCACCUACAACCCAGUUCCCUUCAAGAAUGUCAGCGACUCUCUCCCCGAGUUUGACUUCUCAACGUACUUCUCGACCUUCGCCCCGCGCAACUUCCCAAAUACGGUCAUCCUCACCUCCACCACGUACCUCUCUGAUCUCUCGCGCAUUCUCAAUGACACCGACAAGGACGUUCUUGAAGCUUACUUUGUCACGCGUGCGGGGCUCGCGUACGCAUCCUACGUGGGUCUUGAAACGGAGGCGUGGCAAGCGGUGCGUAGCCUUGAAGAGGUCCUGAACGGCAUCAAGAAGGGUGCGAUCGGUGACCGCGCAGAGUACUGUGUUGGCCGUGUGGAGUCUGCAUUGGGCUUUGCGCUCGGUCGGUACUUCGUGAGAGAAACGUUUGGCGGAGACUCGCGGCGGGUUGCCACGAAGGUUAUCACUGGUACGCUCACUUCUUCAAGCUGUCCAGCCAUAGCAAUCUUUCUGAAUGGGGACGGACAGACAUCAUUGGAGCCUUCAAGAAGUCCUUGAAGAAGCUUGAGUGGAUGGACAAGGAGAGCGCUUCUGCUGCGGCUGGAAAGGUACGCAAGCCUCCGCCCCGCUGUUGGUGUCCUCCCUGAUUUCUAACUUGUAUUCCGUAGGCUGAUGCCCUGCGCGUCAAGGUCGGGUAUCCGCUAUCUCCAAACACUGAGGACCCCCGCUCCCUUGCGAACUGGUACUCCCGCGUGACGAUAAAGAACGACACCUUUUUCGAAAACAUGUUAAGCGCUGAGUAAGUACUGCCCAAGAAGUGAUGUCUUUCUUAACUCAACUCUAGUCCUUUCAUUCUCACAGAGUCGCGGAUCAGAUCCGCACGUGGUUCCGAGUUGGCAAGCAGCGCGACCCUCAGUCUUGGGAAAUGUAUGCCUCGACCGUUAACGCGUACUUCAACCCGCCCGCCAACGAGGUACACCUAGUCAUCUGUAGCUUUGAAUCUGGAUACUGACAUAUGCCUUCAGAUCGUCUUCCCCGCCGGUAUCCUCCGGCCGCCUUUCUUCCGUGGGGAUUGGUCAGUGUCUAACGAAUAGACAAACGCUUUCGAGCUAACACCUCCCCCGCAGGCCCGGUUAUAUGAACUACGGUUCGUUUGGACAGGUUGCCGCCCAUGAGCUCACAGUACGUUUCUUACUGUACAAUGGUUAUCGCAUCGGUGCCAACAAGGCGACCCCUUGUAGCACGCCUUUGAUUCCGCCGGCCGACUGUACAACCAGAACGGCAAAUUGGAGGAAUGGUGGACAAACUCGACCAGCGCAGGGUUCAAUGUCAGACAGAAGUGUAUUGUCGACCAGUACUCAAGUACGCCCGGUCCUCAGCCCCUCUACGUUCCCAAUUCAUAUCUUGGUUGCAGACUAUACUGUUGAUGACGGCAAGGGCGGCAAGAUCCACGUCAAUGGUAACCUGUGAGCUGAUCCUUGACAAAGUGAUGAGAGCAUUGGCUGACCUGCUUGGCUACAGCACCUCCGGAGAGAACAUUGGGGAUAGCGGCCUCAUCCAAGCGUUCCGUGCCUGGAAAGCUCAGUAUAACGACAAGACUGAGUUCUUGCUUCCUGGUUUGAACUACACCCGGUGAGCCUUCAAUAACCCAAGGGUUACUGUCUUAGCUGUUCUCAUCAUGCGCACAUUAGGGAACAAAUGUUCUUCAUCUCAUUCGCUCGGAGCUGGGCACAGAACAUCAAGCCAGAGGCUGCUGUAAGUGCCCUCGACUGUAUACUUUGGUGGGCGUUCUGACAUAAGCGGGAGCACAGGUCGCAAGAGUACGCACAGACCCGCACUCACCCAACCGUUAUCGCGUGCACGGCACGGUGUCCAACAUUCCCGAGUUCUCCGCCGCAUUCAAGUGCUCGCCAAAUGCGAAGGUAAGAAGUUCUGUUUCUCCUCGCAGGCUGAUGUUAAUGUCGGGUGCAGUUGAAUCCUCCUCAGGAGAAGAGGUGUGUUUUCUGGUAGGGUGGGAGGACUGUGUACAAUACCGGCUAUUUAUUACUAGUCUCGAUACGCUAUACACGAAAGAUUGUGGCUUCCUUAUAAAGUAUCGCAGGCGAGCUCCGAGGCCUUCUCAAGGAAAUGGACGCGAAGAGGUCCGUAAUGUCACUUAGACUCGGUAAGAUCAAUUGACGAUCCCCGCGCGAACGAGGGGAUGGAUGCGACCGACAGCAAACUGAGGUCAUCGUCAGGGCCAUGCGUGCCGAGCCUGUGUAGGCUCAGAAAGAAGCGGGAGAUGCAGAUGGAAAGUGGACUGCAAUCCAAGGUGUUCAGCAUGAGACGGUCGUUGGCAUUGGUAGAUGUCCUACACUUUGGGCAGGUCCACAAACACGACAUCGUCGAACUGUAAGGAUGAUAACACAAAUUGUAGGAUGUUGAUAGCUAUCAAGAACCUACAAAGAAACAAUCCUCAGUAAAGCGCAGGCCUAAGGGGACUACUCCGCAGGGUGAACGGUACGCGAAGGUCCGGAGUCCGUUCCAGAAGAGAAAGGAUGCUAAGAUGGUGCUGAAGCCGACCUCCUUGCCGGUCUGGAUGGUGUCCCGCGUCCCGAUCCAUGUUGCGGUCAAUACAAUGGUGUUUGAGAGGAGGGCGAACACCCGUCCCACAGUUGAUACGGGCCCUCAGUGGUUACCAACUGCUUGCGAAAUUCGUCGGUAUACAAGCCACACACGUCUAUGGGAUUCAAAUCAGUGUUCUAUAGCGGCAGCAACGACGGGUCGGACGCACAUGUUCGCCGUCGCUUCCGACACAUCGGGGGUAUUCUGCUAGCAUGUUGAAUUCGCUGACUGUGAUAUCGUCGUUUGAGUGACGAGGGACUAUGCGGGGGUCAGCUCGAACUGACCGGUCAACAGAGCAAUAUUUACCAUCUCCAUGGCGAUCGACACAAUGCCAGUCAACAAAACGGAUACGGUGGAUGUCCAAUUCGUCAGACUGGCUGCGUAGGUACGCAGGCAUGAGAAUGUUGCUCAAAAGCGUGGUGAGGUGCGAGAAGGAUAUAUCUCACUACAUGAGACUUACCAGUCCAGAUGAUAAGCAGCAUGGUGUUACAUGCUUGUGCCAGUCGAGUGACGACCAUGCAUCUGCUUUGGGAUUAGCCAGAGCUGUGCUGCCACUGUGAAGAGGGAGUUGAAGUACGUCUGUAUAGCCAGAUUGACACUCCAAUUAAGGGGACGAACUAGUGAUUCCAGCAGUCACUGAAGGGUCGGUCGUUGGCGAAGUUAUGGCCGUUAUGGCUAAAAAGUUUAACAUACUGCCAUAUCUGUUCAGAAGGAAGAUGGACGUCGCCCAAGACAACUUGCGACCUCGCAGAAAGUCCACUUCGCGAUCGAGUGUGGUGAUGUACUCAAAUACAAUGAGUGCUGUCGAGGUCAAUGUGUCCAUAAAAUAUGACUAAUGAAAACAACAGGGAAACAUACCUGUCGCAGAUACAGUUAAGUAGUAAAUGUUGCAAAAGCUGGUUAGUAAACCACCAAAGUAAGUGAAAGAGAUUCACCAACCUCCGCUGGGUACUGUCCGACUCGGGCGAGUCGUUACCUACAACCUCCAUGGGAGCCUGAGGGGUCUUAGAUCGGAGGCAUCGCAGGUAAUGAUCAAAGGAAGACCCGAUUUUAUCCGCGACCGUUCGUCCGCACGCCUGAAUCAAUGUCAUGUCAGCUCCGCAGGCAAUCGUCACGCCUGCGCACCGAGGAUCGACUGCCCGCAGAAUUGGUCCCACAGUGAUGAACCGCACGCGCGCCCCCGGUACACCGACAUAGGCAACCCUCACCGGCCGGCAUGGCAGACGAGGUGGCAGGAGGCCUGAGGCCCGACUGAUACCAGCAUAUUGUCCCCGGCUCCCCCAGGGAGACUAAGGAUGAGGACAUUUGAGUCUGACUCGGGCCGAGCGGUGAAGCUACGGCCUGAGUACGAUGUACAAAUUCCGACGACCUCCUCUUGCACGAACGGUGGAGCUUGCUGGCCGACGUGAUGCGAGUUAAAAGUACUCGCGUGGUGGAGGACCGUCCUCCGUUUGAUUCGCCAUUGUUUGCGCGGUGGCAGUAAGGGGCCAAGGGCGGACUCAAAAACCACUCCAUACUCUGAAGGUCACGACCGGACGUCCAGCAAACUGCUACCCCGCCAGGUCUAAACCGGAGGGAAACCCGCGAUGGAAUAUAAACGCGUGAGUGAUUUUGCAAGAUGUAUGCGCACAACAUACUCAUGCAGGCUCCCGCGAUAUUGGUGGUGGAUAAGUCGAUGAUGAGAGAAACCAGGCCUGGUAGGGAGUAAGCGCCCGUGACACAGUCAUAUGGAACGAACACGCGGAAGGCAAGUACUUACUAUAAGUCUAGAAGCUUUUUGUACAAUAUAUUAUUGUUGUUGCUCGAACCUAUUCGACUGACACGCAAUGCCCCACCGUGAUCCGAAGCUCCCACCGCCAGCAUCCACUCCGGACUGGGUGACACACCACAUGAGUCAAAUGGAUAAUAAAAAUGCAAAAUGGGAUUCGCACAGUGAGGAUUGCGCUACAACUCGUACACAACACAGCGCUACUACAACUACUACUGAUACAUCAUGCAUCAAGAACCGCUGCUUGUACACAGAAGACAGCAAUGUCGCGCGGCGACGCUGUCUACCCGAGCAGAUGCGGUUCGGUCUCUGCUCUGAGGGCGCCAGGUCCGCUCGCGGACACCUGGCGUGUCUCCUCACCGUAAGAACCCAUACGUGGAAUGCAGCCUCGUCAUAUCGAGGGGUGGCGGCCUGUUCGACUUCCGCUUCGACUUGCGGUGCCCGCUCGUCUUCUCCCGAGGCCCCGUGGAUGCUACUUGGGGGCGCGGCGACGGCAUCAUGGUCGAGGAAUGCGCGUUGCCUUUCCGCGAGGGCGUCAGAAGCGCGCUCGAGGGCGGGAGCUGAUUGAAAGAUGCCCCUAACGAGCUCGAGCGUGGAGGAACGUCUGGAGAUGGUCUGAUAGUCGACGAGAACGGCACGUACAUUGCCGAGGGGGGGAUGCCCAUCGGCGUGGACGUGAGGUCGGAGUGGGAAGAGCCCGAGCCCGAGUCCGACCGCGACCCGGACCCUGUCGAAUACGAGGACCCCGGAGACACGGGCGUAACUUUUGCGGAGACCCAUGCGCUCUGGAGGAUCCUGGACGACUUGUUGCCAGUGAGCGGCGUCCUCGAUGGUCGGAAGCCAGUGGGCAUGGCAGAGAGCUUUUCGCUGCUGAACAUGGAGCUCCGGAGAGUAGAGCUCUUCAUCGUGGAACUCCGUACAGCCGAGCUCUUGAGAGCACCGUUUCGGACCAUCCGUUCUGAGAAGUCCGAUGGAAGACGGAUGGAAGGCGCGGCAGAAGGAAGAGGCUUCGGCCACAUGGAGCGUGAGGGGGAGGAAUUAGCGCUGUUGAGUUGCUCAUGCAGCUUGUACCACGGAUAUGUUCUCGUGUGGGCGCCCCAGACCGUAGGGUCGUCCUUCAUAUGGAUUAUUGCGGAGAUCAUCAAGAUGCAGAAGUAGACUAGCACUAGACAGAUGUCAGCGACCGGAACAUCGCUCAGAAUUACGAGACACACUCACAGUUGAGAGUCCCUAUCCAUGAAAAGGCGAGAAGCACAUUCGUAGUUGCGCAUGAACCAUGAAGAAGAGAUUUCGCUUCGAAGAGCGUUCAGAAUAGACCCAUACUUCAUGUCAAGAUGAAGUUACCUGAAGCGGUACACAUCAUGGAUGGCAGUAAGGCGGUAACAGCCGCGGCACCAGCUGGAAGGAAGGGGGGGUCAGCAAGAAACAGGUUAGUGCGACGGAGACAGACAUACCAAGAUUCAGGAUCCAGACCAGACAGAGCCACGCACUCUCAAGCCAUACCCGACUGAUAAAGGCGUUGUGGACGAACUGGUCAAGGAAUAUUACUGGGAAUAUCCAAAGAAUGCCGGCUGCGCCGACCCCGAUGAAGUAUGCAUCAAUGAAUGCUGCAUGGGAUAAGGACGUUAGAACGAGAGGAAUACGGGAGAAUUCUGGCACGCACGCAUCCACCCAAGAUGUUCCGCUAAUGCCAGAUUCCACGCCCCGAACACACAGAAAACAGCAUUGCAGAGAGUGAAAAGAGCUGGAUAAGGAUCACUGAUGUAAGUAUUGCAGGACUUCCGAAACAAGUUGUAGCUGGGGCUUACCAAAACAUGAGUACCGAUAGAAAGAAAGAGAGAAGGCCAUGGCGUGCACGAGCAAGAGCGCAGAGUGUAAGGAAGGGACGGGACCGGUCGACGGUAGGGUGUGAUUGGGUUAUUGGCCAACACAGGAGAUAAGUACCAGCUCCGUGUCCGGAAUCCUGUCCGACAAUGCGUCAAGCAAGUGGCCUGGGAGAGAGAGGAAGAAAGAGAACAAAGAGAGGGUGGAAAGCACAAAGCCGGAAGACAAACAGGGCGUGGCCCUUAUUGAAUAUAAGUAACACAUCGCGCGCACGACACCGCCAUCACGAUCGCUUAUCCAAGCCCUGCGCGCGCGGAGCUCUCAAACAAACCGCGCCUGCGCGGCGUGAUCAUCCCGUCGUUAUGGUCACAUCUCCUGCUAAGCUCCUCAAUAACUUUCAUCUUCCGAGCCUAGUGUUGGAUUUCCGCGUGCAACAUACCAGCAGGCACAUUCGAGGCGAAAUGUCCUGCCAGGCCAGAUUCGUGUGACAUUGACGGGCCCGGGCGUCUUGUCUGAGGCCAGGCGAUGCGGUUCUUGACUCUGACUCGUCAGGAUGUGGUCGCGUUUCGUUGAACUUGAAUCGUGUUCCGUGGGCGUUCCACAUUCCGUGACACAGCUCAUCAUUGCCUCAUCUGCCCGGUCUGAUGGUCUUCGGAGCGCGGUCGGCGGGAGCAGUCGAAUUCAAUCUCCACCGCCCACCCCCGCCCUUUGAUGGAGGCGGCGCCACGCCCAGCAUGAAUCCAGACAGCCGUCAGAACGUGUCGUUGGCAGAUAGAGCAGUACUUACAGUAUGAAGGAUGUGUGCAAGUACUUAAGCUCAAGUCGGAGAGGGUUAAAGCAGUGAGGACGAAAGACAGACGACGCACGGCCUGACUCAAACAAAACAGGACAUCUAGCCGGCUACCAGCCAGAACGCCGGGGACCGGUGGGCUGCGGCAGUGGUACGAGCCUGGUACUCCUUUCCUCCUCUCCACCCCUCGGCCACAUUGCGCCCACUUGCUCGAGUGUGGAUGUCUGGUCGGCAGCCACGCCCAUCGUGACAGGCACCCCGUUGACCAGCAUUGAUCCCUUUCCUGAGAUCUCAUCCUCUGAUUUGAACAGCGUGCGGAGAUGCGCGUCGCUGCAGGCUAUGGGAACACCAUACGGUCCAUCCUGACAUGUUGUGCAGUUGCUGCGAAUGCGUUCGUAUACCAUCAUAGGGACCCCUUCCUGUCAUGUCUGAACUAAUUGUCGCCUUCCUCCAGGAUAUGCGGCGGAGGCGUUUACAGUUUCCCGCUCAUCGCACCCGCCCUGGUGGAGCAUGUCAAACUCACUCAGCCUCAACUGACGACGAUCGCAUUGGCGUGAGCUAGAGCAUCUUCACGAGUCUAGAUUUAAGGCGGACUAACAGCAUCGCGCAGGGGAAUGGGCGGGCAGUAUGCUUGCGCAGCAAUCGUAGGAACAGCAAUUGACCGUUAUGGUGCAUGGUCAUGCUCCUUCGCCGCAGCCAUCCUGUACUCGCUCGGGUUCGGCCUCUUCGCUAGAGACGUAGCCCAAGCCCCGGAGGAUGUGGCGUUUGCGUCUGAUGGCUUGUUCCAUAGGCUCGCUGUGUACUUUGCAUUGAUUGGUCUCGCGACCGCCUGCUCGUAAGUUCACCUUCGGUCCUUAUGGUGAAUUUCUGGUCCAAUCAAGUUUGAAUUUUCAGGUAUUUCUCGCUCCUCUUCGCCGCCACCAAGUCCUUCCCCCGGUAUAUCGGGGUUGCCUCUGGGACGAGCAUGUCGAUUUUCGGACUCUCGCCAUUGUUCUUGUCCCUCGUGGCGUCCAAGGUUUUCACGAUCCCGGGUCAAACUCUCGAUAUCCCUAGAUACUUCACAUGGUUGGCUGUAGUGGCGGGCUCGAUCCACAUAUUCACCGCCGUGAUCUUCCGCGCGAACCAGACGAUGAUGAAUGGCGCCACAGAGCAGACAAAAACCAUUAAUUCCGACUCCGAGGCCGUAGUUCACGCAGCCGAAGAGGAGCCACUUCUUAGGGGAGAGCACUCGAAUGAUCCCAACGACAUCACUACAGAUCCUGCCAAUGUCCACGUCGCGCAUGUGCAGGAGCCUCAGGAAGGCAGUACCCUCGACCUCUUCCGGGACCCGUACUUCUGGGUUUUGUCCUUGUGGAUGGUGCUGAUUGUCGGCGCGGUACGCCUCUGUGCCUGCACAAAACCUACCUUGACCAUGAUUACUGAUAUAGUCUCCUUAUCUAGGCGGAGAUGGUUGUUUCAAACCUCGGCACCAUCGUCCUCUCCCUGCCGCCGAGCUCCCCAGAUGGUAACACCACCGCGAACGUCUCCAGCCAAGUCCGCCUCCUCUCCUUCUUCAACACCGUCUCGCGCCUGCUCGUCGGUCCCGUCGCUGACGCCCUCGCGCCCGUCGCCGCGUGGCUCGACGGUGUCUGGGCCUUCUCGCGCAAGCGCUACACCAGCAGAGUUGUAUUCAUGCUCGGGACGUCUCUUCUGCUCGCGCUGACCUUCGCGUGGCUGGAGCUCGGGACAAGAACGCAGGAGGGGGUAUGGCCGCUGAGCAUCGGCACUGGCAUCGCGUACGGCUCGACGUUCACGAUCCUGUGCGUGCCUCCCCUGUUUUUCUCUGUAUCUGUACAUGGUUGCUAACAUAUACCGUUAUGGUCUCUCAACGUCGCAGGCCUGGGAUCUUGUCGUCGAUCUGGGGGCUCAACAACCUCGGGCGCAACUUCGGCUACAUCUCGUACGCCGCGUUCGUCGGCACCACCGCGUUCUCGUACCUGUAUGCGUUCAUCGCCUCGCGCCAUGUCACCCCCGGCCAGACCGCCUGCGAUGGCGUGAAAUGUUGGCAGUCUACCUUCGGUAUCGGGAUUGGGACGUCUCUUCUUGCCUGUCUCGCAUCGUUUGUCCUGUGGAGGCGGUGGAAGGCUAGGGUCUGAGCUGGAAGUGUUCGGCAUAGGCCAGAGCCUAAUCUUGGUGUGUUUGCUACGGGAUUGGCUAGAGUGUAAGCUAGGAGCGCUCGGUAUGGCAUAGAGCUUCGAUCUAGACCGCUUCAAAACGUGUAUUUAUAAAUGUAUUGGGUAUAUUGUACAGUAUAUUAUGGGUCACUGGCGAUCUAUUCGAGUUUCGCAGACAAGCGAGGUGUAACCUUGCCCUCGGGAUAUCCAAACCAAAUGCCCAGCAGCAACGUCGCGUUUGCUGCAACAAGGAUUCCAGAAGAGAGGUUCGUCGAUGGGAAUACGUUCCAGGCGUACUCAAUCCCGAGCAGGAGCACGAGGCUGGAAGAUGAAUUAGGCCCCACAGCUUGUGGAAAGUAUAUGCAGACAACCGUACCGAACGACGAUUGGAUAUUUUGUCCUCCAUGCGAGGAACGGAAGCUGCAUCGCGUACCAGGAGUAAAACUGGUAGUGGAGCGACCGCGCAAAAAGGAUGCCCAUCAGGUUUGAGGUGUAGAGAACAGUGACGACAUCUGCCAAGGCCUCAGGGUGAGCGACACAGGUGGUCGAAUAUCAUGACAUCAUCAUACUCACAGUCUGGUGUUACCGGUGCCACUGCGGCCGAUCGCAAGGGUUGACUGAGACCUCUACCAAGGACUGUCCACACCCCGCCAUCGCGUUGGCACCAUUUGAGGAGGCCGAACAACGCCAAGGUGCCAACAUGUGCAGCCAAGAGUCCCUUGGCCCACACUGAGCUGAGGAAAAGGUCUUCGCCGAGGAAACGCCAGUUCACGGUCCACUUGAAUAGGAACACCCUCCCGAGCUCGUACGAGUACUUGAUAUAGGACCGCGGGUACUCUAGGAGGAAAGGUAGGCCGGCGACUAUUUGCGUUGCCCCGAGCGCGAGGAUGUGUACCAGUGUGGAUGCCAGGCCCCGGCGCUUGAAGAGAACGACAAGCAGACCGGGCACAUACAACAGAACCGACAUCUUGACCGACAAUGCAGAACUGCAUCGAGGUGCAUGAGACAGGCAAUGCACAGGGAGAUACGACACGACUCACCCAAGGAAAAGGAUACCGAGGGCAUCCCAGCCCCGUGCGAAUGCAAGAAUAGCGGCUUGUGCUCCAGCUACUGCCCAACAGUCAUUGAAUAGUCGGAGGACAUAGAUGGAGUGCAAUCGCUUGCUCAGGGGAAAGAGCAGCAAAAUCCAGUUGGGCACACCGCCAGCUUGCUUGUAGAUGGCUGCCGUCAGCGCCAGGGAAACGAAAUACAGCGCGCCGUAGAUCUGCUGUCCCAUCCAGACAUUUCGUCCUGAAUCUGUCAGAGCGUAUAACACUUGGUGGAUAUACACAUGACCGGCAGGAUACCUGCCAGCGACUUCGGGUGAAUAGGCGUAUCAUGGGUGGCAAGGAACAGAUCACGCACACUAUGGGUCCAGUUGGUCCGGUAAUGAGAGCGUAGUCUCUUUCUCCUUUGAGGUACAGUUCCAGCUGGUACAUGUACGUCUCCCAGUCGAUCUCCGUGUCUGCAGAGUUCGCGUCAAGUCGGCCACAUUGGGGGAGGAUGGACUUGCUGACAUGGUACGAAGCGUAUGAUGAGUUGCGUGAGGACCACGUCACCGAGGCCUACGAGGGUCGCAAGUACGCCGAAGUAACGGGGGUCAAUAAGCAGGCUGUAGGCAAGAUUCCAUACCGGACGCGCAAGCUGAGAGAGGGAGGGCAUGAGUGCAUGAAUGAGCGAACAUCCAGCGCUGUGAGAGACGUCUGGAAGCCAUAGGGUCGCGCGCGCGGUCGCAAGCGGCAAGGAGCAAUAAAAAUAAAUAUUGAGACCCGUAGGUCUACCACUCCGGGAAAGCGUGUCAUCCUUGUGCAGGGGCCAUGCUAAUCUUCUCUGUAUCGUUCCAAUUUUUUCGUAUGUCACCCCGAAGGGGACAUUAGUGGCAGCAGAGGGGAAGAGGGUGCUCACUGGGAUUUUGCAUAUUGCUCAACUCGCGGGUGGACGCGUAGACGAUGGUCCGGGGAUGCCGCGGGCGCUUGCCAUUACAUACUGUAUAUGCUCGGCUACUUACUCUGCCAAUGCCAUCAUGUCCUUCCUCCAAUUCACCCUUGUUUUCGAUGCGAUGUCAACGCUCGGAGUCGACUUGCGGAGACUCACACACACACGCUCAUGAUGACUUCUGCCCGACAUGAUGUAUGAAUGUGGAUCCCCGCCUGUCCGGCCGCUUCCCGAAGUACAAGGAACGAGGACGCGCGCUUCGCCUUCCCCACCCGCUUUGGGAGGCAGCUAUUGUUCUCGGGUGAGCCCAUUGUCCUCCCUGUGUUACGUCUUCCGGCAUUCCACCUCAUUAAAAGCAAGCAUGCCCCCGCUCCUUUCCUUUGUGGCCCCGGCGGUCUCGAGACUGCUUCAGACUACUUUCCAAGACCCGCUUACUCCCCCGCUUCUUUGGCCCGGCCAUAUUUCAGGUUACCCGACACCUUUUAAAGGCCUUGCCAGACUCGCCGUUUAUCGCUCCUAGCCCCGCCGCACGCCGCUACACGCUACACGCUGUUUCCUGCACCCAGGCUUUGACAUUCCUUCGAUUCAUCCGCCUGUGUGCCCCCGUUCGCCGUAAGGCCCAGACGCAUCCAACCUACGACCCAUUCGACGCGCUCCUUGCUCGUACUCUCUCUACGACAAACUCUAGUCUAUCAUCCCGCUGCUAUCACCAUAGGCCAUAAUGUUUGAACGCGUUCCCCAGCCCUACGAAAUGCGGAACCCAUUCCUCGUCCUCCGUCUCGUCCUCUUCGGUGAGUACCUUAGCGCCCCAUACUCGAUGUGUCACGCUCAUAUCUCCACAGGUAUCUUAGUCUACGUUAAUGUCCUCGCCAUCGGGUUUGCGGCAUGGAACUUGUUCGUGUUGAAGGAUCUGGGGGUCCAUGGUGAGUGGUUUCCAGCUGCCGUUCAUGAGUUUCGGCUAAUUCUUCUCCAGUGCUUGGCUCACCGACUUUCGUGGUGUUCAACUCGUGUCUCCUCAUCACCCUCUUGGCUUUGUGAGUUCAUAGUAUAUAACGGGGCCGAUGAGUUCGCGAGCUGACACGAUACCAUGUCUCAUAGGAGCCUCGCUUCUGUCCGGUUCUCGAUCAAGUUCAUCGACCAGGUGCGCUCGGAGUGUGCAUGGACUGGCAUCCUGUCAGCCAUGCAGCUAGCCAGUUCAUUUGCCAUUACGGCCAAUGGUCCUCCUAUCCUCUGCCAAGGCAUCAGCAUCCUUGCAUGCGCAUCCUCGUCACUUGUCGUAGCUCUCUCAUGGAUCUCAUGCAUGAUCUGUACGUUAUUUUCUCCACUGUGUUCAGCGAUAUCGUAUUAACCUUCUUGCACAGUGGUCCUGUAUUCCUUCUCGUUAUUCACGACCGCUAUCACGCACAUGGGCGUCAUCCCCGACAUCUGGUCGUCUUCUGUAUGCACCAUCCCAUGGUUUGUAGGCCCUUCCAACUCCUUGGAGUACACACCGCGUCCCCCGAAGAAGGCACGCUACUCUGACGUGGUCGACAUCAAGCGUAUGUCGCUCCAUUAUUCUACCCCCAUCUUCGAGCAGCACGCCAAGACGCUCCCCCCUUCUCCCAAACCGGAACUCCCUCGCUACUCCAGCGCACCGCGGUCCUCCAUGCGUCAGUCACAGAAGGCUAACCCUGCCUCGAUUCCCCCACCCCCACCGUCGGAUCGUCGCAUUACGUGGACAAGUCUCCUGUUCGCCAACUCGCGCCCGCCGUCCCUCGCACACAGGGAGAGCGUGCGUCCGAACUGGGCGAAGCGCACCUCCCCGCGCCGCGGUGUCGACAGCCCCUUCGCCGCGCCGCGCUUCUCCCUCAGCAACCUCAACCUCCCGCCCGUGCGCCCGCUCCGGCCGCUCAAGCUCAAGUCCGUCUGGAGCCAGACGACGGUGUCCUCGCCGCCGCCGAUGCCCGUGCCUGCGCUUCCCCAGAAAGCACAUGUCGUUGGGGCAUCGCAGUCGCCGACGGGCACAUUCUACAUCGACCUAGAGCGCGACGCGGUUGUCCCCGUGGGCGACACAUCGCGGCCAGUAUCGUACGGGAUGUUCCCCGAGGACGUGGUCGACCCCGACCAGCCCGUGACGCACGCAAGGCGCUCACAGUGGGUGCGCGCGCCGGACAGCGAGACGUCGUCCGUGUGAGGACCGUCUUAACCCCUCCCCAUCUACUUCUGAUCCCCACCCUGGUGUGGGCUGGAUACUGGACGCCUGCCGUCGUUUUUGACGUUUUGAGACAUUGUGCCCGGACGGACACUGACACUGUUCACGACCCACGCCCCCCACACGCAUCGCUAGUCGACGUACCACGUUAACGUCUUCUCACUGGAUUGCUUGCAUCCCCCUUUUUUCUUUUUUUACUGAUCUCCCCACUGUAUUCAUAGCGUAGCACUCACCCACACGGACUGUAUCGAUUAGAAGGGUAUAUUUCUGGCGUCCAUGUAGUGACGAGAACAUUGGGUUUCCUGAACAAUCUGUAGCUAGCUACCUUCAUCCCUGUACAUAGCACAUGGAUCGCGCAUCCUGCUUAAUGUAUCCCAAGCGAAAUCAGAUUGGAAAUACAAUUUGUCCGCAAUGCGUCCGUCGUCCCCGCGUACAUAUAUAGAGCGCACUUUACUGCAAGACAUCCGAGAUAUGUGGGGACAGCCGUCAUAAUUCAUCGCGAGCUUGGUCAUACUGAUCCUCCAGUGGGUAGCGCCCCAGGCGAGCGCGCAGCUGUUUGUUUUCGGCGCGGGUCGCUUGUAGGGACAACAAGGCCUGCUUCAGUUCUUCUCGGGUGUCUGCAAGGGCGCUGGCCUGCUCUUCGUCGAGCUCCCCGGCGCUGACGGCGAUCCCUGGAAACGACAGCGAAAACAAAAGAAGGUCAGCACGCCGCAGCGGGGCCGCAGCAAGUCACCGCUCCAACGGACCUUGUACCAAUUUGACGAGGCGCCACAGCCGCAGGACGACGAGGAGGGACGCGAGCUCACGCUCUCGGCCGCGGAGCACGACCUCGAGGACGAAGGUGGUGAGGAUGACGACGGCGUCGAAGAAGUGGAGGGCGGCGUGGGGCUCGCCGCUGAACGGGUUGAACUUGCGCACGCCGAGCGCCCAGAUGGAGGCGGGGAUUUCGAAGAGGAAGACGGUGGUGAUGGCGAGGGAGACGUGCGCGAGGGCGCUGAGCCACCAGGGCGCGCCGGGCCCCUCGAUGGGGGUGCAGUCCUCGGAGAGGAAGGUGUAGGCGAGGUCGGCGAGGACGCACGCGGAGUCGAUGAGGACCUGGGUAGGGGAGGGCUCGUGGUUAGCGUAUGCGGCGUGUAAGGGGGUUAGCGUAGCGGGAGAAAGGCACAGACGAGGGUUAUGACGAUGUAGUGGAGCGGGUCGGACUCGAGGAACUCUGCGGUGCGGGCCUUGGCGCGCUGGUAGCGGGAUUUGGGAAGCGUUGACCGGGACUGAAGGUGGUCGACGGCGUCGGGGGCGUUUUGGACAGGAAGAAGAGGGUCCUCUUCAGACAUGUUGGCGUUCUUGGGUGUCUGCUGCCCUUAGGUCAAUGUCGAUCGAGCGACAGGACUUGGAACGGCUUGUGACGUCACGCGUCAAAGAGGUGGCGAGUCGCGACAAACGUUCCCCCCAGCGGGACCCCCGGCGACGCGACUUGGAGCUGUACCACCACCACCACCACCACCACCACCACCACGCACACCUCUGCGACUUGGGCACUCGGGUCAGGAUGGCUUGCACUGAAUGCACUUCUACACGCUUUCAAAUGCCAAUGCACGAGCACAAUGCUCUUUGUGCCAUCGCCAACAUGAAGACCUAGCAUCCCAAUGCGCAAGAAAUGAGCCCUUCGCCUCCCUUCUACCACAUUGCGCCACUGCCCAUCCGUGGUCUGAAAUCCAAGCAUCUCGCAGCCCUCGCUUCAGAGCCAUACACCAAAACGGAUAACUCACCCACGACAGUACGUUGCGACCAUUGUCAUACUUCUUUCCGCUGACGACGCCCAGGUCAAGGAUCCACUCCACUUCAGAUAGUCUAGUAUGACCAAGAAGGCCGGUUGCACAGAUAACACAGGGCAAGUGACCGACCCUCUCCGACAUGCAACACGCAGGGCAAGGCCGCCUUUUGACACGACCGACGCCGACACUGUCAUUCGGAGCAGCGAUCGCGUCGAUUUCUUUGUACACGGUGUCAUCCUUUCCAUGGGCUCUGCCUUCUGCAAGAUCGCUCUUCAACCCCGAGAUGGAGCUCCCCCUUUAGUCCAGGUCGUCGAAGACAGUCAUACGCUAGACACAUUCCUCCGCAUCCUCUAUCCCCUCGUCGAUCCCGAGGUGGAUUCUUUAUUGUGCCUGCGAAACGUCCUCGCCGCUGGUGUCAAGUACGACGCCCCUAGCGUUGUCGCGUCCAUGAGGAAAGCCCUCGUUGAGCCACGAUUCCUGGAGGUCGACCCUGUCCGUGUCUUCGCGAUCGCUUGCUUCUGCCAGCUGGAAGAGGAAGCAAAGGUGGCCGCGAGGAGAGCAGUCGUCUUGGACCGCGUCUCACGGCUUCGCCCAGAGCAGUGCCCAGAGCUCAACGACGUCAGCGCGGGGGCGUACUUCCGCCUCCUCCAGCUCAACCGCACUCGCAUCACCUUCCCGCGCUUGAACAAGUGGAUCUCCAUCACCGCCGACGACACCCACGUCAGCUUCUUUGGCAUCGAGCCGUUUUGCACCGGCAGGCUAGGCCUUCCUUUAGCCGAGUCAGCCUCGACGUCGACGCCGUCAUCCCGCGCUUCUUCCGAGGCAGACUUCGUUUCAUGUGCCUCGGAACCACAGUCGCCCAUUUCACCCGAGGAACUCGCUCAAAGUGACCUGAGAGCAUCUCAGUCCACCGCGCAAACGACCGACACGAUCAUGGAUGUCUCGCAUGUCAAGAAGCGAGAGACGGAGGUCGUCCCCGGGGCCGUUUCCACCAUGAGGAGCGACCGGUGCCCCGCCAUGGGACAGUUCGCACUGGCUUCUGCGUGGUCGCUUCUCGCAGAGAAGCAGCCGCUCCUCAGCUACUUCAUCGCGGUCGAGAACGAUUGCAAGGAGGAGGCCCUCGCCUGCGCCCGACAGCUUGUCCAGACGCACAACGCGCGGGACCUCGCUACGCUCUACGAGCCCAAGAUGGAGACCGUCAGCAGCCUUCCGUACCGCCGCCUCCUGGCGUACGCGCAGGCGUGCCGCGACGCCGCGUCCGAGGCCUUCGAGCUUCGCGACCUUCCGCAGCGGCGCUGUCCUGCGUGGACCCAGUGCCAUACACGCUGUCCCGAAACGCUGUCCACCGCCUCGCCACCCGAGUGGCUCAAACCCCAUUUCGACGCCGCGCGGGACGCGCUCAGGGACCGCCCCUGCCGGACGCUGGUUCAGCCGGGUUGCCUGGAGUCGCGGUUCGUGGUCUCCUUCAACGCCGCGGUUAUCACGGAUCGACCACCUUGUGCUCAGGCCCAAGGGAACAACAAGUCGAAGGCAAAGUCUGGACUGAGUCCCUUCGACGGGAAGAUUCCAGCUAUGUGGCAAUGCACGGCGCAGGACAACGUGGUCUGGGCGGGGACGGUUUUGCGGCAGUAUGUCGCGGCGGUGGACCGGGCGGUGGAACAGGUGAGUCCGUCGGUUUGGCGGGGUGGUGGCUCUCAGGCUCGUCCGAAGUGCUCAUUCUGAAAUGCUAUUGUUUAGGUUGACCUGGCCAUCGCAUAGUGGGUAGGAACGAGCUUGUUCCGCCUGCCGGUGUUCCGUCCCUAAGUUGUAUGGAGUAGUGUCCCUCUUCGGCGACGGGAGACUUGAAGACUAUCCGACAUUCCACAGGCACAUAUCAAGUAAGAGUACAUUACCAAGUACCAACAAUAGUGUCCAUUUUAUAUGUGCUUCUAGACUACAAUGAACGUGAUGAGUACAAUGAGAGUGACGAGUCGUACAUCCGUCCGUUGUGAGGUCGGAAUCAGUAUGCAUGUAUGUGUGCCAAUUGGUACCUCUCCGUUGGUGCACGAUCGGCGGAGCCAGUCAAACUGGCACAACGGCAACGGCGAAGCCAUUGCAGCCGACGGCAGAGGCACAUUGUUUCGGCCCUGGACUAGAGCAGGGCGGUCAAUGGCUGGCACCCAUCAAAGAUUCCGGACGCACCAUCUCCGAACCGCCCGAGAUGAACUGCUUCGCCUGAUGGCAAGUACGCACAAGUACCUCACGCUCCAUCUGGGCCGUUGUGCGGUGUGGACUCGUGGGAUAUCGAGACGAGAACGAUGUCGCUCUCGAUCGUUUGGGAUGUGGCUUCUGGGCAGACGAAGGAGGGCAUCAGGCUGGUCACCCUCCCGUCUGUUGGGGUGCUCGUGGAGUCGGCGGGAGUCCACAAGCCGUCGGUCCUCCGUCCGUCGCCACUGCAGUGCAGACUUGGGUCCCGGAGGUUGAGAUAGAUGCGUGAAAUGAGCGUUGUGGAAAUGCUGCACAAUAGCGGGCGGGGGGAGGGCAAACUGUCAGUGAUCGCAGACGACUAUUUGAUUAACAGAGUCGUCGCGCACGCGUUUGUUAAGGUGGUUCCCAUCCCUCUUGCUGUGUUGUCAAUCUGCUAGAUGUGAGCAAUAGCGUUCGGUAGACUUGCAAUGACUUACACGUGGUCCCUGUGUAUUGGUUAGCAGGAAUGAAAGGGCUCGCUUCAUAGUGCGAAGCUCACCAUGAACGUGAGCAGAUUGACUGCACCAGCUACCACAAGGACACUAAUCACCGUGUCAGUCAUCGAUGCACUGGUGUUGCCUUUGGGUGGACAUACCCGUAGUAGCCGACACCUGGGGAAUGAGUAUUAAGCAAGCCGGACCAUCUCAACAUGAAUGGGUGAAUCGUUACCGUCACGAAAUAAGACCCUCUGCACUCCGUACUGCAUGUGACUGCGCACACGCAUAGUCUUGGCAAGUGUGAGAAUGAAUAUCGUCGUGUCCAUGCAAAGCAAGGCAAUCCAGCCGAUGGCGCUGCCUAUAACAACUGAUUACUUUCCGAGGCAGCGGAGAGAUUGCACGAAAUGCUUACGAAACCCCCUGCAAAUCCAUGUGAAGCUCCGGAGAGGUUAAUGGACGGGGUAGGACCUACUGUUCCGCCGUUAAGGAAUGGUUACAGCCGAGGGGAGAAGGCUCAUCUGACUGUGCGUCAGAGAUAAUGGUCGUAGUUUUGACAUUCACAGCGAUGAACGUGGCCUAAGGGUGUAUCAGAGAGUGGGAAUAAGUUGGAAUGUAAAUCAACUUACUGCCACCAAGACUAGGCCCCAUGCCACGAGUCCCAUCAUGACAUACUUGUUCCGAUUGUAGAGAGCGUAUGUACGAAAGAUGAGGAUGACUAAAGAAGAAGUUGAGGGCAGCAAGGGGGAAAAUAAGCGACAGCACGUACGGCCUACUAUUGCUUGGUUGAAGAUCGCAUAGAACUGGUGAUACAUUUGCAGCUGUCGACAGCUAAACGAGAUUUAUGUCUGUGAUUAGAUGGUACGUUGGCUACGGUAAGGAUGGGCGAACCGCUUCAAACUAAUGUUAACAUGUUUCCGCUUCAUAGGAACGGACUUACUCACUAAUGGAGGCAGAAUCACGAAGUAUUCGACAACCAGAGGAAUUUGCCCCAAGAGGGUGAGAUAUCGAUUGAGCACGAAAAGUGUCGAUACCGCGGAAACCCUGGCUCUUUUCCAGAAAUGCUCGAUCUCGGUGCCUAGAGUAAGACAAUAGUCGUAAAGCAAGAGAGCUUAGAGGUGUAUGAGCAUUGAAGUAUCGAAGCAGUGCACGUGGAUAUGAACUCACACCAUGCAAUGAUAGCCAACGUGUUGUUCAGUCGGAUUGAGGCAGCUCUACGACGUUUGUUCAGUAAACGAUUGCUUUAGUGAGCUCCCCGUCCUAUACUUACAAUGUCGCGACUGAAGGUUGCUCGGAGUCCAUGGCUGCUCGACGAGGCGCGCGGGGGAUUGUCCAUGAGGCUGAGAAAGAGACGUCCGUCGUUUCCGACCAGGACGCCAGAGAUUUAUUCGUUCCUCGCGACUUCGCCAGGUCGCCGCUAGAAUACACCGCGGAUCCAUAGAAGUUCCAGGAUCCGGCUACUAUCGCACGAGGGACGGGUCGGCGACCUAGUAGUCACGGCCAUUGCUCCGUGAGAUCGCUACCAUCGGCGGGACAAAUGCUUGGUUCUGACGGAUGUGAACGAAACGGGGAAUUACGUUGAGGUCCCAAACUGCUGCGCGAGUGCGUGGUAUGACGACUUCUAUUCUGAGUCUCGUUUUUAGGCUCCUAGACGGACUUAGAAGUUCUUCAGAGAGUACUCACCUGGCUGCAUAUUCUCCCUCCGCGUAACCCGCCUGACGUGACCGUCUGAGGAAGUGUUGCUCCGAGUCCCAGUCUGCGUCCUCCCCGGCUCCCACGUCCACGUGUGGGCAUCGCCACAUUUGGACAUCGGUAAAUCCGGCGGCCGACGCUAUGAAGCUUCCGCUUCGUGCAACGGAACCACAUGCAAACUUGUCUCGUACCCGUACGUUGUAAGUUCGGGCCCUCCAUCGCAUCUAACACGCGCAAGGAAAAAUGGGCCUAACGCCAAUUGGAAAACUACUCGUACAGGUUGCGGUCAUGUUAAGCGAAUACAUAAGCACGUGAUUGUCUACUGAACAAGUCAGUAAAAAGGCCGUGGCGGACCGAAAUGCCUGUACUCACCAUAUCAAGCUGCUUCGACGCCCAUGAACUCCGCCUCUAUCGGCCCUCCCCGGGGCUCCUCCGUCACCAUCGUAUCGCUGAACAUAGUCGAACGUCGGAAAGACAUGAUCUUUGAGCUGAAUUGCGCAGUAGACCAGCAUUCUAAACGUUGUGUACAGCCACCACGCGUCCGGCGAACCUGGAUGCUUGGAUCUCGCAGGUUCAACAUCAGGCGUGAAGUCAGCGUCACCGAGAGCCUGGAAAGCAGACCACAUUGUAAACAUCUUUCAGAUGCCGAAGGAAGCCCGCUUACACGUUGGUCAACGUUGUCGCCGUUCCUUUGAGAGGGUCACCGGACUAGUGACAUUAGUUCUUCUGGAGACUCUGAUACCGCAACGCGCGACCUACUGGUACGAUCUAGAAGGCCGUAAGUUUCCACCGUGGUCCAAGUUCUGAAGUUCUAGGCUGGCGUCGAAGAUGCUCACCAAGAACGUGAUAAUGUUCAGAGUGUUGACGGCGAUUAGGAUUCUUAGGGACCAAUCCGGCAUGAGGGAUGUUGGCAUCCGGAGAACGUGAUAUGAACUCACCCAUAAUAAAUCGUCCCUAAUCAUGGAGGUGAAUGUUCGCCCCAAGAGUAGAGCUGUGGUACAUACCAUCUCGGAACAUCGUCACCAACAAUGUUCCGGGCAUAUCAUGCCGCACCUGAAUCGCCUUGUAGAAGGUCAAAGCGAAGAUGGCAGUGUCGAACCAUAACAUCGCACUCCAGGCAAGGGCCAAAUCUGACCAUGAAGUUGGCCUCGAAUCGUGAAUGCAAGGAUCAGUAACAACGAACUCACGGAUACCCCUAUGCGAGAUGUUAAACAAGGAAGUCCCAUAUCAAGUGAAAGGUUGACUCACUGAUUGCCAUUCAACGAAAGAUUGCAUCCCGUGUACGGAAAGUUCAGGGGGAUGUUCGUUGACAGCGGACUAUCGCUAGUCAACACUGCGGACUGGACGGUAUCAGGUUAGACCGUUGGUAAGACUCAGCGUCAAGCACAACCCACCACACUUUGAAUGGCUCCCCCGGCGAACAUGCAAAUCAGCAAGGCAAGGAUCCGUUUGUUGCAGUUGUAUAGGGCAUAAGUCCGCAGGAUUAGUAAUACUAUGUCCGGAUGAAUGAUGGUCAGGCAGGUGAAUUUCGGAGAGGCACGCACCAGCCACCACCGCUUGACUAGCCAUCGCAUAUACUUGAUGAUAGACUUGUAUCUCGCGGCAUCUGAGAGUCCGAAGUGACAUGAGAUACACAUCUCAUCCAGCCAAGGGCAUACACCACACCCACCGCUAGGAAAAGGAUCAGCACUCCUUUCUAAUGCGGAUUAAAACCCGGUUUACUUACGUGUUCCGGGAACCCUCCGAAAUACUCAAGAAAUACUGGGAUCGGUCCCAACAAGCCGAAAUAGCGGCUGACUGUGAAUAGGAUAAAGGGUGCAGAUGGUGAUGGCGGGCUCCAGUACCACUCGAUCUCCGACGUGACUGUAAGGGCGUAAUCAUAGUAUAACAGAGCUAUUGGGCAAGAGUCAUUGUCAUUACCAGAGAUCGAAGUAAUCAUAGACAAAAAACUCACUGAAUGCCGCGAGGGUGAUGCAAGUGUCGAACCGUAUGGAUGAAAUGCUGAUCAUGGAUAUAUGUCAGCGUGUAGAGAGCAUGAAGGGGUGGACAAAGACGCACAAGUUCUCCGCCGAGACCUGUGAGUCGGCCAUCCUCAGAGAUUGUGGGGGCUUCUAACGGCAGCUGGGGGGUUCGAUGUUAUAUCUUCCUCAGUCCCAGAAGAUCCACAUACCCGGAUCGAGGACGUAGACAUGAUAGGCAUCGGAACAUCGUCCACAAUUGGCCAGGCCCAAAUGAUGAGCGGGAAGUGAAAACGAGUGGGUACGCUGGGUAGCCUACUUGACUUUCAUUCGACAUGCACUCUAUGCAUGUAUGGGAGGGCCACACGGCAAGCGUGGGGGACGAUAUCCCCGACUAGUCAGGAGGGCUGGAACAAGAACGAGUACGUACUCACUGGUGGCUACUAUUGAAGCUUACUUGCCCUUGGCGGAACGCAUGGGCUGCCGCUGAACGUACCUUAUUCCCACAGCCGGCAACAUGCUUGAUUACUCCCAUUCGCAUGUCGAGAAUACUUUGAGGUCGAUCCUAAAGGACGUGACAGGAGCCGCAAGCAACGCAUGCGCACAGAUUGGAAGACAAGCCCACCAUAUUGGGGUUCCAGGGGAAUUGUUUUUACAGUGGGUACCGACGCAUUAUCAGCGUGAAUGUAGGGCGGGAUGUUCAUGAGCAAACUCCGCUAUCAGAGUUACUUUGAGAGGCGUACCUGAUCGGAAGUUGGAACCAUCUUUAAGGCCGGGCCCGAGAUGUUCGAUGAUAGAUGCCGGACGCAUACAAUCUAUACGGUCAGCAGACCACAGACAUGUCAAGGCUGAUGAACUCCUUCGGUGAAAAAUUGCAGAAGUCAACCAGAAAGAAGGAAAAUUACAUGACGGGUUCAGCGUCGCAUUACGUCCGGAAUCAUGUUGCAACGGGGGCCAAUUCGAGUGUCAAUUACACAGCAAAAGGCUUUUUAGCGAGAUGUCAUUCAUGUCACAUCCUGCUGCUGCUUCGUGAUAGUCACCGGCGAGGCUGGAGGCACUUUCACCUGUUGAAGGAUGUUGUCCGAAGAGACCCAUCGCAACGUGAUCCGAGGGACGUCGACCGCUCGAUAUACAAUCCGGUCCCGGUGUAUAUACGCUACUCGCCCUCCGUAGACGCAUAAUCGUGACUGAUCGAAAUAGAGUCCUCCGAUGGCUCUCAGAGGGAGAUAUUGAACGCAGUAAUGACAUCAUACCCUUUCCUGCAGUCCGGCCUCUUCUCUCCCCCCUUCCUAUGAGUUGUCAACGAUGAGCACAAGGGUCCCAGAGGUUGAGCGUCGACCUUGAGACAUGCGUCACGAAAAGUAGUGAUUUAACAGUUGAGCGGAAUCGUCGCAGUCCAGGUGUUCCGGCAUUGAUUAUUUGUCGAAGUUGUUUAUGUUCCUUUGAGGAGCGAAUCUGGUGCGGUGAGCGGCGGGCCUAAUGGCAGGCUGAGACACUGGACACAAAGAGGCUUUUGAUCAUGUGAGCAAGAGUAAGUAGGUCUGCAAUGGGAAGCGUAAGGCCUACAGAUAGACAACACGUAGCGCACCCACUCUCGGCCGGUACUUCGCCGUCCAGAUAGUUCACGUAUCGGUUUUGGAAAUGCUGGCAGUUGUACUGUUACAAUGUGCCCCGCAAUCCAAAAUUAAUGAUCACGGUCGGUCCCGCUGCUGGAGAACUAAGGCCUGCCCUAUACCGUGCCCCUCCGGGUUGUCCUUAUAAUUGUCAGGUUGGAUAACAGUGCCACCCCCCAACAAAGUACCAGCAUAUAGCCUUUCUGCUCGCUAGUGGAAGCUCGAGAGAUGCCAAGUAAAUGUUCAGCAUGGAUAGCGGCCACCGUCCCAGGCCCCUGGGUCGGAACACGAGUGCUCAGUCGCAAGGAGUGCAGCAUCGCUGAGACUCAAGAGGGCAGGAGCAUACCGAAGUGUGGUCAGAUCACCCUGGUCAUAUGCUGAGGAAAUGUGCUAUGCACCUUGAGCCUAAAGCUUCAUCGACAGCAACAAUCGAUCUCCGCCGUUGGGUACGGAAAUGCCUCCGAGAACCGUGUGUGUGUGGGAUGAUUUCAUGGUGGGACGCUGCACAGGUUGAAGCAAUUGGCCUCGAAGAUACCCAUGACAGGGCGGAAAAAUGACGCUGAUGGUGGGGUCAUUGACCGGUGCCUUCACACAUUCGUGGGCCAGGGCAGGCCUUCGAAGGCGAGCCCCGAGUAUAUGGGGGCAUAAGGCCCAGAGCGCACCUAAACACCAACAUCGACAUUGGUAUGAACCAGCCACACAACCGUUCAGUCAAGAGGCUGCUACGGUAAUACCGCUCACUGUCCGAGGGAAAUGCCCAAGAAAUGGUCCUGCCUGUGCCGGAAGGAAGUGACGAAAUGACAUUAGACUGACAGCGAAGACCGUCAGCAGCGGUGAUGUCGGAAGAGGCCUGCUGACUUACCAUAUUAAUAUUACACUAACAAUACAAUGAUAUCUUGAGCAGAAGAGUCAGGUGCCAUUUGGUUUAUGGGGAUGCGGUAACCACAAACCUAGGUUAUUACUCAUACAACAAUGCCGCGGAAUGCUCAGCACCCCUCUUUCUGGUUACUGACAUCGCACAAUGGUUGUUCCUGGACUAACUUCUUCUGUGGUAGAAAGGAUGCCACCUGCUUCGAUGUACGUUAGGGUAUAUCGGGUUGACAUCAUGUACGAGCUGGUAGGCGGUGCAGCUGUGACAGUCAAGGUAGUGGUGGGGGGGUCUUCGCUAGCUCUAUGUGGCCGCCUGAGGCUAGGAUCUCGGAGACUGAGAAUUAGACGGGAAGUGAGUGUUGUUGAUAGUCUGAAAUGUGACACUGUCAGCUAUCCUUCCAGGGUAGGAAGCGAGGAAAAUGGCGUUGUCGAAGGGGGUGAAGGAUUGAAGGACUAUACUUACACAUUGGUAAGUGUCGUCUCCAGACCCAUGAGGUUGGAUCCAGACUGAUAGAUAUUAAGGUGUGAGUAUUUUGUGCACAUGUGUCUAUACCCGAACGAGUCGCACCGGAGUAACCUAGAUAAAAAUCUGGAUAAGUUUAUCGUGCUUCGUGGUUGGUGCUCGAGGCACGACUUACCAAAAACGUAAUGAUAUUAGACACAUUAGAUGCUACCAUGAUUCUGGAACAACACAUGUGACUCAGUUCCUCGGAACGGCUCCUUGGAUGCACUUGCAACACCGACCCAAAAUAUAUUGUCCCUGGUUAUGAAGAUUGAGAUCAACGUGCAAUGUGCUCAGAAGCACCAAAGGGGCUGACCGUCUCGAAGCAACCUUUCGAGAAUGCCACCCGGGAAAUAACGCCGCAUCCGGAUGGUUUGUACCAGCGUAAGUAUAAAUAUGGUCGAGUCGAACCACAACAUGGCAAUCCAUGCUAAAGCAAGGUCUUCCCGUAGAACAGUCAGCACCAAUUCCCUCCCUCUUUCAUGAAUUUGGACGCACGCAAGCCCCUAUGUUCCGUAAUGAUCAGUAUAGCAUGACUAUCGGGGAGGUACGGAACAUACUGAGAAUUGCUGAGAGACAGGUCACACCUCGGUGCGGUAAAAGGCAAUGGAAUAUUUGUAUCGUUUGGAUUUUCGGUGGUCACCAUGGCGAUCUAUACAAAGCGUCAGCGAGCAGCCGUCAAAAAAUGAACUGUCUUACAAGGCAGCCGACAGCGCCUCCAACGUGCGUGACGAUGAGAACGGCAAGAAUGCGCUUGCUCCGAUCGUACAACGCGUAUGUGCGAAUCACCAGCAUGACUGGGGGAAUCGAGAUCGGCCAUUACUUUUGAUUAGGAAGUCGGAUGGAGGGAACUCACUGGCCACGAUAGCUUGAGUUGCUAUCGCAAACGCUUGAUGGUAGGUCUGCAACUGACGACAUCUACGUAGAUGAUGUUAACACAGGUCCAAACCACUUCGGCGGGAUUCUUUACGUCUACGAAAGGAUGCAUCAGCCGUCAUCCCAAGCCACGAUGAACUGAACUGACGUGUUCCGACGGUGUGCCAAAGUAUUCAAAGCCGAGCGGGAUAGUUCCCAGAAGUCCAAAGUAUCGGUUGACAACGAACAGGACAGAAAUGAUCGACCAGUUUGCCGACACCCAGAAGAACUCGAUCUCUGAGACCAGCGUGAGGGUAAAGUCAUAGUACAAGAUUGCUAGGGAAAAGCAUUUCAUUAGCACUGAAAGCGUGACUAAGGAUUAUAAAGACCUACUGAACGCCGCCGCCGUCAUGUAGUUGUUUAUCCGAGUAGACGAAGCCCUAUAUACGCAAACAAUGCACAAGCGAGACAGGCGACAGGAGCAUGCAAACUCACCAAUACUCCGCCGCGUCUAGGACGUAUUGCGACACAGCCGAAGACAUUUGGAGUCGACCGCCCCCAGCUUGGGAGGGAAAAGUGGGGGUAAGUUGUCAACCGGCAGGCACGCCUACACGAGAUUUGGGACCCACAUAAAUGUCGUCGGGAGGUGAUGUGCCAAGCGGGCGCGCAGCGGGGCCCCGUUGAUGCGUGACGCGAUUGUAUGAUACCCUCGUCUCGACACGGAAGGAGCACGGAUGUUUAAAAAACGUCCACGCUAUCUUCGACGUCGUAACAUGGGGCGCUGUGGAGACUGGGUAUAGAUCGAGCGGCCGCUUGCUGACAGCCAGUGCCUUUGCACCGCUCCGAGUGGCGGGGUAAGGUUUGAGGCGUAGGUAUGUCGGCGCGUAACGAUAACCCUGCCGAAGAAAGUAGAGCGACUCGGUUCAAGUCAGGCGGCAGACCGGUCAAAGUUCUCAACAUCCGAAUGAGAUGUAUGGUACCAAGGACAUCCCAUGUGGUGCCCCAAAAUACCGGUCUCACCUGGAUUUCAGACUAGUGGACCACACCACCGAAGGAGAGCACGGUGAGAGGGGACUUCUAGGCAAUUUUACGCAAGCAGGGAUACGAAAGCUGUUCCGUCCGUGGAUUCGUGAGGGAAUAUCUGCCACUAUGUCGUCAGGGACGCCCGCAGAACCGUAGGGGCGCUGUUGGAGGAACGGUCUGGUAAGUCAGAAGGCUUCUUGGACAUGACAUUGUAUGAUACGGGUAAUGAUGCGCGCGAAGUCUGUGGGAGAAGCAUAUGCACGAGGAGACGAGGCGAUGACUGUGUGCAGACAAAGUAAUGCCUAUCGGAGACAUGAGCCUGUGAGAUGAAAUAAAUCAUACGAAGCAUACCUGCGAACUGAUACCGGUCGUCGGGAGGGGGAUUUCCGUGAGACGAUCUGCAAGUUAAGGCUGCAUGUUUCCUUCUCUGGAGAUAAUUCAUAGAGGUCUUUCGGGAUCAAGGGUCGAGCUCGAGGACGCAAAGCUUUGGCCGGCGGCGGAGAGUGUGGUAUGCGCCCCGGCACAGUAGCAGCCAUGAUCCGGCGUCUAGCCAACGGCAUGAUAUUAGCGCUCAGGUCGGGUGUUGCAAGCCACGCACUUGCGCCGCAAGUCAAUGUUCAAAGGUGGCACUCUUCUGUCUCACUAUCAGGAGACACCCAUAACCACGCGCGAAUGACGGAGGGAUAAUAAUGACGAGUGGGCACCGCCGUGGGGUUUUGAGUGCGGUGCGACAACUUUCAUCCCAUGGAUCACUGGACUGCCUGCCAUAUGCUCCCCGGGCUCAUCGCAUCGGUCGAAAUGCUUGGCUCCGGUGGCCUCAGCCUAGCCCCAGCCUUCCGCCACCUGCUCCUCCGCACCGGCCUCGACGCUCUGCCCAUUGACCACAUCCUACAUCCGUAGCCUCGCAGAAUCAGAUAACCUCCCGGUAUCUACAGGAAUCAAGCUGGCUCCGUCACCCACCAGACCGCUCCUCCUUCUCCUCGCAGCCCUCGUCGGCGCGUAUCUCCUCUUCUUCCAUCCUCCCGAAACCCUCAGGUCGUCCUCCGGCCUCUUCACAUCCAUACGCCCGAUGUCCGCCGCGUCCGUCCAGGGGUGGCACGCCCGCGCCACGCCUCACCCUUCUCCCGACUUCACGCCCACAAAGGACACCCUCGUCUUCGCCGUCCUACUAAAUGCCCCCGUAGACCCCGAAGGGUUCACGAUGGCGCUCUUCCAGCCUGACGUCGCGAUCGACGCCCGCGGACGCGUCCUGCAGCCCCAGCCGCAGGACUUCGCUGCUCUCGUGGCGCUCGCGCAGGAGGCGAGCCGGCUGCCCGACACGGGCUCAUUUAUGAAUGCCUGGCGCGUCGCGCACGCCCGCACAAGCCAGAAGAUCGACAGGCUCUUCGCAAAGACAUCUGACGGUGACAUCAGGGAGACCAGCGUCCAGGGCUGGGACCCGAAGAAGACGCAGCUCCAGGACGCAGUGGGCGAUUACCAGGCGCUACCCCUGGUGUUGCAGGAGCUGUUCGGGUGCAUUCAGGAGGGGCGAAAGGGCUUCGUGCGUGGGGACGAGAACAAGGAACUUAUUUCUCGGGUGAAGGCUCUGCUGGACAAUUGAUCGCAGAUGUAUGUUGUUACAUGACACGACAUGAUCGACCUCCGACUGAUCCUCCGGUUCUUCUGGUUGUAUAUAUAAUUGGGCUGCAUGCGGAAAUAACGGAUGUACUGUACUAUCACUCAUGUACAACAGUGUCCUGACAGUCAUCUUGGCUCUGCUAUGAUCUUACACACAAACGUCGGUUAUGAAUAAGUUAAAUAUACACUAUCGCCCGGGACAUUAGUAAUCUAGCCCACCCUAAGCCCGAGCGCAAAGCCCGCUACGAACGAUGCCCGUGGCUGGAAGUCCGCGGUGAGGAAGUCGAGGAGCCAGCGGAAGAGCGACGCGAGAUUGGGUGGCCGCGACACGCCCGAUACGUCUUUUGUGUAGAAAAGGGUUUCGAAGCGGCGUCCAGCGCGAUUCCAGUCUACACGCACGAUCGACAACGAACCCAGGUACUGCGCACAUGUCGGUAAUCAGAUAAACUGCGCUGCGGCGCAUAGUGCCACCAAGACGCUGUGAGGGUAUACUCACCUGGAGGAGCACGAAAACUCCACCGAGCGCGAAGGCGACGAACCUCGCGCCCUUUUUCACAAAGAUCCCAGCGCAAACUCCACAGACAGUGCCAAAGGUCAACUCAUAGAGGUUCACACUUGACUGGGGAGGAGGUGGUGGAGGAAGUGGUGGCGGCGACACAGCUUCUGAUUUAGGAGGAACAUUUAUGGGAGACGAACUCGCAGAUGUUGCUGAAAAAUAUCGACAGUCAACGUGAGCAUGAGAGAGUAGAAUGACAGAAUGGGUGACAUACAAUCACAGUAGAGAACGGGCGCUGCAAGGAAAGUGAGGGAGAGAAGGGCACCCCAGGUACCUAGCUUGAUGAAGUAAAUGGGUAGAUGGUGGAAGCCUUCUCGCCUGAAUUUGCUGCUGGUCGAACAAUGAUGUUGGGGAUGAGGAAUCGUAGGCGGCGGGGGGCAAUGACAGAGAGAGGGUUGGAAAGUAUGGUGAACGAAAGGACGGUGGGUGCCCCCCCGGAGACGGUUGGGCGUAAAAUAUGUUUUGGUGACGCUCGUUCGCGACACGCAACACGGCGUCUUACUGAGAGUCCCGCAGAAGGACCGAGCGAACAAGGAUGUUGGGAUGAUGGGCGACAUGCCGUGCGGACGCGUGGUCGUGGUAGAGGCGGAAGCGGAGGUGAUGAUGCGGGGCUCGCGUUCGCGCGUCAUUCAUCCUUGGAGGUUCGGAGCAGGCACAACAUUCACAAACACCUCCGGCCCGUUUGGCAUCCUCGUUGCCUGGGCGCUUGAAAUUUCUGUGCUCGAUCGCGGCGGAGGCCAAGUUGAAGUAGAGUCUCGUCCUUUUCUACGCUCCUGCCUCCUCCUUCUGUAACUCUCGCCAUGGGAAGACGAGCGAAGAACAAGCAGGGAGACCCAGCUCCCUUUUCCGAAGUGCAAGAAAACCCCGGGAAACCAUCCCAAAAGAAGCUCGGAAAGCGAAAGGCGGACGAGGUCGAUUCGAGCAACAAGCGGCCUGCGAAAAAGGCGAAGGAGACCGAUGCUCGUUCGGGGAAGCCUGUAAGGGGUCCCGCGACCAAGGGCAAAGAGAAGACUGGCGUCAAGGGCGAGGCGAAGGCCAAAGUCGGCAAACCAAAAAAACAGCAGGCCCGCUUUGAAGAUGAGGAUGAGGGAGCAGGUGGUAGCGAGGGUUGGGAGGAUGUGCAGGACGAUGACGACUUGCAGACGCAGGCCAAGUGCGUGAAACUGAAAUGGAGCAGUCGUGCUCGUCCUCACACAGUAUUGCUUGUAGGUCAUUAUUCCAUGGUAGCGACGAAGACGAGGUCGUUGGUUUCAGCGGCGAUCUCGACGACUUCGAUAUGGAUGGCGUGGAGGACGAGUAGGUUCAUUUCCCAAACCGUGCUAUCCGUGCUCAUUACCCUUCGUUCACCACAGUGACGACCUAUUGAGAGGUCCCACCCAGGAGCUCGAUCUUGGAUCGGACGAUGAGGACGAGGAACAAGAGCUCCCCAUGAAGCUGAAGAGCAAAAAGUCAAAACAAGCCGACCGCCCGCUGAAGAUUAUACCCACCGCGUCGGACGCAUCUUCUGACGAAAGCGACGAGGAUGAAGACGAUGAAGAUGGCCCCGUUACCAUGAAGAACAUCGAGGCACGCUCGCGCGCCUUGGAUGCGAAAGCUGCAAGGGACGCAGUGCUUGAUAUCGAGGAGAUGCAGCAGGCGGCGCUCGCAGGAGAGGAGAGCGGGGACGACUUCGCUGAUGCGGACAUGGACGAGGAGGGGGAGGGCGGGGAGGGCAGCGAACAGUUCGUUUUGCCGACGGCGGAGGAGAGGGAGGAAGAGAAGAAGAGGGGUGGUCCCGACGUCCACACCGUGCAGAGGCGAAUGCGCGAGUGUGUCAGAGUACUGGGCAACUUCAAGCGACUUGCAGCGAAAGGGAGGUGCGUCCAUUUCCUUCUCUUCUCAAAUUUUCCUUCUACUUGUCGCGACGAAUCUGGUCUUCAUGAAACAAUGUAGCUGGGACGUUGCAUACAUGCGUAUACGCGAAUGUAUGCCAUGUCCCGGUACUUGGUGCAUUUGAGGCCCCGCAAUGAACGCUACACGAUAAGCAACAGAAUUCAGAGCUCACGAAGUGGUCUGCCAGUCAGUUUUGGACCACAUCCCUCUCGUCUAUCUAGAGCAGGCAGUGACGUUCUUGGGUCAGUCUCAGAACGGGUUGUUAUCACCGCCUUUCCGAAAUGGCACAUUCCCUUCGUUCGCUCAAAUAGCAGGCGCGAUCUUCAACCCGAAGCCUUACGGGUAAUGCUCAGAGCAGGGAAGGGAUGAGUUAAUCCUUAAUUUCUCAGUCACUAUCAAAGCAGAAGCAUCUUAUACUGAAUGAUUACGUCCACAGGUCAAGAGCAGAAUACAUUCAGCAGGUCAUCUCGGACAUGGCAAGCUAUUAUGGCUACAACGAUUUCCUCGCUGAGAAACUGUUCCAGCUCUUUCCGGUCGCAGAGGUAUGUGCUUUGUCGCCUUGCCCCACCACCCCAUAAACGUCCCGACACUGUGGUUCUUUCUCUGUGCGUUGGUGGCUGCGAUGGACGACACCCACCAUUUUACGUGUAUAUGUGCCGCGAGUAUAGCGCAGGGUAAUGUGGUUCCAUCUUUGGACCACGCUGCCCUGGAUGCUUGGCGGGCAUAGGACACGUAAUUGGUCAGACGUUCAGUCAGAGCAGCAGAGUUUGAACUCUUCCUGAAAGAUCUUGUACUGACAUUACUGGUAGGCGAUAGAGUUUUUCGAGGCGAACGAGGUACCUCGGCCCGUUACGAUUCGGACAAAUACCCUCCGCACACGGCGACGCGACCUCGCACAAGCGCUGAUCAACCGCGGCGUGAACUUGGAGCCUAUCGGCAAAUGGACGAACGUCGGCCUGCAGGUGUUUGAGUCUAGCGUACCAAUAGGUGCAACGCCUGAAUAUCUCGCCGGCCACUACAUGCUUCAAGCAGCGUCGUCUUUCUUGCCGGUGAUAGCGUUGUCACCCCAGCCCGGUGAGCGCGUGCUGGACAUGGCAUCUGCCCCAGGCGGCAAAACCACACACAUGGCGGCACUCAUGCAAAACACCGGUGUCGUGUUCGCCAACGACGCGAACAAGGCGCGUGUAAAGAGCCUGACGGCGAACGUGCACCGACUGGGCUGCAAGAACGUCGUUGUGUGCUCCUACGACGGCCGCGAGUUCCCGAAGGUCAUCGGAGGGUUCGACAGGGUCCUGCUCGAUGCUCCGUGCAGCGGGACGGGUGUCAUCUCCAAGGACGCGAGCGUCAAGACGAAUAAGGUACGUGCGCUGGCCGCGCAGCCGCCGUUCUGCGCCCUCCCUGUCUCCGCACGACGCUGAUGCAUUGUUUCGGGCGGGGUCCCAUGUUUACUUGCGUUUGACCGCAGUCUGAGCGCGAUUUCGCGCUGCUCUCGCACCUCCAAAAGCAGCUGAUCCUCUGCGCCAUCGACAGCGUCACCCCUGAUUCGAAGACGGGCGGCUACCUUGUCUAUUCGACCUGUUCUGUGACGGUGGACGAAAACGAAGCCGUCGUCGAUUACGCGCUCCGGAAGCGACCGAAUGUGAAGCUCGUCGAGACUGGACUUGAGUUUGGCCGUCCGGGGUACACCAGUUACCGGGGAAAGACGUUCAGCGACAAGCUGAGCCUCACGCGCCGCUUCUACCCCCACGUGCACAACAUGGACGGCUUCUAUGUCGCGAAGUUCAAGGUCGAGAAGCGCGCGAAGGUGAAGAGUGAGAAGGAGGAGACUGCUGCCGGUGCAGAGGGUGCAGAGGCGGAUGUCGAGAUGGGCGAGCCAUCGUUCCCAUUCAACGAGGACGAGGACCGGCCAUACAUCGAAGGUGAGUUACUGAACACAUCCUCCAAGCCCUUGUCUUUGUCUGCCCUCGAGGCUCGGGCGGGGCUUGGGAUGCCGCAGGAAGCUGGUGCUGAUCUCUGUCACUUUGGCGCCUUCCAUUUCAUUCACGCAGAGAACGAGCGGAGGCGUAUGAAAGCGAAAGGCCGCAAGGCCCCGCCGCGAACCAAGUCUGUCCCUGUGGCGGCGGGGGCAGAUGCCGCGCCCACCCCGUGAGAGCGAGCGAGACGUGGGCCCGGGCCGUGUUGCUCGAAUUGUGCUUGCUCCUUCUCAUGCUGUAUCGAUAUGCAGUCAAUGUCUGCCGUCAUACGACCUGUAUCGCGCCGUAGCUGUAUACAGUAGUGGUGUCCUGUGAUAAGAGAACCGGGCCUGGCUUCGUCUGCCACGCCAAGUACUCCGACUCCGACCCCGCCCCCGGUGGCGCAGGCCGCAGGCCUCAGAACUUCUUGCGCUGUUCCGCCGGGAUGGAGUAUUCGAGAGGAUGUUCCAUGCUCCGGUGCUUCGUUGGGUCGUUGAUUCAAUGUUGACUCGGUCCAGCUCAAGCUCGUGUGCACCCACGGACCCCUCCCCACGUCCGGGCCCGCUCGGGGCCCCCACCACUGCUCAGGAUCCUGGCUAAGGCAAGACCCUCGGCAAAGAGCGGUACAUAUCGUCAUCGUGUGCCAGUCUCGGAUGCUUCUUGCGAAUUCUUUCAGAUGCGUUCCGGUUUGCGCGCCCGGGCGUGAGAUCGUCGUCAUAUUUGACGUGAAUGAGGCUAGCCAGCGUGUGUCCGCGUCCAGCCUCGGUGCUUUCUGGUUGAUGUCGCAUACAACGGGGUCGCACGAUGGCGGUCGAGGGUACGGCGUACGCAUCCCACAUUAAUCCACCAGCACUGACUAUAGCUUGGAACCAUUAUCAGAAUCUAGCUCGCAGUAGAGCCGCAUGGCGCUACUUGACAGUUAAGAACCAGAGACUUCUAGAAUCUUCAGACGACGUAUUGAGAUAAUAGUGAUGCAUUUGGGACGUGGUGUCAGGUCCGACUGAGGGGUAUCAGAGGUGAUAGCUCCCUAGCGACAUGAACAGGGUACACAGGGGAAAAUGACCUAAACCGAAGGCUAUCAAAUACAGAGCGAAGGAGCAAUAGCUGCUAAGGAUACAGACAAUCAGUCUAAUGGCACGCCUCAAGACACGAUUCGCUGUGUUCUGGUACACAGAGCGAGGGCGUUGGCAAGUAAUCUGCCGAUAGCUUGAAGGGAUAGUCGAGGAGAUGGCACACAUAUCCUGGGGAAUCUGAGUGGAGCAGAACUUAAAAUGAAGGGACGUCCCGAGCUUUGAACAUACGAUCUGAAUUGAAAAAUUUGAGGUCGGACUCUCUGCAUCGGCAGUAUUUAGCAAGCAAAAUGAGCAUGGGAAUACCGACGCACCGCGGUGUGCUCUGAAGGGUCUUCCUGCGAUGGUACAUGUUAAUACCGGCACAAACCCAGACAAUUAAGAGGAUGAUUGCAGCAACUUCUAUCAGCAGUAACUAAUGCCAUCGUCAGUUACGCAAGGCGCAAAGCUAGAAACUGAGACGACGUACAGCCGAUCCUGAAGAGGCUUGCAACAUGCCAUGCGCGACAACACGCUUAAUGCCGUCGCUAAGUACAUGGUCGAUUACGACGGUGACCGCGAGCACGACAACCGUGAAGCUUGACACAAUGAAGGAGACUAGGCUGGUAUUUUGGGGCCAGACAGGGUCGAGGUAUCGGUUGACACGCUCAGGGAGGAAGAGCGUGGCGGCAGUAAUCAGGACAAGGAUCAAGUCUGAAUGGCGCGAAAGGCUGCAUGUGAGACCAUCGGCCGCACGCAACCCCGUCAUAACAUACCAACUAAAUGCAGUGCCAAUGCGAAGGAAAGACUGCUGGAUAUGGCGUUGGUGAGGCCAUCCACGUGAAGAGCGUUGGCUACGCUUGAGUCGAUUCUGUACCCGAGAUGGCGAGGACUGCACCCCCCAGCACCAUCGUGACUAAGCUUCAGAAUACUAGGUGGCAACAAGACGAUGGAGUGAGCACAUGUGACGGAAACGAUAGUUUGACGGAAAAGAUACUCACGAUACCUCUAGGCCACUGUAACAGUAACCCCAGACACCGAAACGGACAGAACCGCCUACGCUGACAGACAAGUGCGAACUUGAAGCAUGGGUAGCAAGCUCGACGAAGUAGAUGCUCUUGAGGGGUGUUAUGGACACGAGCAAUAGCAGCAGCCAGGCGAUGGCUAGUGCAAAGAGGGAGAUCCACUGGAGCAAACGAGUCCAAUGGAAUUUGCGAAGCGUAAAUGUGGAGAGGGUCUUCAUGUGUUGCCUAGGUGAGUAGCACGGUCGGCCAGCGAGAAAUAGUGGUGGAGAGCCAUGAUGUUGAGGGCCGAAAGGCUUAAGUACUGAGCGUUGUGGGCGGUCGAAAACAUAUCGCAAGUAGCGGGACAAAAGAGAGGCACGUCUUGCGCUCGAGCGGUGUAGUCGUAAUUAUGUACGGUCACUCGUUCGAGCGCGUCGAAGAAUAAGGCUGACACAGUGGAGAAAGGAGGGGUUAAUGUAAGAUGGAGAGUUGUCGGGGAGGGACAGGACGACGGGGAGCCAAGUGAAUGAGGUCACUGGGGGCGGGGUAAGUGGUAGGAUGUUCGCAGGGGAACAUGUCGGGAGGAUAUGUCUGUUUACGUGGGAAACUGGGGGUUGCCUGUGGUGGCGUCGGCUACGGCUCCCGGCCGUCCAAAAGAGACGCAGAUUGGGCGGACGUGCGCGCGCUUCCACGUGGAAUUCUGGUUUAUUAUCAUUUGAAACGCCUCCCUCUCGCCGAGUCACACAGUCCAGACGGUGGCCUCUUCCGACGCUUACCCGCAACAGAACAGAAUAGAAGCACUAAUGGACCCGCCCAAGGUAUCUCCUCAGCCCCUCACGCGCCCCCCCUCCACCCUCGCCCGACGCAGAGGGGGCGCGGAGCAUACCCCUGUGUGGUGUCUCAGGCUGUAUGUCUCUCUCUGCCAAGCGGGACAGGGAGGAGGGCCGGCCAUUACUAGUAUGACCCCAGAUGCGGCGCGCCCGAGAUCAUUUUGUGAAUAUUUCAGUCCCCUGCCCUCCGGUCAUCCUCGGAUUUUGAACGUAUAUUUGGGGUACAUGACUCAAUACUCUGGCAAAAAAUGAAGGAAAUCGGUUGAGACCUACGUUAAGGAUCAAGGUAUUAGUGGUUUGACCCUAGUACCGGCGCAGAGCCGCCCAGCGAUGGUCACAGAUAGUCACGGUGCCGAAAGCUGCCGAUUUAAAGUCCGUCCUUAUCUCAUGCAACCCGUGCGCGCGAUCGCAGCGGGAGACAACCGAAAUUGGAAGUCCGCCUUGUCUGCAUUGUGGCUGAAUGUCACGCUCGACGGCUCUUCGUUGUUCAGCAUGAAAAGAGGAUCGAAAAACCUCGGAGUUUUCAGAAGAAUGAUUAUUCAGUAUGUAUUAAUCCACUGCGCAAGUUUCGUGGAUACCAUGCCUUCUGUAGCAGGCUGCCCAUAACCCGUACCACGGGUAUGCAACAUUGAUCAACCCAGUUUGGACCCAAACCUUGGCCGAUUUUCCUCGUUCUUUCUUAUAAUGAUGGGUCUGAAGCAAAAGAAAGAUAUUUGGGUCGUUUCCUUUUUAUCUGGAUGGAAAUGGGAGGACGGGAAUCGUUUGAGCCGCUUCUAGGGUCACGGGCGCUUUCCGCCGCAUCUGGGGUCAUACUAGUAGGGGGCUGGAGCAUGUCGUAGCACGACAUGAUUCCCGAUCGUCGCUAGACCACCGGAACGCGAGCUGGACAUCUUCCUUCGGCUCCUACCAAAUCAAUUCAAUUUUUGUCCCCUUGUGAACCGCUUUCCCACCGUCCUCUGUCCCAGUCCGUCCCCGCCUGCGCAGAGCUCCCCAGCCCGGCACCCUCACACGGAGAGCACACACACACAGAGGAGGACGGUGCAGGGAGGGAGACAUUGAUGUUGGUCAAGGACGCACACCGGAUGAGCCUAUCCGGCUAAACUGAUGUCGGUGAUCGAGAGCGCGGUCCAACAGCAACGGACGCGUCGCCUGAUUAGGGAAUCCUGGUCAUGAAACCGCCAAAUUUAGUUUAGGCUUGUUUGUUCGGACUGUUUAAGGAUAAGAAGGGCGCCCUCUUCCAGGCUUAUUCUCUCCCUAUCUCUCUUUCUCUCUCGUUCUCUCUCCUUCCCUGCAGCAAGCAAGGCCACAGAGCCCUCGCUCUCUUCUCAUAUACCACUAUUGUGAGUCUUUCUUCCUCCACAAUCCUCUCUUCACCCCCGUGGGGCAUCCUCCCUGCCAUCCCUCGUCUUUGUCGUCUUUCUAUUCCCCCUUUUAGAGACGCGUCGUCUGACCACGUAUCACUCCCAUCCUCCAGCUCACGACCCCUAAGUCUUCAAUAAUGUCCGAGUCCGCUGCUGCCCCCGCUGUCCCCGUCGAGGAGACCAAGCCUGUUGAGACCCCCGCCGCGGAGCCCACUCCCGCGCCCGAGCCCGCUGCCGAGACUCCUGUUGCUGUAAGUCUACCAGAUCAUACGGCCCACUGCCAUUCCUCAUGUCGUGCGUAGGAGGCACCCAAGGAGGAAGCGAAGGAGGAGGUGGGUUCACGUGUAUCGUUCGGUAUUCUGUCCUUUCUCUCAUUGUCGUUUAGGUUGCUGCUACUGAGGCGCCUGCCGCUGAGGCUUCUGCCGAGGCCCCCAAGACUGAGGAAGCUCCCGCUGCCGCCACCGAGGAGGCCAAGCCCGUAUGUUGUACAUUCUGUCACGUUUUUAUGUUUUCAUAACCGUUUGCAACCUCUUAGGCUGAGGCUGCUGCUGAGACUAAGAAGGAGGAGCGCCCGAAGAGCCCCUCCCUCCUUGCUAAGCUCCUUGCUCCCUUUAAGGGUGGCGACAAGAAGGAGAAGGCUGAGAAGAAGCCCAAGGAGAAGGCUGCCAAGAAGACUGAGAAGAAGGAAGAUGUACGUGUUAUCGGCCUCGUAGCUUGAUUGUCCUGCUCAUAGAUUCGUUUAGGCUGCGCCUGCCGCUGAGGAGGCUCCUCAGGAGCCUGCCGCAGACGCUGCUGCUGAGGCCCCCAAGACCGAGGAGGCGCCUGCUGAGCCUGUGAAGGAGGCGUAAGUGGCGUCGUUGUUCUCGUUUGAUCCCGUGAACUCAUAGCCUGGGCAGUGAGACCGCUGCUCCCGCUGAGGCGCCUGCUGCCGAGGCCCCGGCUGAGACCCCUGCGGAGACUGAGGCUCCCAAGGAAGAGAAGGUAACCACAUCCUCUGGUGCCGCCACAGUAUAUGUCUGAUGCUUGGUUUUAGAAGGAGGAAAAGAAGGAAGAGAAGAAGGCCAAGGUCGGCCGCCGUUUGUCGGCGCGUGUUGGCGAUUUCUUCAAGGCUAAGCCCAAGGCCGAGCACACCACGCCCCCUAAGGUCGAGGAGAACCCCCCCAAGAUUGAGGAGCCUGCUCCUGUCGCUCCCCUUGAGAACCCUGCUGCUGAGGCUGCCGCUGAGUCCUCUGAGGCGGCGCCCGCUGCGCCAGAAGAGCCCAAGGUUGAGGCGCCGCCUGCUGCGCCCGUUGUCGCUGCUGCUGCCUGAGCGUGGAUCCGAAAAUCAUCUCCAUACCUUAUUACGACCGUGACGAGCCUGCCAUUUCUAAUGUCUCCCCACCUUCCUCUGCCCUCCUUCUCGUAUCCACGUCCCCACCCCCGUCCAUGCCAGUGGAUUUCUCCCCAUCUGUUUUCGCUCUUUCGCUACUAGUUUACGACGCGGAUGUGGUUUUGCUUUUUGCUUUCUCUCACGAUUACGCCUCAUACCUACACAUCGCCGUCAUCCGCUGUGGCUCAGCCUAAUGUCGACUGGAUAGGUGAUAUCCUCAUACCCACUUUCAUUAUCUCAUCUCACUGGAUCGUGCUCGCGUGUGUGUGUCUAUGGCUUGGUGUAAUCAUCAUUAUUUCCUUGCUCUCUGACCU
rnacentral:lncRNA from 1 species